rnacentral:lncRNA from 1 species
UUCGUUGAUGAACUCAUUCCCCUCUCCCUCCGUACUGUUGAGGAUCUUCACAGCCACCGCAAUCUCACUCGAAAGUUUUCCUCUGAACACAGCCCCAUGAGCUCCUUCUCCUAGCUUUUCCUUGAAGCCAUUGGUGAUUCUUUUCAGGUCAGCAUAGGUGAAUCUUGCAGGCUUUUCUGCCCUGUAGUCCUCUAAAAACUUGCCCACUCUUGCUUGGUCUUCUUGCUUUUUCCUAAAAUAGAGGAUGGUCUUGAAGACAGUAAUGACCAGCAGCCCCAAAAGGAUCGUACCUAGAAUAGCAGUGGGAGACUUCAUUAGAAAAAGAAAGAUUUAUGUACUUGUUUCAGUCUUUACACUUAAACAUUACUUGUUUCAACUCCUAGUCUAUACUUUUUAACGCCAUUCAAUUGUUGACAUCCUAAAUUGUAGGAAUAAGGAAUUGAACUAAAUUAAAAGCGAAUGUGUAAGAGCCUCUGGUGUCACCUGUAGUAGCAAAAAUAAAAGAUAUAGGAACGUGAAUUCUCUUCGGUUUGCAUUUAAAACAUUCGGUGUCACCUGUGGUGGUGUUGGUCUUCCAUGUACAUCUCUUGCCUUUUCCUUUGCACUCAGCACAGUUUGGUUUGGACCAUAUCAAAACCAAAUCAUUCGAUUGGAUGAAUGGGAUUGGCGCAGAGAGGUCGAACAUCUUGGUACAGGAUGUUAGACCCAAUCGGAGGACACUAUCAAAAGAAUUAGAAAUGUAAAUCGGACAGGAGAUCAUGUCUUGUGUUGAAUCUGAGCCAUCGUCGUAGUAGUUUAUGAGGUGUGGAUGCUCAGCUGAAGUGCAGUUGAAGAAGCUCAAGUUAUAGUGUGGUCCAUCAUAUGGUGAUUCAAAUUGGUAAGUUCGAAUAAAAUUGAUGGUUUGGUUAAACUUGUUGGAAAAGCAGUUUUCGGGGUCAAUUAAGUCAAUUUCCUGACUUUCGUAGUCUAUGUAAGUGACUAGGAGUUUCAUCGUAGGAAGCGCAAGCAUGGUCUCAUUAUUUUCAGUGCAAGAAAGACAAAUACGGGGAUAACCGCAAGGCUCGUUCAUCUCCUCUGUGAGUUGGAAGGGAAAUCUGAUAGGGGGUUGGUUCGGCCCACAAGAGAAUUCCUCAUCGCACUCGUUAUGAGCGCUGCCAGUUCUGAUAAGAAGAAGCAUUAGCAGUAGCAUCAUCAAUGCAGAAUCACGUUGGAGGAGCAACACACUUGCCAUUUUGUUUUCUUACGGGAAAACAGCUGUUAACCGAGCUCAGUGCCUCUUUUAGUUUAUGCUAACACUUCUAAUUUGUUACUUUUGCAAUGAGUUGCAGAAACCAUAUAGAAAAGAUAAAAAAGACUUGUGAUUUCUCAUUAGUCAAAGUCCGCGUUAUGAAAAAAUGAAAUCCAGUCCAGUGUCAUAAUUUAGCGAUAACUAUUAUUAUCAUACAUUUAAUUCUAUGAAUGUCAAGGUAGAUGCAUAUUAAGUGCCAAGAAUUGACUCCCCCAAACAACAAUCAUGCAGUGAGAGUCACACUCGUAUACAAUAAUACCACCUUAUCUUCGAAAUUCACAGCCACACAAGUCCAAUUGUGUGAUGGAAGUUUGGGUAUAGUGUCUGAAAUUUCUUCUAUUCACAUUGUCCUGUAUCUUUCACGCGUAAUAAUAUCAACAUAUUAAUUAUUUCCUUUCGUGUAAAUAUAAGAAUUUUAAAAUCCAAAAAUUGACUUAUAGACUUGCAUGUAUUCCACCUACUUCUAAUCUUCCAAGAACCUCAAAGUUGGAAUAAAAAGCUUAGAGUAUGUGAGUAUCAUUUCAACAAUAAUGAAUUCCAUCAUGAUUUCAUGGAAAAGUUCAAUAGCAAUCAUCCUUAUGCUAAACUUAGCAAAACACCAAUAAACUCACCAAUUGAAUCUCUAAAAGAAAGACCUGAAGAGCCCCUAAUGAAGUUAUAAAAAGAUUUUAAUUUUAUUAAUUAUUUCUAUUUUAUAUAACUUGCUUCCUUCCUUUUCUCAUAAAUUUGCAUUUUUAUUUGUAAUUAAAUUUGUUCAUAUAAAAUUGCUUCCAAGGUUAUCACGAAGUGUAUUAUACUUUUACAAAUGAACGUUUAGUGGAUACUAAAGCAUGAGCAUCAAAUUAAGAAAAUUUUCAACACCAAAACACUCACAUAUAUAUGUAUAUAUUGUACAAGUUUAAAAGUUUUAUAAAUUAAUUAUAUAUUCAAAUUUAUUGUAGGAACAAAAGCUUGGACAAUUUGUGUUUGUUGACGUGGUCUUUCAACAAACUCACAUUCAAAAGUGUUGGAGAAAAUAUCAACGAAUAUAUCAUUAAUUUAAGUGAUUUUGAUUAAAUGCUAGGUAAAAAAAAAGAGUAUAAAACGUGAAGGUAUAUUUGUUUAUAAGUAUUAGAUUUUAAAAUAUUUGAGGAGUUUUUUCAUUUGAUUAAUCACAAACACAAAAUGGCUUGCAAUAUAUCUUCAUCUAAUAAGCUCGCUCUUAGACAAAUGAUAUGUAGUUGUUAGCAUUACAAAGUGAAACUUAAAGACUUAUAAAUGCUUUUACUUUGUUUUACCAAGAAUGUUCUCUUGUUUGACCACCAAGAGGAUUUCUCGAGAAAUGUCGAAUAUGUUGAAGAGUAUGUUUAAGCUACUUUUUGUCAAACUCCUCCUUAGGUUAAAGAUAAAAGACUAAAGAGAUUUAGGUAUGAUAUUUUUAUACUACUUCAUUUGAAACACCUAGACUACGCCCACUUCUUAAUUAACAUGUUCCACUAAUGUAAAUUAUUGCUACUAAAAUACAAGUUACUUAUUAUUUGAACCUAGUCACUUUUUGUUAAACUACAAAUAUAAUUUGGACACGACCACUUCUAAUUAAAAACACAAGUAUUCUUUGAACACAAUUACUUCUAGCUAAGUAUGAGUAGUGUUUGGACCCAACUACUCUUGACUAAAACACUUUGAUAAACAAAGUUUGUAAUUUAAACGAUCACGAAUAUUCGAUGUCCAAAAGAUAAUAGCGUCUUAGGACGAAAACAAGAUUGAGUACUCUUUUCUUGGUUGUUAUAAACAUAAAUAAUGUUCUUCCUAAAAAACAAAAAAGGCUAAAGAUUGCUUUAAAGUUGGAGAGUGAUAAGAGUUUCUUUAUAAGUGUCAUCGUUGUCAACAUUUCUUCUUUAUAGAGAUCUUCUUUACAUAGAGCUAAAAAUAAAAGAGUUAUUACAUGUCUUUUUUGGAGUCGUGACGAGACUCUACACCCUUAAUUUUUUUAAUCUUAUGUUUGACCACCUUCAAGUAGGUAGAUCCAUUAAAUGAUUCGUGCAACAUUAAAAGUAUUUGUCUACGUGAUACGACUUAUCAAGCCUAGACAAGUAGUUGACUUCACAAGACUGUCAUUCUAUUUUCAAAAAAAUUGUUUGCGUGGAGUAGCUUUAAGCAUGUUCUUUUAAGAGAUUUUGAAUUUAACACUUUAAAGAGAGAUCCUCUUAAGAGAAAUAAAUAGACCAACAUUCUUUGCAGACAGAAUAAUCAUUUAUAAGUUUUCGAUGUGUAUUAUGAAUGCUUAGACUUUGUAUCAACUUUUAUUUGUCCAAAUAAAAACUUAUUAGAAGAAGUGUACAACCGUGUUGGUGUCUUUUGGGUCAAACUAAGCAUGCAUAGUUGCAUAUUCAAUAAGACAAAACAGAUAACUAAAAAUGCUUGGAUAUUUCAAGAAUUAAUAUUAAUAAACUACAAAUAAAAACAAAUUUAAAAGAUAUCAACUUUGAUGUAUCAAAUAUUUAUUCUCAUCAUCACACUUUUUAUUAUUUAUUGAGUAACUUUUUCAUUAUGUAGUUCAAAUUAAAGAAAACAUAUUCAACACGAAAUAACUAAUAUUUUAUUACAUAAUUUAUUACACAUAACUAAUAUUUUAUUAAACAUAAUAAAUAUUGUAAAAAAAUAGAUAUAACCAUAGUUGAAGUUGAGAAAUAAAAAAAAUCUAAAAAAAAUAAAAUUUAAAUCUAAUUAAUCAAUAAAUAAACUGACUUGUCUAAAUAAAAUAAAAUAAAAACAUAUCUAAUUUUUAAAAAUAAAUACAAAUGAUAAAUUUUGUAAUAAAAAAAUUAAUGACUUUUUAAAAGGUUUAAAAUUAUAAUUAUAUAAAAUAUACUUUUAAAUAUAUAAAUUUUAUUUAUAUAAUAAAACUUGUUUAUUUAUUUAUUUUAUAUUAUACCGGUACGACCAUGGUGAAAAGGUCACAUGACGACACGUGACCGACCGACUCUUGGCGAUGAGUCAUGGGUUGACUAAGUCAGCAGGAUUAAUUCAUAGUUAAGUGUUGUUUAGCGCAACCCUAAACAUGAACCAACCUUCUAAUCCGGCCCACCAAUGAAGGUCCAUUAAGGUAAUAUAAAUAGCAUUCAUUCCAAGGAGAAAGGUACGGUGACACCCGAGUGUUACCACCCGACUGACUUGAGCGUUGGAGUGUCUUCUACACGUAUCACCCCUGCCGGUGGAGUUAGACGACCGAGAGAAGGAAGGUGAAGCAGGAAGCUUAGAGCAUCAGUGACCGACCAAAGGUAGAGGCAGGAGGAAUCGUUCUCUAGGCCCAAACCCAUUCGAGAACAUAUAUCAUUUUAUAAUUGACAAGGAUUUACUACAAGCAGUCAUGAAUUAGAACAAGUUGACUCUAGUAAAAACUUAUACUAUAGUUGUUGCAAAAAAUAAUAAUUAUAUCUCAAAUUUGGUUUUUUUGACUGGUUUAUUUACUGUUCUUGUGUACGUGAAAUUUGGCUUUAAAUGUCAGCUUGGAUUGUGUUGGCAGUAGAAGUUUAAACAGAAAAGUCUUUGGGCGUGAGCAUGUGGAGAGAGAGAGCUUUGAUAGUUUUGGUGUUUCUGCUCCACCUAAUUCAUGGAGAAAAUGCUUGCCCUCCUUCUUCCUGUGGGAAAAUCAGCAACAUAUCUUAUCCAUUCCGAUUGAAAGGAGACCAAGGGUGCGGUCGCAGCAUAUAUGAGCUAUCUUGUGAAAACAAUAUAACGCUCUUCUCUUUGGUCUCGGGAACAUUUCAUGUGCAGGCCAUCAACUACCAUAAUUUCACAAUCCGACUGGUGAAUCCUACACUUCAACAAUCAAAUCGCUCUUCUCUUCCUUGCUAUUUCUUCUCUCCAUCCAAUUUCACAACUUCUUACCGGUCGUAUCUCCUGUAUGAAACUCCCAAUCAUGGUUCUUACCUAACUAUUCCUUGGAUUUACGGCAGUGAUCAUUAUACCGAGCCACAGCAUAUAGUGCUUUUGAAUUGUAGCCAUCGAGUGACUGGGAAGCGCACGUAUGUGGAUACCGGUGGAUGCAUGAAUUGGGAGUGGAAAGGCUACAUAUAUGCUAUGGCUGGUGACCUAAUUGCAGAGGACUUUGAAGUAGGAUGUCAUGUGAAGCUGGUUGCUCUCACAUCGUGGUGGGGUUUGGACACAAAUACAUAUUCCUAUGACAUGAUGCACACAGCGCUACUCUAUGGAUUUGACCUUUCAUGGCUUUCUAUGAUCUGUGAGGAUCGUUGUGGACCUACUUACUGCUAUUUCAAUUCUUUCAGCCAGACCCUUGAAUGCGAAAAGGAAGGUAUAGGGCAGUGCAGGUUUUCUGUUUUUAAUGUUUCUGUUAAAUUGAGUUUGUUUAAUUUUUAUUUUUUUUAUAUUUACUAGCUGAACACUCCAUCGGUAUGAUUUGUUAUAUUAUAUCCUCUUAUAAUUUUUUAUAAAUACAUACAUAUAAUUUUUUAUUUUAUGUGAGCUUUUUAUUAUAUCAAAAUAAAAUAAUUAAAUAUAUUAUAUAUUAUAUUUAAUUGAUAUUAUAAUAAAAAAAUAUAAGGAAUCAAAUAUUUUAAAUAUUUAUGAUUUAUUUAUAUGUAAAAUGUUCAUAGUCAUUUUUUGUUACAAUUAGUUUUUUUUCACUGUAUUUUUUUUAUUUUGUAAAUUUGUAUCGUAGUUUAAAAAUAUUAUUAAAGAUAAAAUAGAAAAAAAAUUGUAUAUACAAAACGAUAAAAUAUUAUUAAUAUUAUUAUAAAUUAUAGAUAAAUAUAUCUAUAUAUUUUUAAAAAUCAAAUCAUACUAAAUCAUCAUUUUAUAAAAAUAGUUGGGUUUCAAUCCACCUAUUUUCUUAAAAAAUUUCAAAACCAUCUGAACCCUUUAAUUUAGUUUUUUCUUUAUAUAGUAAGUAAAUAAUGUAAACAUUAUUGAGUAAUUUCUGUGCAUAUUUGAUAUUGAUACUCUGUUCCUUUUUUGGGUGAAUAGGGAGGAGAUAUUGGUGGCAGCCGUAUAAUUUGGGUAAGGAUUCUAUCUCUUAUUGCCUACGUUUGAAUUAUAUAGUUUUUAAAUUAGUAUCUAAUUAGUUUUUAAAUUAGUUUCUAUUAGUUAAAUAGUUUCUAAAUUAGUAUCUAAUUAGUUACCAAAUUUAGCCACCAAAUAAAUUAUUUAGAUUUUAAAUUUGGUAGAAAAACCUUGGUAACUAACUAGAUACCAAUUUAGAAAUCAUUUGACAAUAAUAAAAACUAAUUUAUAAACCAAUUUUUUUUUUAUUUCUAAAAUAGUCUCUAAUUUAGUCACUAUAACAACUAAUUAUUAUUUUUAUCUAAAUUUAGUUUUUAUUUCAUUAUUUUCUUGUAGUGAAUUAUCAUGUUACUUAUUAUAUAUUUUUUUUUUCAAAUUUUCAUGUUUAAAUAUAGUUGUAAUCUCUUAAUUUAAAUUUGGAUUUCUUUUAUAUUGGUUUGCUAAAUUAAAUUUUUUUCCUUCAUUUUGAAAAUGGUUUUCUUAUCUCUAUGCGUACAGUAUCAAAUAUGAUGUGAUUAAUAUUGUGUUUUCUAACUAUUUAUAAAAUAUGAAUUUUAAUGAUUUUUGUUAAAAUAAUUAAAGUCGUAUUAUAGUUAAAAAAUCAUGAGAAAUGAAGUUUCUAAUAUGUGAUGAUGUCUAAAGAUUCACGUCAUAAAACGACAAAAAUAUAAAUAUGAAAUUUAGAGACUAAACUAUCCUUAUUCUUAUAAUCUUCUGAGACCGAAUGUACCUAUAGAAUAUAUUCUGCCUUUUCUUCUUCUACUUGCCGUCAAGUAUGUCUCAUAGGUGGGGUGGUUUAUAUUAUUAUUAUUAUUAAUAAUUUUAUAUUAUUAUUAUUAUUAAUAAUAUAAUUUAUAUUAUUAUUAUCAUUAAUAUAUUUUAUAUUAUUAUUAUCAUUAAUAUAAUUUAUAUUAUUAUUAAUAUAAUUUUUAUUAUUAUUAAUAUAAUUUUUAUAAUUAUUAAUAUAAUUUUUUUAUUAUUAAUAUAAUUUUUAUUAUUAUUAUUAUUGUUAAUAUAAUUAUUGUUAUUAUUAAUAUAAUUUAUAUUAUUAUUAAUAUAAUUUAUAUUAUUAUUAUUAAUAUAAUAUUAUUAUUAUUAAUAUAAUAAUAAUUAUUAAUAAUAAUAAUAAGUAUAAUAAAAAUCGUGAUAUGACCAAAGAACUUGUCUAGGCGAGUGGUUAAUGUUUCCAUUGGUCACUAAAAGGACUAGUGUGGAAGGGGUUGUCGAAGACAUUCGUCUCUCAAUUGACCCUGUUGGUGGUACUGCCGAGUUGGAUACACCCCGCCCUUGGACUUCUAGCUACAAAUGGGUUGACUCAAAUGUUUUUGGGUAUCCUUCUCAGUUUGGAAUUACUGCUUCCCUGAAAGCUUUUAGUGCAAGUAUCGACAUGGUGGACCCGACUUCACCGGAUGGGGUCGUUUCCCUUCGAAGGUGCUCGCCAUCCGACUCAAUUUGUUUGGUCCCUGAGUCUUCCAAUUAUUUUUUUCUUUUACUCUUGCCUAUUAACUGACGCUCAUGUUGGUUUCUCCUUGAUGAUUUUUCCAUUGGUGAAUGUGGCGCCAUCACAGCUCCACCCGAAUAGCUGGGUGUAUGUCCAAGCUUUCCAGCUUCUUUGUUUAUUUCUUAAUGUAAAACAAACUCCGAGGUCUUCCUGCAAAUGUAUAGUAUGAGGCCGGGUAACCGAGUAGGGUGGUUAUCCUUAAUAAGUCAGCUAAGUUUUUGUUUGCUAGCCCCCUUUACUUCUUCUCAUAAGAAUUUUAAAGGGAGGUUUUUUAAGGUUGUGAUCAGGGAAGAGGGUCGUCCCUUUUUUUAUGACGACAACUUUCCACGUUUUCCCUUUUGCUGGACUCGUAACCCCGCGCAUUUUUGUGUAUGGGCAAGGCCAUCUCUGACCUGGGAAGACUUCGAUACUUUGUCUAUUUUAGACAAACUCCCUCGAAAACUCCCUACCCGAUAGUUGUUGCGAGUUUUCCUUUCGGCUACUCGACUUCAAGACAUCGAGGGUACGCUUUGUUUUUGUGAUUUGUGUUUUGAUUUUGUCUUUUGAUGUUUUUUUACUUUCUUCUUUUUCAUCUAUCAUGGUUGCCACCACGUCGGGAGACGGGAAACUCUUCUAUAAAGAAUUGUUGAAACAAAGGCAAGCCGGGACCCUUUAUGAACCAUUCCUGUUGCCAAGAAACUUCCUCCUAAAGAUCCCAGCUCGAAGAAAGCUUGUCGGGAGCACAAGAAGACUUUACAACGACAUUCUGACAAGUCAUCUUCGAGUUGGUCUUAUAAGAGGCCUCAUGUUGAAGUUGGGCUCGAGCUCAACUCCAGAUUUUCUUGGCCGAGAUAUGUAUCUUAGCGAAAAAGUUUCUAUUUCUCUUAGCUUGUCGAGAAGGAGGAAUUCAUUGUUGCUUCCCCUUCAGAAAUGGCCGUGUAAUUCUUUGAACUGGGUACCUGUACUCUCAUCCUCGGGAAACGCAUGGGCUCAGUUCUAAAGGAGCAAGAUAGCACCAAAGUAGAGGGCCUAAAAACCGAACUAGCCGAGUCUGCUGCUUCCCUCCAAAGUGCACAUGAUUCCAACAGCGUUCUACUUGGUAAAAACAAAGACCUCGCUGCCGAGCUAGCUCGGUUGAAGUUGGAAAAUGAUAGGCUCUUGGCACGCUGCUUAUCGGCCAAAGAGAAGGAGAAGGAAGUGUUGGUCGAGCAGGAGAAGCUGGUUGUGUCUUCUUCGGCCAAGAGGGAGAGGGCUGACCAAUUCCAGCCGGCUCCGCACAAGGUGGGUGAGGAUCUCCAACGCACUCAAGACUUCGUCCUCCACCCACACGAGUCACGUUUCAACAAGGGGCUGGAACAAGCUGCGUUCUUUUAUGGCAUCCCCCUUGAUGAAGGGAAGAUUUUACGUAAAUAAGGAUUUUUACAAGGGGGAGUUGGUGCCUAUUACCGAUAUCCUAGAUGAGGGUGGUGAAGAGGAGUAUGGAUGACUUGCCACUUCCGAUCUUGAUGAUGAUGCCGGCAAGUCUUGAUGGUUUUUCGUUUUGAACUUUACUUUUGUUUGGUCGAGAUGAGCUCGUGCUUAUUUUGACAUCACUAAUGUAAACGAUUGGUCACCGUUGGUAGUUUUCUAUCUUGGACAUUGUAUUGAUUUACUAUAUUUAAUUACGAACAAUUUUCUCGUUUUUACAGCUUGCUCCUUUAUUCGUUUUUUUUAUUAUUCGCCUUUUCGUUUAUUUUUUCGUGCUUGUUUACUUGGUUGUUGUGUUUUUCGACGUUUCGACUUUCUUUUACAAAUCCAUUUUUGGAUUCUUCUUUGGUUUUUCUUUUACUUUGUCGGUAGUGAUCCAUUUUUAGGAUUCUUCCUUAACCGAGAUGGUUGUGUGGAGGAAACUGAUUGCAUUCUCAUGCCUUGUACAACAUUUCCAGUUGGCCGUGCAAUAUGCUUUCGGGACGAGAGUGCAUUACAUUCUUAACUAAAAUAAAAUUUAAGGUGGCUAACAUUUCACGUUCUUGGUAUUGGUUGUCAAUCGAGGCAUUCUAGGCGGUAUGCUCCGUUGUAAAAAGCUUUCGUUUACAUGGAACGGGCCUUCCCAGUUUGAUGCUAACUUUUCUUCGGUUUUGUCCUUCUGAUCAUCGCCCUUCAUUCUUCACACUAGAUCUUCGGGAUUAAAAUCUUUGGGUUUCGUCUUCGCAUUAUAUCUUCGAGUUGCUCGUAUUUUGCAGGCUUCCUCUUGUAUUUUUUCUUUGUCUCAGAGCUCUUGCAGUAGAUCUAGCUCCGUUAUAAUUCAUUCUUCAUUGACUGUUAAGUCAGCCAGUUGUCUUUGAAUUGUUAGCUCCCCAACCUCGACUCGUAACAAGUGUCAUAUGUUAAGUUAUAUAGUGUUUCACCGGUUGAGGAUUGAGGGGUGCACCGAUAUGCCCAUAGUACCUUUAGUAGCUCUUCAGCCCAACGCCCUUUCACUACUCCUAGCCUUUUCUUCAAUUCGUUUAAGAUAACCUUGUUAGCCGCCUCGGCUUGUCCAUUCGUCUGAGGGUGUUUGACUGACAUUACUCUGUGUGUUAUGGCGAAGUCUUCGAAGUACUUUUUUCAGCUUUUUGUCAGUAAAUUUUUGGUAACCAUCGUAUGGGGUAUGCUGAAACGACAUAUAACGUUUUUCCAUACGAAUUGUUGUACUUGUGUCGUUGUUAUCGAAGCUAGCGGCUCGGCCUCGAUCCAUUUAGUGAAGUAAUUGAUUGCCACAAGGAGGAAUUUCCUUUCCUCAAAUGUCUGGGAAAAGGGACCAAUGAUGUUCAUUCCCCACAUAGCGAACGACCACGGGGAGUUGAUACUCUAAAGGUUUUGGACGGGCAGAAGGAUACGAGGUCUGUGUUCCUGGAAACUUUUGCAUUUUUUGCUGAACUCGGUGCAAUCGGCCCUUAGUUCAGGCUAGUAAUAUCCUGCCUUGAGGACACGACUUGCCAUAUUACUUCCUCUCGAAUGAGUUCCACACACCCCGUUAUGUGUCUCAUUCAUUACAUACUCCGCUUCCGUUUUGCCUAAGCAUUUAAGCAAAGGUGUCGAAAAGCCUCGCUUAUAUAGAUCUUGUCUGAUUAAUAGGAAAUGUGAUGCCUUACAGUGUAAUGCAGAGUCAGCUAUCUCUUUGCAUGCAUCUCGGUCUUGGACUCCCUUUUCCAUGAUGGAUAACCAACCUUGGGGCCCGGAAUUCGUGUUUAGGCAUUCCUUUACUGACAUCGUCGGUCCGAGAAUACUUUGUUGAAUGAUUGUACUCAAUCCUUUCUUGUUUUUACCACUAGCGAGCUUGGACAGUACGUCAGCUCGAGUAUUUUCCUCCCUCCUUAUAUGAUUCACUUCCACCUCUUUGAAGUCGGUCAUCAGGGCGGAUACUCAGUGGAAGUAUUUAAGUAGCAAAGGAUCCUUGAAUUGGUAUUCCUUCUUUACUUGGUUGACCGUCAAUUGGGAGUUGCUACGACACGUCACCUUUCGUGCUCCCAUAUCCCUGGCUAGGAGCAGGUCUAGAAUUAGCGCUUCAUACUUGGCCCGGUUAUUUAAUGCUCUGAAUCCAAAAUGCAAGGACUGCUCGAUCCUGAUGUGUCACGGUACCUUUAGGACUAUCCUGGCUCUGCUUCCCAUUUUAUUUGACGAGUCAUCCACAUACAGUGUCCACCAUUUGUCACUCACUUGAUUGUCCUGUAGCUCUGAAACAAAAUACGCCAAACGCUCGGAUUUCAUAAGUCAUCGAGGUUCGUACUUGAUGCCAAACUCGGACAACUCCACAGACCAUGCUAUCAUUCUUCCCAUCAAUUCUACUUUUUAGAGUACCUUGCUUAUCGGGAAGUCAGUUUUAACAAUCAUUUGAUAACUUUGAAAAUAAUGCCCAAGACUCCAGGAGGUAUGCACCAACGCCACUUUUUCGAUCGUUUGGUAAUGGGUCUCUGGGCCUUGCAACACGCGACUGACAAAGUAUACAUGCUUUUGGUCAGUCGUUCCUUGGGCGAUAGUGGCGCUAAUGGCUUCAUUUGUCACAUCUAAGUACACUAGUAGUGGUUCUCCAUCUUUCAGUUUUCUGAGAACUAGCGGUGUAGUCAACCUUUUCUUGACCUCGGUGAAUGCGGCUUCACACAUGUCGUUCCAAUUGAAGAUGUUCGCCUUUCGCAUUAGUUUAAGAAUGGGCCUUAUUUUCUCGGCUAACUUUGGGAAAAACUUUAACAUUCAGGAUAUUCGGCCUACCAGUCUUUACCCUCUUGCCUAGGAAUUUUCCGCCUUCGACUCCGAACACACAUUUGGUCGGGUUAAGCCGCAUAUCAAACUUUCGAAGCUGGGAAAAUAUUUCUUCUAGAUCUUUAGCGUGUUGCUCCGAGUUCUUUGACUUUACAAUCUUAUCGGUCAUGAACACAGUCUUCGAUUUAUCUGCUUCAUGCAUGGGUAUUUGGUUAUACCCAGAGUAGGUGUCCAAAAAACUCAUCACGUUGUGCCCCGCGACACCAUCAACCAACUUGUAAAUGCUAGGAAGCAGGUAAGCGUCUUUCAGACAUGCUUUGUUCAGGUCCGUGUAGUCGGUGCACAUACGUCAUUGACCGUUGCUCUUUUUUACGAGUACAAUGUUGGCCAACCACAUAGAGUACUGGAUUUCUCGAAUGAACCUGGUCUCAAGUAACUUACCCACCCCCGCCUGCGCUAUUAACCUUCUCUCUUCUCCCAACCUCAUCUUUCUCUAACCUACCAGCCUAGCCUCUUGGCAAAUGGCUAACCUGUGGAACAUGAUUUUAGGGUCAAUGCCCGGGAUGUCGUCCGCUGUCUAGGCAAAAAGAUAUUUAUUGUCAGUUAAGAUCUAUACAAUCUUUCGUUUUUUCUUCUUCGUGCAGGUUCGAAUUGAUCUACAUGUCCUGCCCUAGGUUGCCAGUUUGCCAUGGAACAGUUUCGCAUCUCGGUUCUACCCUCAAUUCGUCGUGUGGCCUUGGGUCGAAGUCACCAUUUCCUACAAUGGUGUUUAUCUCCUCUUUUUUUGCAGUCUGUACCUUGGCAGAAUUUUCAAGCUGUUCGCGUAGCCUUCCUGGGCGAAAUUUUCAAGCUGGUCGCGUAGCCUUCCUGGGCAGUUUUCUAAUUUAUUCUUACCCUUGCAAUUUUCCACUUUCGGUCGAAAACUUCAUGGUUAAAUGUGGGGGUGAAACGAUGGCCCCAAUCCAUUUCAGAGAGGGUCUUCCCAACAACAUGUUGUAUGAGGUAUCAGUGUCGACGAUCACAUACUUAAUAUUGACAGUUUUUUGCCUCUUAUCCUCUCCAAACUUGGUAUACAUAUCGACAUACCCUAUUGUGUCCACCCAAUUCUUCAAAAAACCUACAAUUUGUUCGUUGAAAGGGACGAUGGGCGGUAGUCUCCACGACCUGUCCUCAGUUUGCGUCGGUCAAACCUUCUUUUCUUUUGCACGAAUUGCCUCAGUUGGUCGGUCGGUAUGAGCUCCUUUAUCUUCUCUUUUAGUGUGGCACAUUCUUCAGUAGUGUGAUCGAAGUUUCGGUGACAUCUGCAAUGCUUGAUCUAAUCGACAUUGGGUGGUGUAAGGGUCCUCUUUUGCGGCGGUAUCAGAUCCGCGUUCAGGGCCUUUUCUAGAAUCUGGGAUUGUUCGAUCGUGAAGGAGGUAUAGUGCAGGAAUCUAAACGGUUUGGGGAAUUCUUUGGGCCUCCUCAGCGCGCGCAUUCCCUUGGGUGCCUCUCUCUUCGCUCUUCGAUUCUCAGCUUCGUCUGUGAACUUUGUUUUAAAUUCUCACAUUUCUUCCAGUUGCAUGAAUUUUGCAGCCCUUUGCCUCAGCUCGUCUAGGUUGUUUGUCAGCUUUUUGCAUAGGCUGUCAAAGAAUGGUCCUAGUUUGAAGGCAGUCACCAGGUGGUGGAGCGCCAGCAUUAGACUCAAGUCUCUCAUGGAAAGGGCUACUCUUUUGUAUCUAUCCAUAAAGGACUUUAGUGUUUCAGUCCUUUCUUGUUGAAUGUUUAUGAGAGUGAGAGAGGUUAGGUGGUGGGGUGUGCUUGUAGCGAAUUGAGUCGAGAACUUGAAUACUAAGGUAUUGAAGCAGUCAAUCGAAUGUGAAGGUAGGCGGGUGAACCAAUUCAGUGCGGCUCCUUUUAACGAAAUGGGAAACACGCGACCUAAUAAGGCGUUGUCAACAGUGUACAAGCUUGUUUAUGUUAUGUAUGCAUCAACAUGUUCGUCCGGAUCGGUGCUCCCCUCGUAUUUAUCAAUGGACGGGCUCUUCCAUAUAGGUGGUAAUGAUACUUCCAUGAAGUUUUCUGUGAAGGGGUGCCGACGUGACGACAACCCUACAGUUGCUCUAGAAGCCGUAUAGCUAGUAUAAUAGGGUCAAUAACUAUUUUCUCCUUCAGGUGUGUCUGAGUUUUGUUUUCGGACAGGCUGUGUUCCUUUCUAUCAAUGGUGUUUGUCCAAUCUCUAAACUUUUCUUCAUUAAUAAGUUCUCGACCUUCAAAGCCUUUAUCUCUCUCACGUUCUUUUGCUUCAUAUUUUCAAACUCUCUCUUCAUUUCCAUCAUCAUGGCAAUUGGGUCCACUGAUGUUCCUUCGUGCUGUCGGUCGUUUCUUGUCAUAUUUCUCAUUGCUACCAUGUGGCUACUCGAUAUGUUUUUCUUUCGGCCCCACGGUGGGCGCCAAAAUGUUCUUACAAUCUGAGACUGAAUGUGCCCUACCAAAUUUCUUUUGCCUUUUCUCCUUCUGCUUGCCAUCAAGUUUGUCUAAUGGGUGGGGUAGCUGCAAAGACACUCUAACGCUCAAGUCAGUUUGGGUACAUGAGUGUUUAGUGAGUUUGGAACUAGAAAAGUCAUUACCUUUUAUCAUGUGAGUCUUGUCUUAUUUAUAGCCUUAUAUUGGGCCUUCUGUCUUAAUUACGUUGGCUUAGGCCCAAUAAUUCUUAAUAGUGUUUAGUUAUCCAUUAAUCCCAAGUUAUUCUAAUUAAUCAACUAGGCUACUUCUUACGAGACCCACCAAACCCUCCACAACCACCAAAAAACGAAAAGGAGUUAUAAGGUCGCCUUGUCUUAGACCCCUUGUUGGUUUAAAUUCCUGAGUAGGACUACCAAUGAUUAGCACAAAACCCUAAUCUAUUUAGCAUGUAAUACAAAAAAUCUCACCUAAUGGAGUCAUAAACUUUUUCAUAGUCAACUUUUAUGGUUACUACUAGCUUAUUGCCCUUCCUUAACUCCUCCACCACUUCAUUUGUUACAACAAUGUUUUCCACUAGACACCUAUCUCUCAAGAAAGUAGAUUGUUAGUUGUCUAUAAUUUUAGAAAGGAUAUUUUUCAAUCUAUUGGCUAGAAUUUUAUAUAUAAUCUUAUAUAUUGCACCCAAAAAAGAGAUAAAUCUGUAUUAAGUAAUAUAUAUAUUAUAACAUUUUUCUUAAAUUCUCAAAUGUUUAUCUGUAAAACAUGAAAAUGCUUAACGAAGUGGGGUUUUAUAAAUAAAUGAACAAUAUGCAUAAAUGAAAAGCCAUGGUUGGUUGAAGUUGAUAAAAAGUAACAUAGUUAAUUUCAUAAUGUUUUGUGUGAUGAUGAAAGACUUAAUUUUAAGCAAUUUGAAUAACAAAAGUCAUAAUACAUAUGAGUUGGUCUAGAAAGAUAAAAACUAGGAAUGAGACUAAUGCAACCAAACUAUUUUAAUAAUAAUUAAAAUCAUAUCAGGAUAUUCAACUUUAACCGGAUGAGGUAGAAACUGUUUCUUCCUUUUUCAUAGAUAAGAGAAUCUCCUAGAAAAAAUAAAAUAAAAAAUUAGAAUUUUUAAUUGGACAAGUGUUUGUUAUAGUAAGAAACAUACAUACCCUAUUAAAUUUAUGUAAAUCUUCUUUAUGAGUUGUGCUUACUCUUUUCCUUUUUUUGGGGGGCGAAUAGUUGAAUAUGCACGUUUGAGGCCUCGGUGGAUGAAGUAUGUUUUUGGUAAGAAUUAUACCUCUUUGGAUUACCUAGGUUUGAAUGGUAACGUAAUACCAACAACUAAUUUUGAUUCUACAUAACUAUCAUAUUACCUAUUAUACAUUCUUUUUUUCCCUUUUUUUUCAUGUUUAAAUAUAGUUUUUUAAUCUCCUAAUUUAAAUUUGAAUUUUUUUUAUGUUGUUCUUCUAAAUUAAAACUUCUUUCCCUUCCAUUUUAAAUUUCUAAAAUAUGAGUUUUAACAUUUUUUAAUUGAAAAUUUAAAUUAGUGAUAUAAUAUUAUUUAUAGAUAUUUUUAGCAGUCAUAACUAAGAACAUAUGAAAAAGAAGAGUAAUAGAAUUUUUAAUAUUAAUUUUAAGAAGUUUUUAAGACAUAAAAAUCACAUAAAUAUAUAAAUAUUACAAUAGAUAAAGUAAAUUUCUUUAAUUAAUAUAUAUAAUAUAACAUCUCUCUUAAAAUCAGCAUGCAUUAGUAUGAAACAUAAAAAGUUGUCAUUCAAAAAUUGAAAACGUUUGAUAAAGUGAGAUUUUGUAAAUAUUUUAACAAUCUACCUAGAUGAAGAAAUGAAAUAAAAUGUAAUGGUUUUAUGUUGAAGUUGAUGAAGAGUAAAAUGACAAUCAAUUUAAAAAAAAAUUAUACUCGUGAAAGACUGAGUUAUGAGUAAUUUGAAUAACAUUUUUCUUGUUGUCAUUAUACAUAGGAGUUGAUCUAUAAAGAGAAACAUCCAUGUUAGAAAGAAGUCAAUGCAACCAAACUAUCUCAGUAAUGGCUAGAGUCAUGACACCAUAUUCAACUUCAUUAGAGGAACCAUAAACAUUAUCUUGUUUCUUGCUCUUUCAAAACAUAAGGGAAUCUUUUUAGAAAAAUGCAAAAAAACAUGUAGUAGACUUAUGAUGAGUAAGGUCAUGAAUCCAAUCAACAUUAGAAUAAGCACACAACUUCAAGGAAGAUGAUGAGGGAAAAAGAAAGCUCUGAAAUUAAGUACUACGAAGAUAUCUAAGAAUGCAGAAAACAACUAUGCAAAGCACUAGUAGGAAAAACAAGAAACUAACUCACAACAUGAACAACAUAAGCAAUAUCAAGAUGAGUAAUGGGUGGAUAUAAUAGAAUAUCAACAAUAGUAUGAUACAUGGUGAGAUCAUAAGAGAAACACCAUCAGAAGAAGUAUAUUUCACAUUAAGUUCAAUAGAGGUAUCAAUUGUAUGCGUAUCAGAAAGACGAGCAUGUGCUAAAGUGACAAUAUACUUAGAUUGAGAGAGAAGAUAACAUUUAGGAGAAUAUGUACCUUCAAUAUCCAACAAAUAAUGAAAAGAACACAAAUCCUUUCAUUUUAAACUAUUUUUUCAACUACAAUUUCAACUAUAAUCCGAUCUACAUCAUCUCUGAUGAUUAUCAUGUCGUCAACAUAUAAAGAGAUAAUAAUACGGUCAUGAGAAGAAGUAUUUCAAAACAAACCAGAUUCACAAUCACUAGAACAAAAUCCAAGAGAUGCAAUAACUAUGGAGAACUUUUCAAACCAAGUUUAAGAGCUUGUUUGAGAAACACCUAGAGGAGGUAUCGUGUAUACCUCAUUUUAUAUAUCUUCAUUUAAGAAAUCAUUUUUAAUAUCCAACUAAAAAUAUCCUAUUGACGAAUAGAGACAACAAUAAUAAGAGUACAACUAUACAAAUGGUAGUCAUCUUAGAAACCGGGACAAAGAUUUAUGCAUGAUCUAUAACAUAUUCCUAAGAGAAUCCUUUAGCAACUAAACUAGUUUUGUAAUGCUCAACAAACCCAUCCAACUUUGUUUUAAUUUUACAAAAAGCCAUUUUUUCUUGGAGGAUAUCAAGUCUCAAGUAGCAGUCUCAUAUAAAGUAGAAAGUUUCUCUUACAUAGCCUAUUGCCAAAGUGAAUCAAGGACAAUUUUUUUAUAAGAAGAGGACUCAUAAAUUUAUGAAUUAUGGUUAAGAGGAAAGCAAAGGAAGAAGAAUAAAAAGAAUAAACAAAAUUUGGUGAUUGGGUGGACUUAUGAACACAUGGAGGAUACCAAGGACGUGAAGGAUCAAUAAUCACAAGAGAUUUCAGGGAGUUUUGGGAGUUAAAAGAAAAUUAAUAUAAUGGAAUGUGUUCAAGGAAGACAACUUAACAAGAAAUAUAGAGUUUGUGGUUGGUAGGAUCAUGGCGAUGAUAAUUCUUUUGACAAUCCCAUAACUAAGAAAAGUGCAUAUUACAAAACUAGAGGACAAUUUAUUAUGUUCUUGUGGAUGAAGAAAAAAAUGUAGAACCAAAACCUUUCAAGGAAGAUUAAUUAGAAACACAACCAUACAACUUUUGAAAUGGAGACAUGAUUCAAUCUAAGCUUGCAUCUUCUUUUGUGGAUCUUUUUCUUCAUUGUUUUGAUUUGAAUAUCUUCUACGAAUGAUGAAAACUAUUGCAGAAGCAUGAAGAAUUGUAAAAUUUUUGGAAGAAAUGAAAAUUAUGUUAGUGAAUCUAAGUGGGGUUAGGUGAACACUUAGUUUCUAUAGUGAGGUUAAGCCAAGACUACUAGGAGGAGUCUAGAAAUUUGUAUAACAAGAAGACAACUCUAGAGAGAAUUUUGAACAAGUAAAAGUGUCUUAAUUGGACAACAUUUCAUUACUCAAAUUAGAGUUAAAAAUCAUGUACAAGAGACUCCUAUUUAUAGGAGAAAGUCUCGCAAAACCUCUCAAAUGAGAGUGUGACAAGUGUCACACCUUAUUGGUGCAAAUCCUCUCCAUUGAGGAGAAGGCAUGUGGAGCCUCAUGCCUUCCUUGCCUACAUUUCUAUUUACACCUCUCUUUUACUAUUAUACAUUCAACUUUCUUUUCUAUUUACAUCCUUCUCUACUUUGGCCCAAAAUACAAGACCCAAACCUUCCUAACUACUUUAUACAAUUUUUACAAGGCUAAGAAGAAGAAAAACACUUUACAAUAUCUUCAAUAAGUCUCAAUCUUUUUCUAUCUUCUCAGCUGAAAGUUUCGAGGUCGGAUGGUUUUCAUUAAGACAUACCUGAGAUAACAGAAGAUGAAAUUUGAAUAAUAACAUGAACAAAAUAAGACAUACCUAAAUCAUACAAUAAAAGAAAUUGGUAUAUUCAAGAUUUCUUUCAGCAACUCCCUUCUGUUGAGGAGUAUCAAUACAAGUUUGAUGAAGAGUUCCACUGAUGAUAAGUAAUUCACAAAAAAUUAUUAGAAGUGUAUUCACCACCCAAAUCCCAUUGAAAACAUUUAAUAAAAACAUUAUAUUUGGUUUUAAUCAUAAUAUGAAACAUAAGAUAUACAUAAAAACAAAAAAAAAAACUCAAAACAAUGUUUCAUAAGAUAAACCUAAUAAUAACAAAUAUGUUCAUCAAUAUAAGGAUACAUAAUAGUGAGAUUCACCUUUGUUAGGAACCAAAGAUGGACCCUGUGCAUGAUAAUGAGCCAAUUCAAAAAGGUGUAUGAGACCUAAAAACACACUUGAUAAAAGGUAAAGUAGUAAAUUUGACAAGUUUACAACCACAAUAAUUAGAGAUAUCAUUGGUCUGUAGCUUGCCUAAAACUCCAGUGGAGACCAAGUAAUUUAACUUAGUGAAAGAAACAUGUCCAAUACAUAAAAAUGAUAAAUCAAAAUGGAGGUUUCAAUAAUUGGAUUCUUUAGCUCAUCUAUUAUAUAAAAUCCCCAUAUCUACAACUUGUCCGAAUCAACCUCCUGAAUUGAGGAUCCUUCACAUAAAAAUUAGUAAAAGAAAAAAGAAAGCGAGUAAGUAAAGUCACAUAGUUGAGCGACACAAACAAGAUUUAAAGUGAGAAAAUAAAUGUGGAGACAAAUCCAAUAUCUGCUAAUGGCAUUGAGGAACCACGAGUAGUCCAAAUAGAUAUAGGUGAAACGAAAAUUGAGGACUAAAAAACAUAAGAUCAUAUGACAUGUGAUGUGAGACAUCAAAAUCAAGGAUCCAUAAGAAAUGAGACAUAUUUGAUGAAUUAGAAUAAAAAUUUUAAGAAUUAUGACUUGUGACGAAGUAGUAAGAAACUUUUGAAAUUCUUCUGCAAUAUCAAAUACACUGAUGAAAUUCAAAGAACCCUCAUUUUCACCUACAAUAUUUAAUUAAACAAUAAAAUAUUUAAGAAUAAUAAAGAAAAAAAUAACAAAACAAAGAUGACACAGGACACAAAUUAGAUUGCAAAUAGGACCUUGAACCCCUUAAAACUCCAUUGUCCUACAAUAGUUCAAACAAUAUGAAAGGAGAUGUGGAAAUCUCACAUUAUUUAUCGAACCAGAUGAGUUUAAUAGUAAAUGAUUAUCAAACCAGCUAUGACCUUUAAUACUAUAUUAUAUUUUAACUUAAAACCAAUUGACAUUAUGUGAAGUUGUUUAUACAUAUAUAAACUGCACUCCCAUACUUGAUGCAGGCCAUGUAAGACUUCCCAACACCCCUUUUAGACAGUUAAAAAUCGCAGUAAAUUGGAAAUCCAAAACCACCUUACGUGUCUAGAAGAAGAUAAAAAUAACAUUUUCUAAGUUAUGUAACUACAAAAUAUUUUUUUAAUGUAAUGCAUAAAAAAGUGAGUUAGAUUUGAGGGAAAAACAUAUUUAAACUUUUUUAUUAAGUUUAAAAUAUAAGUAAAUUCAAAUUCAGCAGUCAUGUAGUACAACAGUUCCUCGAGUGGCAUCAUGCAUGUUCCUCCUUAAAGAUAUUAGUUAAUUCAGACAAGCGUGGAUUACUCACGUAACAAAUUUAAACAAAGAUUUCACAAUAAGAUAUAACAUAAUGCAACAAAUGAGUAUUUAAAACACCAACUUGUUCCCUAGAUUUUACAUUACUUUUUAUUUUGACCCUUUACAUAAAAGAAUAUUUUACUUUUAAUUGUGUCAGAUUAUUUAUUAACUCAAAGAUUGUUUUUUUAUUUUACAGGGACUAUUUAUAGUAUCAAAGAAGGUGAGUUCCUCUAUUUGUAUAUUUUUUUUUAGGUAAAAAUUUAUUCCUCUAUUUAUAUAUGUUAUAAGUAAUAAGUUGAUGGAACAAGUUUCUUUAUAAAUAUAUUUAUUUGAAUAAAAAUAUAAAAACAUUAAAUAAAUUAUUUAAAAGUUAAAACUAAUUUAUAUUUAAACUAUUUUUUACACAUUCUUUAAUAUAACCUUUUCAAUUUCCAAUUUAUAAACAAUUUGAUUUAAUUUUUAAAUUUUUAUUUUUCUUUUAUAAAAAUACUUAUAAAAAAUUGUACAAAUAUAACUAAUAUUAUUUAUAAACUAUUUUUGCCAAAACAGUCCUAUAAUAAUUUUUUAUUAUGAUGAGAUCUAUCACUUUGAUUUUUAACUCUUCCAAUGACAUACUUUUAAAGAUAAGAAUUUGUGUACAGGUUCUAGGAGAGUAAUUGUUUUCAUUUUUAUUGACUAUUAUAUGUUAACUGAACAGCAUCCUUUAUUAAUACUAAGAAAACUCAUAUCCACAUUUUUAUUUCAUUAAAAUAAUAUAAUUUUGCAAACAAAAUAUUAAAAAUAUAUUAAAAUUAUAAAAUUUAUAUUUAUAUAAUUUUGUAAAAGUAAGAUUAAAAUAAUAUAUAUGGUUAUACAACUAUAUAUAGAGGAUCCUCAAUGUCAUCUUUUAAAAAUAAAACUAAUGUUACACAACACAUGUUAUUAUAUGAAAGAGAGACUAUAUUAGACUGACGUAAAAAAACAAAAAAAACACUUAAGAGUAACUUAAGCAUUUACAUUGAGAGUUUAAACCAAAAAAUAAAAAAAUUAAAUAAAGAUAAAAAGAAAAAUAAAAGAAGAUUUUCUAAUAUGUAGCUCCCAUAAAGAUAGCACGGAUAAACAAUUGAAUUCCAAAAUCCUAUGAUAUUAAUGCACAUCCAGACCAUUACUUUUGUUGGGUUGACUUGCUUUGGAGGUUUUAUUAUUGGCUUUCACUCCGACUUUAUAGGACGUCCCAAUCUCCUGAAAGUUUGAACUGGUUCAUUGUCUUCACUUAAUGAUUUCUCCUUAUCCAUCUUUUCAGCUCCGAACUUAGAAACCAAAUUGACUUCUUCUAAGAAAAUGUCAGCCAACGUAGAUUCAACUAUACUCAUUACCAAGAUGGUCGAACAUGUCUCUGAGUCUCUUAUUCACCAUCUAAACGAGAUUCAAAACAAUUUGCAAGGCCAAAUUUUGAGAAAUAAAUUUAAAAGUAACUCAUUUGGCAACUGCAAAUUUAGGACUUUUGCAUUAGUUGUAGAUUCGAGAUGAAAAAAUCCUUCAAAAAGACUAAAUUUUUCAAGAGGCAAGGAGUCUUUUUUUUUUGUAGCAAAUCACUUGAUUCGUGGACAUUCUCCAAAGAGAGUAUAUCAACAAAAAUAUCAUCCUGAGAUCGUGAACCAGACCUUAUAUCAACAAUUAAAACAAAGAAACAUUAUCAACAACAAAUAAUUCUUUUGUAGAUUUCUUAAACUUUUGACCAACAAGAGAUCCAACCUCCACUUGGCCAACAACAACUUCAACUAAGCGUAUCAAGAUCAAUAGCAACUCCCUCAACUUCCACCACCCCUGUCUUAUGAACAAGUACAUCAUAUUUCUAUAUCUCUACUGCAAAAUUUUGAUUCUCUAUGACACUAACCACUUCCUUGUGAGGGGCAUCUUUAAUUUCUUUUGGUAUGGAUAGUCACAGGUUUAUACUCUGCAACAAGUUUGGAUAAAAUAGUAGACGGUUUGAUUAUGUCAUUAAGGUUAUUAGGAUUGUUAGAAUAUAGGGCUGAAACAAGAGGGGGUGAAAUGUUUUCGCAAGAUUUUCAAAAAGGCUGGAAGUAGAUUAGUAGAUUGAAAAGAUCAGUUAAAUCAAUCAAUUGAUUUAUUUUUUCAACUGGUUACUCAAUAGAUUACAGUUAUGUGAAAAAUAUAAACCUAUUGUUUUUUACAAAUCAACUAAUUGUUUAAUGCAGAACACACAGAGAAGUAUUUAAAAUAGUUUAUCAGAGUAGGGAAGAGAGAUUCACACAAAGAAGUUUAUAUUGGUUCACUAUAAACAAAGAGCUACAUCCAAUCCCCCGCAAACCACUUGGAAUUCACUAAGUAAUCAAAAAAUAGAUUACACCACAACCAAGAGUGUUGAUCUUGAAUCCUUCAAGAACACACAACACUUAACAAAAACACAGUUUCUAGAAACACAAUAUGAAAUUGUUUUACACACAAUACAAAUUAAAAGAAUGAAUUAGAAUACACCUAAGCUUUAUACAGUUGAAAAACAAUAGAACAUAAAACUCAUAAUCAUAUUUCACACAAAAGCAAUGAUCCAAGACUUCAAGAAUGAUUAAAAGCUCUUUAGUCUUCUCUCUUGAAAAACAUGUUCAAUAAACUCUCUUUUUCUUUUUGAAAUGAUGAGAAAACAGUCUUUAUAUAGACUUUAAAAGAUGGGUAAAACAGUUUGAUCAUUAAAUGAAAUCUAUUACAAACAUUUAAAAACAUUUGAAAAUCAUAACAAAAUUUUGUUAAAAUCACUUAAUUGAUUUUUAAAACAAACUGAUUGUUUUCACUUUCGGUUAGAAACUCAACAUAAAAAGUUUGUUCAUUUAUCGAAAUAACUAACUAUUUUUUCUUUACAAAAAAGACAAAAGAAAACAAAUCAUUUUUAAAUCCUUUUAAAAACCGUAAGUGUAAUUCAAUUGGUUGUCGCGAUAAAUUAACCAUUUGAAAAACUUGUUGUAGUCACCAAAUUAGAACAAAAGCUUUUUCAACGAUUUAAAACACGAAACAACUAACUAAAAUUAACACAAAUUUGAAAAACAAAACUUUCAAAAAAGAUUUCAAAUCAUACGAACUUGGAUCAUAACUAAGUGCAAAUUAACAACUCAAAAUCUACCUAACUACACACAACAGCAAAUUCUUCAAGCUGGAUUUGGAAAUCAUCAAAGCAACCUUGUUCAAUAAGGAUGUCGUCUACAUUUAGAAAUAUCAUACCCUGUCAUUUUACACAAAGAGAAAAAUGGAGACAACUUCUCAAAUUCAAUAUCUGCAAAAAAGCAAAACCAGGUAUUUCCACCAAAAUUUGAUUAGGGAAAGCAUAUAACAUAUCAAAUAAGCAAAAAAACCUCUAAAUUUAUUCAGGUGCGGUCAUCAAGGGAAAAAGGAGUACUAAUCCAUUUCUCUAUAGAGAAAAUUGUUUUUGGUUUCCAAUAUUCCAUAGGAAGACUGGAUUUUCACUCAACAUGGAGCUUUGGUGAGUUUCAUUUAAGAUGGCACAAAGUCUGGUUCAAGCAAAGACUAUCAAGAUACCCAAAUUGAGAUUCCAUAACCUCAUUGCUAGGACUCUUCUAAUGUCUUCAAGAGAAGAAAAAACAAAUUCAUAAAACCCUUUUCCCAAAGGAAUAACUUUCCAAAAUCCUUGAGACUUUCAUGUAAGAUCCAACUUUUUGCUCAUGUUCAUAUGAGUAAGAGGUUUGUCACCUUUGGAUAGUACUAUUCUUCCAUGAAGGUGAUUUUACCUUCUUCAAGACUUACGAGAUACACAUCUACAUCAAUUUGAAUAGAUAUCAAAUCUCCAUUCACUAGUGCAGAAACAUAAAACAAAUGCGGUUGUUUUGAAUUUAUAAAUGCGGCUUUAUAACCGCAUUUGAUCAACACGCACUUGUAAAUCAAGAAAUAUAAAUGCGGCUAUAUAGCCGCAUUUAUAAAUACCAUUUACAAGUGCGGUUAUUUGCUUAACCGCACUUGUAUAUGCCGAAUCAUUAAAAAUUUUAAAACAUCGUCAAUCUUGUGUGAAGCCAAGAUUGAUGAAGAGUCACGGGAGCGAACAACGGUGGCGGCAGCAGAAGGGACGACGGACAGGGAAGCAGCAACGAAGCAAACCAAAAAAUCCACAAGAAACCACGAAGACAAUGAAAGAGUGCUUCGAGACCACUAAUGCAAGGAAAAAAACAUAUAUAAGAAAAACGAAAAACAUUUAUGCAUAUAUUUGUGAAGAUGAAGAGGAAAAAAGAGAGUUCAAGAAACUUACAUUGCACAAAUGGAAUGCAAAUGUAGUAGAAGGAGACGAACUCAGAGUGCAAACGCGAAACGAAGGCAAAGACGAGAAAUAAAGUUUGAAAUUGUGUGUGGCGCGCUUCAAAAUUUAAGGUAAAAAAGGAUUUACGAAUGCGGUUAAAGGUAAAACCGCAUUCGUAAAUCAAAGAAUUUUGAUUUACGAAUGCGGUUAUUCAAAUAACCGCAUUUGUAAAUCAAGCGCUUUGAUUUACAAGUGCGGUUAUUCAAAUAACCGCAUUCGUAAAUCAAGCGCUUUGAUUUACGAAUGCGGUUAUUCAAAUAACCGCAUUCGUAAAUCAAAAUAAUUUCAAAAAUGCCACCGCGUUUUUAUUGAAAGCGGGUAGCGCAAAAGCCGCACUAAAUAAAGCGUAUCCUUUUCUUCUUUUUGCACUAGUGAUUAAUGCAAGAAGAAGAUAACAGUGAAAGAGGGAUAUCACCAACAUUAUUCAAGGUUUUGCAAAAUUCAUCUUUUGUGUUUAAGUCCUAUAAGAUAACUUGAUUUGCGAAGAACAACCUUAGUCCUUGAGACACCCCUAAAAAAUUUAAAAAUUACAAGAAUUUGUCCCAAUCCCACAACAUUAGAGAGAAAAAUAACCUAACCGCUUAGAAGAGAAGCGCCGACAAACCUUUGCUUAACCACCGAACUCUAAUUUUCAAGGAUAUAGUUUUGUCAUCUCAAUAAAAAAUUUAUCUUUAAUUUCAUCUUUUUAAUUGAUAAUUUUAUCAUUUUAUAAUUUUAUUCUUUAGUAAAAAGAGGAAUCCUGUUGUUGUAAUGGUCUAACUUUCCCAUUUAAAAUAACAUAAAUAUACAUUUUCUUUUAACUUUUAAAUCAUUCUUUUAGAAAUACUUUUUAAAAUUUUAUUAUCUGCAAUAACAUUAAUAAAGAUAAUAUUCUCUUUGGUACAUAAAUUCUCACUGUCUUAUCCUUUGAUAUUUUUUAAAACUAAAAUAACUACUUAUAUAACACAUUACCUACAAAAUAAGAAAUUAUUGUUUACAAAAUUAUAAAAAUUAUUUUUAAUUGGACAAUUUUAUCCUUUAUUAAUAAAAAUAAUUUAUUUAUUUAUUUAAUAAAAUAAAUAAUAAAAUAAAUUUAUUUAUUUAUUUUAAAAUAACUAAAGAACUUAUCUAUUAAAAAAUAAUGUUUAUAUAAUUUUUUAAUCCUAUUUUUAUCCUUUGAGUAGCGAUUUUUUAAAGCCAAAAUAACUAUGUAUAUAAAUAAACUACCUAUGAAAUCAGAAAAUAAUUUAUCUAAAAACUUAUAAAAGUUGGUUUUUUUUACUAUGAUGGGGUUAUUGUUUUUUGGUUUUUACCAAAAUGGGGUCCGUUUAAAAAAAAUUACAAAUUUAGGCAAGUCGUGCCUAAUUGGGACGACUUCAUAUGCAGAAGUUGUCCCAAUUAGGCACGACUUCUGCCCUGUCAUACUGAAGUCGUGCCAAGUUGGCACGACUUCUGCCCUGUCAUAUUGAAGUCGUGCCAACUUAGCACGACUUCUGCCACCUCAUAAUUUUUUAUUUUAUUUUAAUUUUAUUGUUUAUAUAUUGGAUAGUAAGUUAUGUAAUGUUACAAAUUAAUUUCUUCUCAUCAUUACGUGUUUUGUAAAAUCAUUACUUCUCAAACUAUUUAUUUUGCAAAUUCACAACAAUAAUUCUCUAUUUAUUUUCCAAAUAUAAUAAUUUUUCAUUUAUCUAUUUAUUUCCAAAUUCAAUAACAAUUUUCUUCAUUUUUUAAUUAAUCAAGUUAUUGUAUUACAUUACCGUCAAACAUGAUCCAUACACGAUUAUCCAAUUUUUGUUCCUUAAAACUAACACUCUUAGAAAAUUAUGUAUCAAAUUAAUUUUUAACAUUACAUAACUUACUAUCCAAUAUAUAAACAAUAAAAUUAAAAAAAAAUGACGUGGCAGAAGUCGUGCUAAGUUGGCACGGCUUCAAUAUGACGGGGCAGAAGUCGUGCCAAGUUGGCACGACUUCAUUAUGACAUGGCAGAAGUCGUGUCUAAUUGGAACGAUUUCUACAUAUGAAGUCGUGCCGAAUUGGCACGACUUGCCUAAAUUUGUAAUGUUUUUUUCAACGGACCCAUUUUGGUAAAAAUAAAAAAAAAUAACCCCAUCAUGGUCAAAAAACCAUAAAAGUUAUUUAUAUUUAUUUUUAAUUGGACAGUUUACCUUUUAAUAAAUAAAAUUUAUAUUUUUUAUUUAUUUAAUAAAAUAAAUAAUUGGAUAAAUCUUCUUUAUUUUAACAAAAUUAAAGAACUUCUUUUUUAAAAAAUAACAGCUAUAUAAUUUUACAAUACUAUUUUUACAAAAUAAUAUAUAUUAAUUUAUAUUUUUUAAUUAAAUAUUCAUAAAAAUAAAAUAAAAGACUAUAAAAGUAUUAAAAUUAUAAUUUUAUCUAUUUGAAUAUAAUAAAGAUGUGAAUACACAUGUGAGAAAAAUGUGUUUUCGUUAGUUUGAACAUAAGCGCGAGAACUACUGGAUUCUACUACUUUUUAAGUAAAAAAAGUUAUUGUUUUGGUAGAAAUAUAUUAUUUAAUUAUUGUUUUAUUAAUUAAAUAAAUAAAAAAUUAUUAAAAGAUAAAAUUAUCUAAUUAAAAAUGACGUUAAAGAUAGUUAUCAAAAUAUCUAUUCUUUUUAUUUAAUGAUAUAUAUUAUUUUUAGUAGAAGUAAAUUAUUCAAUUACUUGUUUUAUUAAAUAAAAUAUAUAUUUUUAUCUAUUAAAGAAUAAUUAUUUUUAAUUAAAACAUAACAUAAAAAAUAAUUAUAAAAAAUGUAUUGGCACUAUAUAAUACCAUAAAUGAUGAAAAUAAUAAUAAGUAUAAAUAACUUUAAAAGUUUAAGGAUUUUAUUAUUAUUAUAUUAAUAAAAAGAAGUUGAUAAGUGAUUUUUAUUUCAUUUUAAGGAAGUGUGAUUUUUUUUUCUUUAUUAUAACAUGAUGACAUUUGCGAUUUUAAUUCACAGGCUUGGUUAGAACAAUAAAUGGACAAAACAAAAAUAUUGAAUAUUACGGUGCAAAUCAAUUAGUAUUAAUUAAGUUGGGACAGUAUGUUAUACCAUACUUCAUAGUUAGAUAUGUUGUUGGCACCAUAUUGUUUAUUGCUCUUUUGACGUAUAAGUGGAGAAGAAGGCAUUCGUCCGAAUACGAAAAUAUUGAAAGUUAUUUAGAGCAAAAUAGCUUGAUGUCUAUUCGAUACACAUACAAGGAGAUUAAGAAGAUGGCCACAGGUUUCAAUGAAAAAUUAGGUGAAGGAGGUUAUGGCUCUGUAUUCAAGGGAAAGUUGCGUAGUGGACCUUCUGUUGCUAUAAAAGUGUUACGAAAAUCAAAAGGUAAUGGACAAGACUUUAUCAAUGAAGUUGCAACCAUUGGAAGAAUACAUCAUCAAAAUGUAGUGCAGUUAAUUGGAUAUUGUGCUGAAAGCUCAAAACGUGCCCUUGUUUGUGAGUUCAUGCCCAAUGGAUCUCUUGACAAAUUUAUAUUUUCAAGUGAAGGAAAUAUGCAUUUAACUUAUGACACAAUAUAUAAUAUAGCAAUGGGAGUAGCACAUGGGAUUACAUAUUUACACCAUGGUUGUGAGAUGCAGAUUUUGCAUUUUGACAUCAAACCCCACAACAUCCUACUUGAUGAAAAAUUCACCCCAAAAAUCUCUGACUUUGGAUUGGCAAAACUAUAUCCAAUAGACAAGAGUGUUGUGACUAUGACAGCAGCAAGAGGGACAAUUGGAUACAUGGCUCCAGAAUUGUUUUAUACAAAUAUUGGAAAAAUAUCAGAUAAGUCUGAUGUUUAUAGUUUUGGAAUGCUUCUGAUGGAGUUAGCAAGCAAGAGGAAAAACUUAAACCCCCAUGCAGAGCGUUCAAGCCAACUUUAUUUUCCCUUUUGGAUUUAUGAUCAACUUGACAAAGAGAAAGAUAUAGAAAUGGAAGAUGUCAUAGAGGAUGAGAAGAAAAUUGCAAAAAAAAUUAUGAUAGUUUCACUUUGGUGCAUACAAUUAAAACCAAAUGAUCGUCCUUCCAUGAAUAAAGUAGUCGAAAUGCUUGAAGGAGAUAUUGAGAACCUUAAAAUACCUCCCAAGCCUUCUCUGUAUCCACGUGAAACUUUGGAAAGAAUCUGCUUUGACCAAACAACAAUGUCUGAGUUCAUUAGUUCUUCAAGCUAUUCCAUGGGGAUUGUCACUAAUGAUCCACUAGAUGAAAGUAUUUAAUAAUGCAUAUUAGUUGUUUAUUUACCUCAAACUUAGUGACGACUUAAACAUUAUUCAUCUAUAAUAUUUACAUUGUCUAAGUUAUUUCCUAUUGUUUUAUACUUCAAAGUUUAAAAUGAUGGUUUACCAAAUUUAAACAUUUGUUUAAAGAUUUUCGAUAUGUUAAUUAUACUAAAGUAGUUGUAGCAUCCUAAGUUUUUUUUAAUUGUUAUUUAAAACUUAAUCAAAUAUACAAGUAAAUUUAGUUAAAAUAAUAAAUUAAAUAGGUAUAUUUUCUGAUAAGUGCAUGUACUAAAUUCUACAAUAAUUGGGAUUUUGUAAGCUAGAUAAUAGUACUUUAUUGUAAGCUAGAUUAUUGGCAUAGAAAGACUGGAGGAAAGAACUUUGAAGGAUCAACCUCACAAGAUUCUAUUGCAAGUACUUUAUAAGACAAACAUAUUUUGACGAGAGUAACAAUAAUUAGCUCUAGUGGUGGAAAACAAUGUUAUGUGGAUAAUGGAUUUAAGUGCAACUUGGCACCUUACCCUGCACCAAAAUUGGUUUUACACUUAUGCACCUAUUGUUGGAGUCGAAGAUUGAGCCAAAUUAUAUUUCAUGAAUUCAACCCUCAUGACGAUCGAAGACUUUGUUUAAUGAAGAAAACUUUAUUUCAUAUAACAUUUGUGUGUAUGUGUGUAUUUUAGUCUAUUUCAUUGUAUGGUUCGUAUGCUUAUAACUAUCAACAUAAAUGAAUCAUAAGAAAUGAUCCAAGGAUAAUGAUUCAAAUUUUUUUAAAUUGUUUAAAACUUAGGUAUUAAGGCAAUUUCAAUUAAUUGAAAUUAUGUUUUAAUAUGUUAAAAUUACUUACAACCUCAAAAAGUUCUAUACAGAUAUUUAAUUUGUUAAAAACAGUUGUUUGACAUAUUCAAAACUCUUGGUUUUAAGGAUAUUAUUAUUUUAUAUGUUUAACAAAUUUAAAUCUUUUAAAAUUUUAGGAUGUCUUAUCUAUUUUGUUUUAAUAGAUUGAAAACUCAAAUUAAAAAUCAACAAAUUGAUUGGAAUUUUUAAUCCAUUAAACUUUACAAAUCAAUUUUUGAAAAGUAUUUUUUUUUUAAAAAACAUCUUUUGAAAAACUUUGAAGAUAGAGAACUUAGGUUUUUAAGAGAGGAUUUUACUCUGAGCAAAAGUUUUUAUUCUUGGCUGAAUUUUUAGAACUUAGCUGGUCCUACUUGUAUUAAUGUGUAGUUCUUCCUUGAUUCUUUUUUUUAUGUGUAGGUGAAUUGAAAUUAGAUAGUAUUUCUAAUUUUUAUAAUAACAACAAGGUGUUGUUUCACUACAAGAAAAAAAUGAUUUUAACAGGGGUUUAUUUUUACAUCACCAAGGGUUAAAACCUUCAUUAAGUCACUUACCCAAGAUUGUAGUUUCCCAACCAUCCCUGAGGAAGGUGUUCCCCGACGUUUUUUAAAACCCCAAGAAAAGUCUUUCAAAACUCCUGUUAAAUACCAUGGGUUUAAGAACCUCCGUAAAAUACCAUGGGUUUUAGGACCUCCAUAAAAUCCCACAAGUUUUGAAACAUUCGUAAAAUACCAUGUGUUUUAGAACCCCCCGUAAAAUAACAUGGAUUUUAAUACAUCCAUAAAAUACCAUGGGUUUCAAAACCUCUAUAAAAUACCAUAGAUUUUUAAACCUCUGUAAAAUACCAUGGUUUUCAAAAUUCCUGUAAAAUAUCAUGGGUUUUAAAACCCACAAAAAAUACCAGAGGUUUUGAAACUAAAAACAUUUGUUUUUUUACUCAUUUUAUCGUUAAAACAUUCAUGUGCUUCUUCAAACACAACUAUAAGAAAUGAAUAUAAGAAAUAAAUUACAAACUUUCACUUUAUAUAUAUAUAUAUAUAUAUAUUAUUCACUGGUACUAUUUACGAUAAAAGUUACUAAUAAAAUUUUUUUAUCCACAUAUCCAAACAACAAAAGAGUUCAAGAGUUAAAACCCUUUUUUCUUGUAGUUCUUGUUGGGUAUAACACUCUUGUAGGGUUCAAGAGUUCUGUUUUUGGUAUUCUUUGUGUUGUAAAGAUUUUUUCCAUAGUGAAAUCUCAAAUAGUAUGGUUGGAAAACUAGAUGUAACUCUAAUAAAAGAGUGAAACUAGUAUAAAAGUUCUUUUGUGAUCCUUUUUCUCUCUCUAUUUACGUUUUUGCAUUUAGUUCUUGAAUUGAUUCUUAUGUUUUAGAAAAAAUUAACAAAUUGAUAUUCUGAUUAGAUCUAAUUUAACCGAUUGAAUUUUAAAUUUUUUACCAGUGAACUAAAAUUUUAAUUUGUUAUCUGCAAAUAAUUUAAUCUGUUGAUUUUUUAAGAACUCCAUUCUAAACUAUAUUUUCAAGAAAUUGUUUUUAAGUUCAAUUCACAUAGCCCCCCCGAACUCGACCUAUCAUUCUAACAAUUUCAAAGCUAGUUAUUUAAAUUUAUUAAAGUUUCAGUCCUUGUUUUAUGAAAAUGGUUGAGAAUAAAUUUCUUAUGCUGAGGGUGUCUCUAUUAACAAGUCAUCCAAGUUUGGAGUUGUUAAUUAUCAAUUUCGGAAAGUUAAAAUGAAGAUCUUUAUACAAUCAAUUGAUCAGGGUAUUUGGGAUGCAGUUGUUGUUGGAUCUAUUAGUGUCUAAGUUCAAGAGGGGAGGGGUGAAUUGAGCUUAUAAAAUUUUCGCAAGAACACACAAUUUUCAGUAUAUCAGAGGCAAAAGAACAGAUUGUUUUUACAUGAAACAGAUUGAUUCUUCAGAGCAGUCUAGCACAAUUUGAAUUUGUUCAAAUUAAAAUUGUGAUCAACAGAGGGUUAUAACAGAAUCAGAUUAGUUGGAUAUUAUGAGUAUGAAGAAUACAGCUAUGCUCAUAAAUCAAUCAAAUUCAUUCAACACAAGGUUUUAAGGAGAAUGACUCUUUCUCUGAUUUUAAUGAAUAGACUAUUUGUUCACAGAUCAAUUAAAACAUCAUAUACAACUGCCUUGUUUGUGAUCAGAGAGCUUUAACAAAUCAGGAAGAACAGUUUUUAUUAAACCCAGAAUUAACAGAUUCAAUUUCAAAAGAACAGAUUUAGUUCUUGACAGAAUUAAGCAAAACCAGAAACGAGUGCAGGGAUGAGAGGAAAAAGGCAAGCAGGUUUUUAUACUGGUUCACUCAUACAGAGCUACAUCCAGUUUCACCUUACCCCAAGGUGGAAUCCACUAAAAAUAGUANNNNNNNNNNNNNNNNNNNNNNNNNNNNNNNNNNNNNNNNNNNNNNNNNNNNNNNNNNNNNNNNNNNNNNNNNNNNNNNNNNNNNNNNNNNNNNNNNNNNNNNNNNNNNNNNNNNNNNNNNNNNNNNNNNNNNNNNNNNNNNNNNNNNNNNNNNNNNNNNNNNNNNNNNNNNNNNNNNNNNNNNNNNNNNNNNNNNNNNNNNNNNNNNNNNNNNNNNNNNNNNNNNNNNNNNNNNNNNNNNNNNNNNNNNNNNNNNNNNNNNNNNNNNNNNNNNNNNNNNNNNNNNNNNNNNNNNNNNNNNNNNNNNNNNNNNNNNNNNNNNNNNNNNNNNNNNNNNNNNNNNNNNNNNNNNNNNNNNNNNNNNNNNNNNNNNNNNNNNNNNNNNNNNNNNNNNNNNNNNNNNNNNNNNNNNNNNNNNNNNNNNNNNNNNNNNNNNNNNNNNNNNNNNNNNNNNNNNNNNNNNNNNNNNNNNNNNNNNNNNNNNNNNNNNNNNNNNNNNNNNNNNNNNNNNNNNNNNNNNNNNNNNNNNNNNNNNNNNNNNNNNNNNNNNNNNNNNNNNNNNNNNNNNNNNNNNNNNNNNNNNNNNACAGAGAAACAGAUUCAUUUUUGUGCAGUAUCCUGAUUUUAGGAGAAAACUCCAAAAAGCUUUUAACCACUUCAUGUGCUUAUUCUAGGCUUGGUUAGGCAUCUAGAAUAGAUCAUGUAGCAAAAGGCAACCUUACACAUACACCAGCCUACAUACAAGAUCAUCUAAACCUAUUACAAACUUUACAACAAACUAGCUAUUUUCUACAUCAAACACAAACUAACACUAGGUAGAGAAGAGACUUCAUCCAUCUUCAACAGUUGCUAAUGGUUAUUUUGUGCCUAAGCAUGUCAUAGAUGAUGAAACAAUUGCUAAUGGUUAUUUUGUGCCUAAGCAUGUCAUAGAUGAUGAACUUCUUGAAAAUCCAUGGGUUGACUGGUUUGAAAUCGAAAAUAAAGAAAUCUCAAUAUGAGUGCACUCCAAAGAAUAUUAUAACCUCUACGUUGAAUAUGAAUUAAGUUUUUAGGGUAUCACAAUCUUCUCCGGCUAAGGAAAUGUGGGAGAUUUUGGAAGUAACUCAUAAAGGAACUUCAAAUAUAAAGAGAGCCGAAAAACAUGCUCUGAUACACAAGUAUGAACUCUUCAAAAUGUAAUAGGGAGAGGGAAUUACAUAUGUGUAGAAAUGGUUUACAUAUGUUGUAAAUCAUCUCAUUUGUUUAGGAAAGAUCUUUGAUAGAGAAUAGUUGAAUAUCAAGGUUCUGAAGUGCUUAGAUAGAAUAUGGCAACCCAAGGUCACGACUAUUUCAGAAUUAAGAGAUUUGACCACCCAAACAAUAGCUUCCUAUUUGUAAAAAUGAGAAAGCAUGAGAUUGAAAUGAACAAACUGAAUGAGCAGAAAAGUGAAGUUAAGAAGACCAAAGGAAUUACUCGAAAAUCUUGUCUUCACAAAAGUGAGGAAGAAUCCAAUGAAUGUAGUGAUACAAAAACACUUAACAUGUUGACUAGAAAGUUCAGUAAAUUCUCAAAAAAGAAAGGCAAGAAUAAGGUGCAGUGAACAAAAAGGUAUAAAUUUAGAAAAUCCUAUUGAAUUUGGUUCAUCUAACUACACCUGUUUUGGUUGUGGCAAUACAAUGUCCAAAUGUUUCAAUCAAAGAAAAAGGUUAUGAAAGGAAACAUGAAAAAGGAGGAAAGUCCAAAAGAGCAUACAUAGCUUGGUAAGACAAUGAUGAGUCAUCAUCCAACUCCACAUUUAGAUAAGAAGAAGUUAACAUAUGCUUGAUGGUUGGAUAUGAAUCUUGAACUAGUAAUGUAAGAUUGAACUCUUCUUAAAAUGAUGAAAACUAUAGUCAAUUGUUAGAUUCAUUUAAGGAAACUAAUGAGGAAGGAAAUAAAUUGGCUCUUUCAAUGAAUAGAUUAAAAGGCCUAAACAACUAUUUCAAAAACAAGGUCAACACUUUGGAAGAAAAGUUAAAGAAUACCAAGUAUGAUUUUAAAAAUUUAGAGAUCAUGUACAAAAACUCUUCUUGUAAAUGUGUUGAAUCUAGUAAAUCAGUGAAGAACUGUGAAAAUUGUGAAGUUUAAAAAAAAAAGUUCAUUAUCUUAUAAAAAAUUUAAGUAUUUUUUUAUAGGAAAAGGAAAUUUGGAAGCUCUACUAGGUUCUCAAUUUUUUAUUUUUUUUAUAAAGCUAGUUUAAGGUAUAAACCUGAAUUUCAAAAUAAGACAAAAUAAUAGAAUUUUUUUUAAAAAUUUAGUAAAACACAAUCCUCACCUCUUGUCACCUGUUUAGGUUAUUUAAGAGGUCAUACCACUAGAAACUACAACAUAAGAAAAUUUGAAAUUCCAAAUGGCUUAAUUAGGUGGGUACCAAAAAGUAAAAUUAAUAGUUCUAGACCUAAGUUAAUAAGAGGCCAAAACCUGUUCCUUCAAUCUAUUUUGCAGGAUUCAUUGACAACCAAAAACCAUCUAUGGUAUCUUGAUAGUGACUACUCAAAGAACAUGUCUUGAGACACUUCAUAAUUGAUUGAUUUGCAACUAAAACAUGAGGAAUAUGUCACUUGUGGUGACAAUAAUGAUAGAAGGAUUCUUGGCAGAGGUGAUAUUGGUGAUCAUAAUUGAAUACUUAUCAAAGAUGUGUUGUAUGUAAAAGAACAUAAGCACAACUUGUUGAGCAUUAGCCAACUUUGUGGAAAGGUUACCAAGUCAUCUUUAAGCCACAUUCGUGCCUAAUUUUCGAAGUAGGUUCAAGAAAAGUCUUUCUAGUAGGUAAAAAUUCAUAAUGUUUACAAGUUGGAUAUUACAAACACUACAUCUAAAAUUUAAUGUUUACUUCUGAAGCCCAGUUGUCCAUACAACUGGGCUGGUACAACAUCUUAUAAAUAAUGUUAUAUCCUUUAAAGGGAAGAACAUGUGUGAGGCACAAAUAUAACAAAUGAAGGCUUUCCCAAUUUUUAUGUAUAAGGGUAGGAUGAGGUAUGGAUGAGUAUUAGUUUAUUUGUAUGGUAGAAAGGAUAUAGGACAAAAAAAGAUUGCCUCAAUGUGACUUUCUUCUACUUGUCCUUUUGGUUGAAAAAGAAAUGUCCCCCUCUUCUAAGGCAUUUCAAUCAUCAUAUCAUUUACACAGUUUUUCUCCCUUUAUCUUUUCCUUUUCAUUCAUUUUUAGCGACCAAUGUUGUUUCAAUAAUUUGAAAGAAUGCAUUACUAUAUUUUUUUUCCCAAAAAGGGUGAAAAAAAUAUUUUUUUUUUUGAUAAAGAAACAUGGUCACAAAUUAUUUCAAAUCCUAGUUAUUCCCUUUUUUUCAGAAAGAUUAACUCUAAAACAAUAAAGAUAAACCCCUUAGCCAGACGAGACAAAACUCAACAAAUCUGCCACAACAUAAGAUAUUCUUGUUUUUCUAAUUCAGACAAUGAUGGAACCUACCAUAGGAUUUCAAGUGACAUGCGUAUGAAUGCUUCAAAAGAAAAGGUUGGUUGGUUGUUAAAACAUUAUACCACGAAAAAGCAUGACACACAUUUGUCAUUAUUAUCCUUUUUAUUUAUUUUUUGUUUUUAGUCCUUAUUUGCUAUUUUUGGAACAUCACAAAUUUGAUGAUUUUGCCAAGAGAACAAAUGAAUCAAUUUCUUUCUGUUAUAUUUAUUUAUUUAUUUAUUUUUACUUGAAAUAAGUUUUAUUUAUACAAAUGAAAUUUACUAUUAACCAGAACUAAUAAACUAUUUUAACCAAAUGUGUUUAGCAUUCAACUGAUCUAUCAAACUACUGAACAACCUCUAUAGACAUUCAGAUUGUCUAUUAUAAUUGCAGUUUCACAAAACACUGUUAGAAUGUUCAUAUCACAAAUAAAACGUUUAGUUUAUUUCUAUUAUCAUCAAAACUCAAACUUCACAUACGAUGCAUUGAUAAUCAAACUAUCUAGUAGAGUACAGACCAUCCAGGUUCUCAGCAUUGUAUAUGUCAUAAGACUUUACCCUUUUUAAUGAGUUAAAAUUGUGAUAUAUUUAUCACUCAAACUUUGUGUUUGUAUAAGUCAAAAGUGGCUCAUAAAAAAAUACUUAUUUAAGCUAAAAUUGACUUGUUGAAAGUAUACUUGAACAGGGUCAGACAGAAGUAGUUAGGAGUCAAAAGUGGAUUGUGAGAAUACUUAGGUUAAUCCAUCAAUGAAUUUUUUAAAGAAUAGUUGAGCAUGCUUUGCAACAAUAGUCUGCUUACUAGAACUUGACUGGUCGAUCAAGAAUUGAAUGUAGUUUUUUGAGGUAGAUAAACUAGUAUAAAAUCACUUGUCUCCUUUGUCUCUCUGUAUAUUGCAUGUUAUCUAAAUAACUAACCUAAGGAGGGUGAAAUGUUUAAACUAAGGUUACAAAACUUAAAAGUUUUCAUCUGUUGGAAAACUAAAAUUAUCAUCUGACUAUCACACUAUACUUAUGAAAAACAAAGAAAUUUUAAAGACACAAUUCAAUUUUCCCUCGUAUUUUUAUUGUUUUAAAAAAAUAUUGAAAUAUUGUUUUCAAAACUAGAGUAAUUUAUCACUUGAUAAUUUAUCCAUAGAAGUUGUGAGCAGUAGCUCACAAUUGACAUGUACUCGACCUCUUUUUAUCCACAUAAUAUAGUUUGUGUGGUAGAAACCUUCUAAUAUGAAACUUACAUUUUUCUUAUAACACAAGCAUAAAUUAUUUGAUCCUAAAAGAUAAUAAAAGAUCCAUUUUACAUCCUUUAAGUAAGACUCUUUUAGAAAUUAUUGGAAUAUUGCAGAUAGAUAAAUGUUAUGCAUAAUACCACAUUCCAAAAAGGUUUUGAUUUUGUAAAGUCAUUUAAAAAAAUUUAGGAUCUCUGUUUUGAAUAUUUCUCAAAAAAUAGCUUUAAUGCCAAUUGUUAUAAAAGGAUAAAUGACUUGUUUUAACUCAAGAAGGGGUGAAUUGAGUUUCAAAUCUUUUUCAUUGGUUCAAUUUUAAAUUAAGUUCUUGUUCAUUGUUCCACCACCGUGCACCACUUUUCUUCCACUGUUGUCACUGUUGUCGUCGCUGUCCUUCACCGUUGCCCUCCACCGCUGCCAUCACCUUGAGGUUGGUGUUCUUUUUACUUUUUAUUUAAUAUUUUUUUAGUCUAUAUGUGGCUUAUAGAUGGCGGUUCUACCUCAAUAGAAUAGACUAUGUGUUGAUAGACAACAAUUUUGAAAUCGCUGUCUAAUUGCUAAAAGAACUACGUACUGUCUUUGACCUUUUAUGUGUUAGUGUAUGUCUUUAUUAAUUAACUUCAUUUUGAGUUUGUUCAUGUUUUUUAGGUUAUCUAUAGUUCCUCUACUUUAGAAUUACUUGUUUAAAAAUGUGAAUUUAUUUUCAUCAAGUAUACUUUUCUUUAUUCUAUUUUAUAUAAACAAAAAUGCAUUCACAAUGAAUGUGAUAUUCUAACGAAAUUGACAUCAACAUUAAUAGUUUACGAGAUGUUAAACCAAUAAAAAAACAAAUAUAAGAUAAUUAGGCCAAAUUUAUGAAAAAAAUUUAUAAAUAACUAUAUUUCAAAAAGUCAAAUCUAUUCGUUAAAAAAGAUGUCGAAUAUAAGAGAAUAAUUUCACCAAAGAAAACCAUAUUUGGUAUUAAUAGUCAAAUUAGCUUUUAAAAUCUAAAAUUUCACUUAUAAACUUGCAUUUACUCCAUCUACUUCUAGGGACCUCAAAGUUGGUAUAAAAAGCUUGAACCGCUUGCAUUUACUCCAUCUACUUCUAGGGACCUCAAAGUUUGUAUAAAAAGCUUGAACCGCAACAGUGAGUGACAUUCCAACCAUAAUGAAUUACAUUUUUUUAUAUAUAUAAAAGCUUUCAUGUUAGGCAUCACUAUGCAACUUGACAUCUCAGUUAGGUUAACACCUCAAGUAACAACAAUCAUAUGCCAUUACAUGAAAAAAAUAUUUUUAAAAAAAAGGAAAAAGAAAGAAAAUUUAAAAAUAAAAUAUGGGGAAACUAGACCAAAACUCAUAUGUUAACAAAAAUGAUAGGUAGACUAUACCUAUUCAUAAAGAAUUAUAAGAACAAACUAGAUGGAAGCCUAUUAUACAAAUGAAAUUAUUCUUUGUGAAUAAAUCCUAAAUUAGCCAACUUAUUAGCAUACGCAUUCCCUUCACGAAAAAUAUGAGUAAUCCUAAACCUAAUUUUCUCACAAUAAUUAAGACAAGUAUUCCAUUGAAUACGAAGCAUCCACAGGACAUCAGUUCUAGAAGUAAACGCAACACAAACCAAGGUAGAAUCACAUUCAAGUCAUACAUUAGUAAGCUCCAUCUUUUGAGCUUCCUCCAUAGCAUGUUUAACUCCAUAAAACUUAGCAACCAUAGCAGUUUGAACUUCAAGAAACCAGAGAAAGCACCAAUAAACUCCCCCAUACUCCCAUGGAAAAUUCCUCCACAAGUAGCAAGACCAGGAUAUCCCCUAGCAACCCCAUCAAUGUUAAUUUUAACCUAGCCUAGUGAAGGGAACUCCCAUCUAACAAGAAAAGGACAAAGAACUUUACCAGUACGAGUAUGUAUAUCCCAUGGGUUGUUUGAUGGAUCAAGAAGUGUUUCCUAUUAAGAAAGUGUUUUUUAUUCCAGGCCAAAGGAAGACUUUUGCUCAGGCUUUGGGAAAUACAUGUGACAUUCCUUUUUCCCAGUUACCAACUCCUUGUAUUAUGGGAGACAUGGUUGUUGUCCGGGUUGAUGAGGAAGAUUACUUCGCUGGUCUUGAGGAUUGCAAGACCCAUCUACAUGGUUGGAUUAUUCUAUCUAAGGGGGAUAAACAUCUCACACACCUUGAUUUUACUAAAAAGUUGCAACUUGUGUGGAAGGUUAUUAGAUCGUGGAAAGCAAUCUUUCUUGGGAAGGGUUUUUAUGAGUUUGAGUUCUCUUCUUUAGAAGACAUACGGUGGGCUCUCGAGAUGGGGUUGCUAGGGGAUUGUUUGCCUGAAGAAAAAAAAACUUUGUUCCAUCUACUAUGAAGAGUACUCAAAACCCAGACUUGGGUUAGAAUCUACCAUUUGCCUUUGAAAUAUUGGAGACCAAGGGCGAUAUUUUCCAUCACCAGAGGCAUUGGAAUUCCUUUGUCUUUGGAUGAUCAUACCAUGAGAAAGAAUAGGUGUUUGUUUGCUAGAGUGUUUGUGGAUAUUGAUCUGUUGUCCCCUUUUCCCGAUCAGCUCUUGGUUGAACGUUCAGACUUUUCUUUUGUAACCGAAGUGGAAUAUGAAUGGCUCCCUCCAUUGUGCUCUUACUCUAAGAUGAUUGGGCAUGAGCUUGCUCAGUGCCACGUGAUUCAUGAUCAGGGUCAUGUUUUUGGACCACAACAUAAACCUUCUCAGAAGACAACUCCUGAUGAACAGGAAUAGAGAAAGGUCGCAGUUCCUAAACAACAUAAAGAGUAUCGGAAGAAAGAUUCGCAGUCGAAGCUCUUGGAAGGCCCUAUUGGUAAUUUGACAACUGAUGCUCCUGGAGGGGCUAAUGCGGGGUCACUCUUGGGUCACCUUUCUUAUGAUAAAACAAAUGGAGGGGAGGAUGAUAUUGUAGAUAUGCCUCAUCUCGAGGAUGUCUCAGAUCAUGAUAGGUCCUCACCCAGGCACAGGUUGUUCACUCCACUUCUAAUACAGUUAAAGUUUCAAAACCGGGGAUGGUAAGGAAUUCACCGGUUGUUAUGCAAGUCAAGGGCUCAGAGUCACAACUUGUAGUAGAUUCAGUUACGAUUCCUAUUGAUGGUCAUCAUGAGGAGGUCUCAACUACUAUGGUUGUACCAUUUCCGUCACGUCAUAUCUUUCCUCAGAAGCCUAAAUCACUUGGGGAUGCUAAAGCACUAGUUACAACUUCUAUUAAUGGUCAUCAUGUGCAAGUCUCUACUAUUAUGGUUGUACCAUCUCCGUCGCGUCAUACCUCUCCUCGGAAGGCUAAAUCACUAGCGAAUGUUAAAGCACUACUCUCAGAUAACGAUAUGUUGGUCUUGCAAAAUCACUUUUCCUCUCUUGAUGGUUUGGAAACUACAGAUGCGGGAGGUGAUCCUCAUAAUGGUACGCCAAUUACUCCGACUGUCGUUAUUGAAUUUAAUUUUGAACAUAUAACUGUUGAAAAUCAGGUAGUCUCCAAAUUUUGGGCAAAUCCUAAUGAGAUGGAGGAGCAUGCUAGCGAUAUUGGGGAGGAAAUUGUUUGCACGAAAAGAAAACCAGGGAGACCACAUAAGGAGACUGGUAAAUCCAAAAAAAAACUGCUAAGGCAGUUCUCUCUAAAACGUCGCAAUAGAGGUCUUUUCAUUUCUUUGGAAUGUUAUAGGACUGAGAAACCACAAAAUUGUGAAGAUGUUGAUUAGCUUACAUAAACUCCUUCUUGUUUUUCUUGUUGGACCUAUGAUGUCAUACACUGAUGCUUUCGAUGUCCUUUUCAAAUCUGUUAAUAUGCAUUUGGUGACUACGUCUCCUAUUGUUAAUAAAGUUUUUAAGCUUUGGUGUUUGUCGGUUCCAAAUCUUGUCCAAAAUUUCUUGGUCAAUGAUCAAUUUAUUUUUGUAACUUGCCUUCUGUAUGAUAAAUGCUUUAGCUUUACAGGUGUUUAUGGUGCCAACACAUACUUAGUUAGAUGUUUUUUUUGGAGGGAUUUUAGUUUCUUCAUAGGGCCUUGGUGUAUUCUGGGAGAUUUUAAUGUUGUGCUCUCGGCGGAUGACUGCAAAGGGGGGUGGCUCCUAAUCAGAUUUCUCGUAAUGAAUUCCUUGAUCGGAUUAAUACUAAUGAUCUUUCUUGUAGACCUUUUACUAGACCUUGUUAUACUUGGUGUAAUGGAAGGAGAGUUUUGCAUAGAAGUUAUAGAAUACUGGAUAGGGCUUUAUGUAAUGGAGUGUGUCUAAAUGAAUAAGAUUCUUGUACUUAUUAGGUUCUUGUUAAAAAUUGUUUUAACCAUUCACAUGUUCUUGCUAGUCUUGCUAGUAAUUGUUUAAGGAAGGUUAGCAAUUUUUGUUUCUUUUUCUAUGUGACUUCAGGACACUUCAUGUAUGAAGCUUAUUCAUGAUUCUUAGGCUAAUAAGGUUGUUGGUUGUCAUAUGUUUAUUUUGCAACAUAAGUUAAAAAGGUUGAAAAUUGAGCUCUGAAACUGGAAUAAAAAUUCUUUUGGUAAUGUUCAAAAUGCAGUUCUUCUUAAGUAGGGUCUCUUCCUUGGUAUUCAACAAACAUUAGAGACUACUAGUUUGUCUGAUAUUGAUGGGUUUCUCUGUCAAGAAAAGAUUGCUAAGGAGGAACUUGAUCAUGCUUUUCACUAUCAAUAUUUGUUUUGGAAAGAAAGGGCCGAGAUGUUUUGGUUUAAAGAUGGGGAUAGAAAUACUGCUUUUUUCCAUGUUGUGGUCAAGAGGAGAAAUAAUUCUAGUGGGAUUCAUCGUCUACAGAUUGAUAAUGAGGUUAUUGAGGAACCUAAACUCAUUGAGGAUCAUAUUUUGAACUUUUAUACAAAUCUUUAUGCUGAGUUUAUUUCUAAUGUUCAAGAUACAAGAAAUUUGGAAGAUUUUAUUGGUACUUAUAUUCCCAAACUAGUUUCCUGUGAGGAGAAUAUGAUGUUGAUUAAAUGUCCUGAGUUUUUGGAAAUCAAAAAUGUUCUUUUUAAUCUUAAUGGUAAUAGUGCUCCUAGUCCUGAUGGUUUUGGUGGUGUUUUCUAUCAUUCUUGUUGGGAAAUUAUUGGGAUAGGUGUUUGCAAUGUUGUUCAACAGUUUUUAAACAAAAUUGGGUUCUCCCUGUAAUGAACAAAAAUGUGGUAUCUCUUAUUCCUAAGAUUCAGGGUGUUGAAUCCAUUAAAGAUUACAAGUCAAUUGUUGUUGCUAAUUUCAAAUUUAAGAUUAUUUCCAAGAUACUGGUGGAUAGGCUUGCACUUGUGGCUGCUAGAGUCAUUUCUCCUAAUCAAUAUGGGUUUGUGCAGGGUAGACAUAUUCAUAAUUGUAUUGAUAUUGCUUCUGAAGUUAUUAACAUGUUUUCUAAAAAGGUAAGAGGAGGUAAUGUGCCUUACAAAGUUGAUAUUCAUAAAGCCUUUACCACUAUGAGUUGGAAGUUCUUAUUAUUAGUUUUGACACGCUUUGGUUUUCACCCAUCGUUUGUCAGUUGGAUUAGUACAAUUCUUCGUUCAUCUAUGCUUUCUAUCAAAAUAAAUGGCAGUUUGGUGGGUUUUUUUCUUUAUAGUAGAGGUGUUAGACAAGGUGUUUCUUUGUCUCCUUUACAUUUUUGUCUUGCAGAGGAAGUUCUUAGUAGAGGUAUCUCUAAGCUUAUGAAUGAUAAGAAGAUUCUACACAUGACUAGUCCGUAAGGUUAUCUCACUCCCUCUCAUAUUUUAUAUGUUGAUGACAUAUUUGUUUUCUGUAAGGCAAAUAAUAAGUCUCUUAGAAAUUUGAGUAUUUUUCUUAAAAUAUAUGGUGAUUUUUUGGGUCAAUAAUAUAUGUUAAUAAUUCUAAGAGUAGUUUUUUCACCAUGGAUAUUCUGCAAGAUUUUGUCACCAUAAUUCAACGUAUUCUUUUUUGUAGUCAUGGUUGUUUUCAUUUCACUUAUUUAGGAGUGUCUAUCUUAGUUUGUGCUCCAAAGUGUCGAUUUCUUCAACCUUUGGCUGAUAAAGUCAAAUUGAAUCUAGAUUGGAAAGGUAAAUCUCUUAGCAUGAUGGGUCAGAUUCAGUUGGUCAAUAGGAUGAUUACUAGAUUUUUAUCUUAUAGCUUUAAUAUGUAUAAAUGACCUGUUUCACUUCUUAAGCAAGUUGAGCAGUGGUGUCGAAAUUUUAUUUAGACUGGUAAUAUUCUGAAAAAAGGCAUAGCUACCGUUAAUUGAGUGACGAUUUGUUCACCUCUUGAGAAUAGAGGUUUGAAGAUUUUUAGCCUUCAUCAUGAAAAUAAUGUGUAUCUUCUUAAGCUUGCUUCGAACUUUGCUUAUAGCAACAUGCCUUGGUCUUUUCUCCUGAAAGUCAGGGUUCUUAAAUACGAGUUUAGAAUGGUUUAUUGAUCCUCGUCUCCUUGACCUAGAAUUAAGCAGUUUUACUCUACUAUACUUGAUAAUAUUUCUUGGACUAUUGGUACAGGUAGUUUUAUUAAUUUCUGAAAUAUGAUAAAUGGUGUUCUACUACUUCUUUAACAAAUAUUCCAGGAUUAUUUGUUGGUGCUAGCAUUCCGAAUAUACAAUCUACUUUGAAAUGGACAAAUUCAAUAGCGAUCCUAAUCAUGCAAAACUUAGCAAAAAUUAAAUUAGAAAUAGUGUUAAAAAUAGUAAAAAUACCAGUAAACUUAUCAGUUGAACCUCUAAACGUACCAACUAGAAAAACCUCAACAACCCCUAAAGAAGUAACAAACUAGCUCUAGAAAGGAUUUCAAUUUUAUUAUGCUUUUCUAUUUUAUAUAACUAGCUUCCUUGGUUGUCUAAUAAAUUUGAACUUUUAUUUUGUAAUUAGAUUUGUUCCAUCUACUAGAAAUGUUUCCAAGCUAUCAUAUAAAGUGUAUUAAGUUACAAUUCCUUAAGUAUUGGAGAACAUGGGAAUGAUAACGAAAUCCAAUAAGGAUUCAAACAACAAUAUUGCAAUUAAAAUUAAAGAGAAAAUAAAAACAUUAUAAGAUGUCUACAACACCUUCAUCUUGGGUCAUCAUCAUCCAAACAUUUUCACUUGUGGCUUCAAGUUUUCUUCAUGACCAACAAGUUUUCUUGAUUACCAAAUGAACCUUGAAUCAGACGAAAAUACUUAACAAACUAAUUUAUUCAUUUAUUUCAUUAUUGUUUCUAACACUACAAAAUACGUUUAUAGACUAGAUGUUAUAGAUUUCGUCAUCAUAUUUCAUAAAAUAAUGGACCAUAAUUUUUCUAAAAGUUAAACAUUAAUUUUGUCCGGUGUAAAUAAUUCUUGAAUCACUUCCAACUGCAAAGGUCGUCUAGUAGAACUGAGUCCCUUAGCUAUAGUGGAAGUUGUUGAUUGAAAUGGAUUAGGAGGCAUAACAAACUGGUUUUCCUCUUCAGUUUCUAAGAUAAUUAGGCCAAAUUUAUGAAAAAAAUUAUAAAUAACUAUAUUUCAAAAAGUCAAAUCUAUUCGUUAAAAAAGUUGUCGAAUAUAAGAGAAUAAUUUCACCAAAGAAAACCAUACUUGGUAUUAAUAGCCAAAUUAGCUUUUAAAAUCUAAAAUUUUACUUAUAGACUUGUAUUUACUCCAUCUACUUCUAGGGACCUCAAAAUUGGUAUAAAAAGCUUGAACCACAGUAGUGAGUGGCAUUCCAACCAUAAUGAAUUACAUUUUUUUUUAUAAAAGCUUUCAUGUUAGGCAUCACUAUACAACUUGACAUCUCAGUUAGGCUGACACAUCAAGUAAUAACAAUCAUAUGCCAUUACAUGAAAAAAGUAUUAUUAAAAAAAAGAAAAAAGAAAGAAAAUAUAAAAAAAAUGGGGAAACUAGACCAAAACCCAUAUGUUACCAAAAAUAAUACAUUGGUAAACUAUAUCAAUUCAUAAAGAAUUCUAAGAACAGACUAGAUGGAAGGCUAUUAAACAAAUGAAAUGAUUCCCUAUGAAUAAAUCCUAAAUUAGCCAACUUAUCAGCACACACAUUCCCUUAACGAAAAAAUAUGAGUAAUUCUAAACCUGAUUUUCCCACAAUAAUUAAGACAAGUAUUCCAUCGAUUACGAAGCAUCCACACAACAUUAGUUCUAGUAGUAAAUGUAGCACAAACCAAGGUAGAAUCACAUUCAAGCCAUACAUUAGUAAGCCCGUCUUUUGAGCUUCCUCCAUAGCAUGUAUAAUUCCAUAAAACUUAGUAACCAUAACAGUCUGAACUUCAAGAAACCAGAGAAAGAACCAAUAAACUCCCCAUACUCCCAUGGAAAAAUCCUCCACAAGUAGCAAGACUAGAAUAUCCCCAUCAAUGUUAAUUUUAAUCCAUCUUGGUGAAGGGAACUCCCAUCUAACAAGAAGAGGACGAAGAACUUUACCAGUACGAGUAAAGGAGGCGCCUGAGGCCCAAGCCCAAGAAGCCCAAGCCCAAGUGGAAACCCAAGCCCAACCUAUGAGCUCAACAUCCUUCAUGCCUCAAAGGAUUACUAGGAGCAAGGCCAAGGCUUUGGGAGAAGAGCAUCAUUGGAUGUCUCUUUUUGUAAUUUCUUUUGAGUAGUUUUUUUGGUAGAACAUAAAAGGAAGGUGUAGAUAUAGAUAUAAGGGGUGCUAAUGUACAAAGGUAAGUCACACCUUCCAUGUGACAUAAAAGUAAGUGUAGAUAUAGUUUUAGGAGGUGCCAAAGUAAGAAAGCAAGUCACACCUCCCAUGUGGCUUGUUUUGGCGCCGAAUUUGAAUGGUUUGUGUUUGUAAUUUUGCCUCUUCAAAUUCAUCCCUCUCACACUAUAAAUAGAGGUGCCAUGCUCAUGUAAAUGCAGAUUGGAAAAUUGAAGUAAAGUUACUCUACUCAAAUUGAGAGAGAUUUGUGUGAGACUUUUUCUCCUUCAACUAGUCUUAUCUUGUGAGUUUUGGGAGCUCCAAGUGGCAGCAUCUUGCACUUAUCUUGGAUCAAUCACCAUCCAAGUGACAUGUUCUUCCUUUCCAUGGCUUCAACCACAUAAGUCUUUCUUAUUCCAUCUCCAUUUCCAUUUCUGAAUCAUGUUUUAGUAAUUCCAAUCAAUAGUUUUGUGUUCUUUGUCUUGUUCUUUCAUUUCAAUCGGUUAAUCUUGUUCAUCUUGUGUUUCCUUUCAAUUCUGCAUUUUAAUUCUCCAUUUCAAUCGGUUCAUUUGUUGUAUAAUGUGUUUUCUAUUCAUUUUAAUGACUUGUUCUUAUCUUCUUUAAGUUUCCGCAUCCUAAUCUUGUUCUAUUGUUGAUAGUUUGUGUUUUUGACUAUUCAUUUGUGGUAUAAGGAAAUGAAACUCAUGUUCAUGAGUUUGGUUCAUCAUUUGGAAGACAGUGAACUCCAUUGAUGUUUCCUUAAGCCUCCUUAAUGUAUUGCACCUUGUCUUUUUCCAAUUCAACUGACAUCAAUGAGCUUGCUCACUGUUGCGUGAUUCAUGAUCAGGGUCGUGUUCGACCACAACAUAAACCUUCUCAGAAGACAACCCUGAUGAAUAGGAAUAAAGGAAGGUCGCGGUUUCUAAACAACAUAAAGAGUAUCGGAAGAAAGAUUCGCAGUCGAAGCUCGUGGAGGGCCCUAUUGGUAAUUUGACUACCAAUGCUCCUGGCGAGGCUAAUGCAGGGUCACUCUUGGGUCACCUUUCUUAUGAUAAAACAAAUGGAGGGGAGGAUGAUUUUUCAUAUAUGCCUCCUCUCGAGGAUGUCUUGGAUCAUGAUAGGUCCUCACCCAGGCAGGGGUUGUUCACUCCAACUUCUGAUACAAUUAGGGUUUUAGAACCUGGGAUGGUAAGGAAUUCACCGGUUGUUAUGCAAGUCAAGGGCUCAGAGUCACAACUCGUAGUAGAUUCAGUUACGACUCCUAUUGAUGGUCAUCAUGUGGAGAUCUCUGUUACUAUGGUUGUACCAUCUUCAACGCGUCAUACCUUUCCUCAGAAGCCUAAAUCACUUGGGGAUGCUAAAGCACCAGUUACGACUUCUAUUGAUGGUCAUCAUGUGGAAGUAUCUACUAUUAUGGUUGUACCAUCUCCGUCAUGUCAUACCUCUCCUUGGAAGGCUAAAUCACUUGGGGAUGCUAAAACACUACUCUCAUAUAAUGAUACGUUGGUCUUGCAAAAUCACUUUUCCUCUCUUAUGGUUUGGAAACUACAAAUGCGGGAGAUGAUCCUUUUAUUGGUACACCAAUUAUUCUGACUGCCAUUAUUGAAUUUAAUUUUGAACAUAUAACUGUUGAAAAUCAGGUAGUCUCCAAAUUUUGGGCAGAUCCUAAUGAGAUGGAGGAGCAUGCCAGCGAUACUGGGGAGGAAAUUGUUUGCACUAAAAGAAAACCAGAGAGAUCACCUAAGGGGACUGGUAAAUCCAAAAAAAAAAACUGCUAAGGCAGUUCUCUCUAAAACGUCGCAAUGAAGGUCUCUUCAUUUCUCUGGAAUGUUAUAGGACUGAGAAACCACAAAACUGUGGAGAUGUUGAUUAGUUUACUUAAACUACAUAAACCCCUUCUUGUUUUUCUUGUUGAACCUAUGAUGCCAUACAUUGAUGCUUUCGAUGUCCUUUUCAAAUCUGUUAAUAUGCAUUUGGUGAAUACGUCUCCUAUUGUUAAUAAAGUUUCUAAGCUUUGGUGUUUGUUGAUUCCAAAUCUUGUCCAAAAUUUCUUGGUCAAUGAUCAAUUUAUUUCUGUAACUUUCCUUUUGUAUGAUAAAUGUUUUAGCUUUGCAGGUGUUUAUGGUGCCAACACAUACUUAGUUAGAUGGUUUUUGUGGAGGGAUUUUAGUUUCUUCACAGGGCCUUGGUGUAUUUUGGGAGAUUUUAAUGUUGUGCUCUCGACGAAUGACUGCAAAGAGGGGUGGCUCCUAACGAGGUUUAUCGCAACUAAUUCCUUGAUUGGAUUAAUACUAAUGAUAUUUCUUGUAGAUCUUUUACUAGACCUUGUUAUACUUGGUGUAAUGGAAGGAGAGGGUUGCAUAGAAGUUAUAGAAGACUGGAUAGGGCUUUAUGUAAUGGAGUGUGUCUGGAUGAAUGUGAUUCUUGUACUUAUCAGGUUCUUAUUAAAAAUUGUUUUGACCAUUCCCAUGUUCUUGCUAGUCUUGCUAGUCUUACUAGUAAUUGUUUAAUGAAGGUUAGCAAUUUUCGUUUCUUUUCUAUGUAACUUCAGGAAACUUCAUUAUGAAGCUUAUUCAUGAUUCUUGGGCUAAUAAGGUUGUUGGUUGUCCUAUGUUUAUUUUGCAACAUAAGUUUAAAAGGUUGAAAAUUGAGCUCUGAAACUGGAAUACAAAUUCUUUUGGUAAUGUUCAAAAUGCAGUUCUUCUUAAGCAGGGCCUCCUCCUUGGUAUUCAACAAACCUUAGAGACUGUUAGUUUGUCUGAUAUUGAUGGGUUUCUCUGUCAAGAAAAGAUUGCUAAGAGGAACUUGAUCAUGUUCUUCACUGUCAAUAUUUAUUUUGGAAAGAAAGGGCCAAGAUGCUUUGGUUUAAAGAUGGAGAUAGAAAUACUAGUUUUUUACAUGUUGUGGUCAGGAGGAGAAAUAAUUCUAGUGGGAUUCAUCGUCUACGGAUUGAUAAUGAAGUUAUUGAGGAUUCUAAACUCAUUGAGGAUCAUAUUUUGGACUUUUAUACAAAUCUUUAUGCUGAGUCUAUUUCUAAUGUUCAAGAUACAAGAAAUAUGAAAGAUUUUAUUAUUACUUAUAUUCUUGAACUAGUUUCCUCCGAUGAGAAUAUGAUAUUGAUUAAAUGUCCUGAAUUUUUAGAAAUCAAGAAUGUUGUUUUUAAUUUUUAUGAUAAUAGUGCUCCUGGUCCUGAUAGUUUUGGUGGUAUUUUCUAUCAUUCUUGCUGGAAAAUUAUUGGGACAGAUGUUCGCAAUGUUGUUCAACAAUUUUUUAAAUAAAACUGGGUUCUCCCUAUAAUAAUUUGUUUGUUUUUUAUUUUUGCAAUCAGUUGCAGGAACCACAUAGAAAAGAUAAAAAAAGGAUUUGUGAUUUUUCAUUAGUCAAAGUCUGCGUUAUGGAAAAAUGAAAUCCCUUAAUUAGGCCAGUGUCAUAAUUUAUCGAUAACUAUUAUCGUACAUUUAAUUCUAUUAAUGUCAAGGUAGGUGCAUAUUAAGUGCCAAGAAUUGACUCCCCAAAGCAAUAAUGUAGUGAGAGUCACAAUCGUAUACAAGACCACCUUAUCAAAUUCUUCGAAAUUCACAGGUAUAGUGUCUGAAAUUCCUUCUAUUCACAUUGUCCUAUAUCUUCCACGCCUAAUACUGCAGAAAAGUCAAGCCAAUGACUAAUGAAUAGUCCAUGUGACAAUAACAAAAGUUUCUUCCAAGAAAUAACUGGAGUUUGUUCCAAGAAACACAUAAAGAUUAAUAAGUACUCUCUCUUUACUUUCAAUCUUUUUUUUUAAAAAAAAACUAAGGAGCUUAAGUAUAAGCAAAUUUCAACAUCCUAAACUACAGUUAUCUUUAAAAGUAAGUACAUUUUUUUAAUAUAAAUUCUAAAAUUAAUAGUUAAAAUUUUGAUGACUAAUUUAAAGACUAAUUUAUAAAUUUAUUAACAACAAAAAUUACUUUAAAUAUUAAUAAUUUUUUAAUUUAUAAAAUAGUAUCUAAUUUAAUUAAUGAUUAAUUAUUUUUUAUUUUUGAAAAUAAUUUUUAUUUAAUAAUUUUUUUAUGUAGUAAUUGAAUUCGAUAUAUGAAGAAGUUAUAUAGUAGUUAAAACUACAAGUUUGAAAAAAAUCAUAAAAUAAAAUAAAAAGAAAAAUCUAAGUCAAUGAACGUGAUAUUCUAACUAAAUUGACAUAUCAACCCUCACAAAUAUUUUACACCACGUUAAAUCAAUAAAAAGAAGAAAAAAAAACAUUUAUAAGGGUACUAGGCAAAAAUCAUGAAACAAAUUACAAAAAAUAAUAUUUCAAAAAGUCAUAUAUUCUUAGAAAAACACCAAAACAAGAGUAAAUAAUUUCACCAAAAAUCAGAUUUGGUUUAGGCAGAGUAGCUAAAAUAUCAACAUAUUUAUUUCCUUUUCGUGUAAAUAUAAGAAUUUUUAAAAUCCAAAAAUUGACUUAUAGACUUGCAUGUAUUCCACCUACUUCUAAUUUUCCAAGGAACCUCAAAGUUAGAAUAAAAAGCUUGAACCAGAGUAUGUGAGUGUCAUUUCAACAAUAAUGAAUUACAUUAUGAUUUCAUGGAAAAUUUCAUUAGCGAUCAUAAUAAUGUUAAACUUAGCAAGGAACAUUAUUAAAAAUAGAAAAAGCAUCAAUAAACUCACCAAUUUCACCAAUUGAAUCUCUAAAAGAUGUAGAAAGACCUGAACCCCGUAAGUAACAAACUAGUUCUAGAAAGAAUUUCAAUUUUAUUAUUUUUAUUUUAUUUUAUAUAACUAGCUUCCUUCCUUUCCUCAUAAAUUUGCAUUUUUAUUUUGUAAUUAGAUUUGUUUCAAAAAUUUGUAAUUAUAUUUGUUCCAAAGUGUAUUAAUGAUGGACGAGAGCCCAAGCUCACCACACAAUGAAAGCCAAGCCUCCAAGACUAGACGGUCUAGCCUAUGAUGGGGAGCGUCUAGACUCAAAAAGGAGCGUCUAGCCCAUGAUGAGGAGCGGCUACAUAAGGAGCGUCUAGGCCAUGAUGAGGAUUCCUUCUAGACCGUCUAGCUUCACAUACACAUGGGUCAAAGCUACGGUUUUGGGAAGAGAAGACCUUUGUAAUUGUUACAUAAAGGCCUAUUGGGGGUGCUUAGUAAUUAGAGUAGUGUAGAAAGCAUAUUUGUGUGAACAUUCUAGAAAGACCAUGGAGGGGGUGAGCAUAAAAACUAGACACACCCCUCCCCAUGUGCUCAUUUGUGCACCCAUGUGCCAUGUGCACCCAUGUGCUUCACAUUUACAUUUCAUUUGGCUAGCAUUAGGGUUGCAUUAUGGUCCUCCUUAGCCUAUAAAAGGAUGAGCCUACACCUUGUAUUUGGCAAGUUUAUUGUGAGUAAAGUUAUGCUGCCAUUUUGUGCCAAGCUUUGCUUCUCCCUAGAAUCCUAGGCUCUAAACUUCAAUUCCUUCAUCUUUUCCCUUGGGCUGGCCGAACCACCCAAUACCCACACUUAACAUGCACCUACAAGAUCAACACCACUCUUAGGAGGAUCUUGCUCACCUCAUCCAUUGCUUUCGCCCCUUUGCUCUACUUUGAUUCAAGAAGAACUUCAUGAAAAUGCCAUCAUUUGGUACAAUUUCUUAAACCUUUAACAACAUGGAAAUGAUACUUAAAUCUCAUAAGGAGCAGUAUUGGUUACAUUUUAAGGUAACUUGUUGAUUUUGUUAACUUAAACCAUAUUUUAUGUUAAAUUUAUAAUGUUCUCUUGUUUGGCCACUAAGGGAUCUCUCGAGAAAUGUCAAAAUCAAAUAUCUUUUAAAUAGUUUGUCAAAACUACUUUAUACUACUUCAUUUGAAAUAUCUAGACUACACCCACUUCUUAAUCAACAUGUUCCACUAAUGUAAAUUAUCACUACAAAAAUACAAGGUACUUAUUAUUUAAACCUAGUCAUUUUUUGUUAAACUACAAAUAUAGUUUGGACACAACCACUUCUAGUUAAAAAAACACAAGUAUUUUUUAAACACAAUUACUUCUAGCUAAGUAUGAAUAGUGUUUGGACCCAACCACUUCUGACUAAAACACUUCGAUAAAAAAAAGUUUGUAAUUUAAACGAUCGCAGAUAUUCGCAAAUCAAAAGAGAAUAGCGUCUUAGGACGAAUACAAGAUUGAGUACUCUUUUCUAGAUUGUUAUAAACAUAAAUAAUGUUCGUCCACUACAAGAAAACAAGUUAUUAGCUUCCAAAUACUUGCGUGGGCCAACAACGGACGCUAAUAUCGUCGGACAAAAUGGCGCAAAACCCACACAAAAUAGCAUGACACAAAAUGGAUGCACUUAUGGAUUUAAUUUUUAUUUUUUUUAAAAAAUCCAGUUUGCAGUUGCGGCCCACGCAUAUGCGUCGGCUUGCGUGUCGGCUUGCGUCGGCCACGGCCCACUCAUGUUUAUAUUUUAAGAUUUUAAAAUUAUUUAUUUAAAUUUAUUUAAUGUAUAACAUUAUAAGAAAUAUUUUAAUAUUUAAUUCUUUAUUGUAUUUAUUUUAAAAUUAUUUCUUUAAUAUUAUAAUAAAUUAUUUAAUUUAUCAAUUUUUAAUAUAAAUUAGUUAAAUUAAAUUAUUAAAUUAAUUAAGUGUUUGAUUUAAAAUUAAUUGAGUAAAAGAAAAGAUGUAUUUAAAUUAUUUAAAUGUUAUAUAAAAUAUUUUAUUAUUUUAAAGAUUAUUUAUUUUAAAUUUAUUUUAUUUCUAUAUUGUCAUAUAUAAAUUAAACAAUAUAGAUUAUUAUUUGUUAUAUAUUUUAAAAUAAAUUUUGUUGUAUAAAUGAAAUGAAUUAUUUUUGUUGUAUAAAUUGAAUUUAAUUGUUUUGUAUUAAUUAAAGAAUUUUUUUUAUAAAUUAUAUACAGUUUUUUAUACAUUAAAUUUAUUUAUUUGUUGUAUAAAUUUAAAAUAAAAUGAAUUGAAUUUUUGAAAGUUUUAAUAUAAUUUUUAUUAAAUUAUAUUUAAUGUACAUAUUUAAGAAAAUUUUCAGGUGCCCCACAUUAAAAAUAUUAAUAAUAAGUAUAAUAAAAAUCAUUAUAUCACAAAAAAACUUGUCGGUGUAGUAGUUAAAACUUCUUUGUCAUUGAGAGGACUUGAGUUUGAGUCUUGCCCACUACAGUACAUAAGUGUCCGUUUUUGGCCGCGUAAUGCAUAGAACCUGAGACAAAUUACUAACUUCACAAGACUGUCAUUCAAUUUUUUCAAAAAAAUUGUUUGUAUGGAGUAGCUUUAAGCAUAUUCUUUAAGAGAUUUGAUUUUAACACUUUAAAAAAAAAUCCUCUUUCCAGAAAUAAAUAAACAAACAUUCUUUGCACACAAAUUAUAGUCAUUUAUAAGUUUUUGAUGUGUACUAUGAAUGCUUACACUUUGUAUCAACUUUAUUUGUCUAAAUAAGAAAUUAUCAUAGGGAAGUGUACAACCAAAGCCAUUGUGUCUUGGUUUAAAUGAAGCAUGCAUAGUUGUAUAUAUUCAAUAAGACAAACUAGAUAACCAAAAAAUGCGCGUAUGUAAAAAAUUAAUACUAAUAAACUACAAAUAAAAAAUACAUUUAAAGGAUAUGAACUUUGAUGUAUCAAAUAUUAUUCUAAUCAUUAUACUAUUUUUAUUUUUAUUAUUUAUUGAGUUACUUUUUCAUUUGUUAUGUAGUUCAAAUUAAAGAAAAAAUAUUCAACAUGAAAUAACUCAUAUUUUAUUACAUAAUUAAUUGAACAUAGUUAAUAUUUUAUUACCCAUAAUAAAAAUUGUAAAAGAAAUAGAUAUAACCCUAGUUGAAAUUGAGAAAUAAAAAAAAUAAAAAUUAAAUCUAAUUAAUCAACUAGCUUAAAUAAAAUGACUUGUCUAAGUAAAAUAAAAAACAUAUCUAAUUUUUAAAAAUAAAUACAAAUGAUAAAUUUUGUAAUAAAAAAUUAAUGACUUUUUAAAGGUUUAAAAUUAUAAUUAUAUAAAAUAUAAUUUUAAAUUAAAUAUAUAAAUGUUUUAUAUAAUAAAACUUGUUUAUUUAUUUAUUUUAUAAUUGACAAUUUGCUGGAUUUACUACAAGCAGUCAUGAAUCAGUACCAGUUGAUUCUAGUAAAAAAACUUAUUCGAUAGUUGUUGCAAAAAAAGAAUUAUAUCUCAAAUUUGGAUAUUUUUGUACUGGUUUACUUACUGUUCUUGUGUAUGUGAAAUUUGCCUUUAAAUAUAAGCUUGGAUUCAGUUGGCAGUAGAAGUUUAAACAGAAAAGAAUUUGGGCGUGAGCAUGUGGAGAGAGAGAGGUUUGAUAGUCUUGCUGUUUCUGCUCUUCCAAAUUCAUGGAGAAGAUGCUUGCCCCCCCUCUUCCUGUGGGAAAAUCAGCAACAUAUCUUAUCCAUUCCGAUUGAAAGGAGAUCCACAAGGAUGCGGUCUCACCAUGUAUGAGCUAUCUUGUGAAAACAAUAUAACGCGCUGGUCUCUUUGUACUUGGGAACAUUUCAUGUGCAGGCCAUCAACUACAAUAAUUUUACAAUCCGAGUGGUGGAUCCUGGACUUCAACAAUCAAACUGCUCUUCUCUUCCUCGCUAUUUCUUCUCUCCAUCCAAUUUCACUCAUUCUUAUCUAACAAUGAUUCCGUAUCCCCUAUAUAUUCACCCCAAACAUGGUUCUUCUGUGUGGAAUUAUCCCGAGCGGCUUGUUGACGAGCAUAUAGUGUUUUGGAAUUGUAGCCAUCCAGUGACUGGGAACCCUAAGUAUGUGGAUACCCGUGGAUGCCUGAACUGGAAGUGGAAAGGCUACAUAUACGCUGUGGCUGGUGACCUAAUUGCAGAGGACAUUGAAGUUGGUUGUGAAGUGAAGCUGGUUUCUCCCACAUCUUGGAGGGGUUUGGACACAAAUACAUAUUCCUAUGACAUGAUGCACACAGCGCUACUCUAUGGAUUUGAGCUUUCAUGGAUUCCUCUCGCCUGUGAGGAUCGUUGUUCAGAUAUUGACUGCUAUUUCAGUUCUUCCAGCCACACGCUUCAAUGCUACAACGAAAGUAGGGCAGUGAAGGCUUUCUUUAAUGUUUUUUUUUUUCAAGAAAAACUAAACCUACUUGUUCUGUUAAAUUUGUGUUUCUUUGACAAAAAUGUUUAUUUCACACUCAAAAAGAAAACCACAUAAUUACAUUUGAAAACCAAUUUAUAAUAAUAUAAUAAUAUUUUUUUAUUACUUUUUAUAUUUACUGGCUAAACACUCUAUGGAUACGAUUUUGUUAUUAUAUUCUCUUAUAAAAUUUUUAUAAAUACAUAUAUAUUAUUUUUUAUUUUAUGCGAGCUUUUUCUUUUAUGAAAAUAAAAUAAUAAAAUAUAUAAUUUAUUAUAUUGAAUUUAUAUUAUAAUAAAAAAAUUAUAAAGAAUAAAAUAUUUUAAGUAUUUAUAAUUUAAUUACAUGUAAAAUGCAAAUAGUUAUUUUUUCACAAUUAGUUUUUUUCCACUGUAUUUUUUAUUUUUGUAAAUUUGUAUUGUAAUUUAAAAAUAUUAUUAAAGAUAAAAUAGAAAAAAAUUGUAUAUACAAAAUCAUAAAUUCUUAUUAAAUAAUUUUAUAAAUUAUAGAUAAAUGUAUCUAGAUAUUUUAAAAAAUCAAACCAAACUAAAUCAUUUUAUAAAAAUAGUUUGGUUUCAAUCCAUCUAUUUCCAUAAAAAAUUUCAAAACCCUCUAAAACCGUUUAAUUAUUAAAUAAUUUCUAUAAUUAUCUAUUAUAAUAAUAAAAAUAGUAAUGAUAUAAUCUUUAAUGAUUAAUAAAUGAUUAUUUUGUACAUUUUUAUAUAUUUUAUUAUAAAUCUUACCUUAAUGUUUGGGAAACUAUUCUUUAUUAUUAAUUAUUAUAAUAACUAAAUUUUUAAAUGUGUAAGUUUUUAUUAUAUUAUAAGAAAUGUACAUACCCUAGCAAAUUUAACUAGAUAGUCUUCCUUGUUGCGUUGUGCUCCUCUGGUAUUGAUACUCUGUUUCUUCUUUGGGUGAACAGAGAGGAGGGGACAUUCAUCCAACCUCAACCUGUAUAUUUUUAGUAAGAAUUCUAUCUCUUUGGAUUGCCUAUGUUUGAAGUAGUGUGUACUACCAAAAGCUAAUUUCGAUUCUACGUACUUAUUAUAAUUUUUUUUCAUUUUUUCAUGUUCAAAUAUAGUUUUAAUCUCUUAAUUUAAAUUUGAAUUUUUUAUGUUGGUUUUCUAAAUUAAAAUUAUUUUCUCCUCCAUUUUGAAAAUGAAUUUUUUAAUCUCUCUAUGUACACCGUUAAAUACUGAUGUGAUUAAUGUUAUGUUUUCUAACUACUUAUAAAAUAUGAAUUUUAAUAAAAAAUUAAAAUCGUAUUAUAGUUAAAAAAAAAAAUUAUUUGUGAAGGGUUUUAACAGUAGUAAUUGAGAAGAAUUAAACAAAAGAUAAAAAUAUAUGAAAAGAAAGAGUAAUAAUGUUUCUAAUAUUGGUCACAUUAUGAAGUCUAAAGAUUCAAGUCAGAAAGAGACAAAAAUAUAUAAAUAUGAAAAUAACAUCAAGACUAAAUUAUUCUUAAUAAUAUAUAUAUAUAUAUAUAUAUAUAUAUUAUUUAGCAUUUUUUAAAAUUUAUGAUGCAUUGGUACGAAACAUUAAAAGUUUAUCAGUAAAAUAAGAAAACGUUUAACAAAGUGUGGUUUUGUAAAUAAAUCAACAAUAGGCAUAAACGAACAGAUGAAAGGCAACAUAAUAGUUUCAUGUUAAAGUUGAUAACGAGUAAAAUGAGAAUUAAUUUCAAUAUAUUUUAUGCACUGAAUAAAGGUUAAAUUACAAAGAAUUUUGAAUAAAAUAAUAUAUAUUGUUACAAUAUAUGAGUUGAUGUAGAAAAAGAAACAUAUAUGUCAAAGAGAAGCCAAGGCAAUCAAAUUACAUCACUGGUGGGUGACUAAAGCCAAGACACGAUAGUAGAUGAACGAGAAAAAGUAUCUUAUUUAUUGUUUUUCGAAAACAAUAAGAGAAUCUCCUAGAAAUACAAAAACUUCUAGAAAUUCUAACUAAAUUUUUAAUUACGUAAGUGUUUAUAUAGUAAGAAAUGUACAUACCGUAUCAAAUUUUUGUAAUAGAUUUUGGUAUAUACAAUUUUAUCUAUGUUAUAAUAACGUUUUGAUAACUAUUUUUUUUAUUCUGGUUAAGGUUAUGGUAAGUGUUUUGGAUAGUUAUAGUAACUGAUCUUUAGCAAUAUUUAAAUGAUUUAUUAAAUUCCUUUUAACAUGUCAAUAAUGCUAUAUAUUUAUUGAUAUAGUCAUGGUCAUUUCACUCGUUUGGAUUCAAAAUUUCAAACUUUAUAACAAUAAUCUUUUCCCAAUCCAUAAUUUUUGUAUCAACGAGUGUCUUUCUAAUUAAUUGUGUAUUUUAUCUUGAAAGAAAUUGAUAUUUUUCUUCAAUUAAUCACUGACUAAAGGGGACUUUUAUUUAUCUCCAUUGACUUCUUUAAUAAAUAUCAAUAUUUAUUCAAUUAACUCCAUAUAUAAAUUAGAUAUUGACUGAUUAUGAGUGAAACCAUCUUUUAUCUAUUAAAACAUAAUUGGACUGCUAAAAACUAUAUUUUGACAUUUUGUAAAACUAAGUUUCAAAAGUGUACACUUAUUGUCAUAAAUUUCCAUUCCAUAUUAUCGAUAAAGUAUCACUCUAUUAAUUAAAUAUUUUUUAAAACAAAAAUUAAUUAUCAGUUCUUUUUUAUAUUUUACCUGCAUUAUGCAUUAACUCAUGUAAAAUAUUUUCUGGUUUCAAAAAGAAAUAAAAUCAUUUAGACAGAUUAUGAAGAUAACAUUUGUGAAAUUAUGCAAAUAACCUCUGAUAUUGGUGCUUUAUUCCUUUUCUGAUGAAUAGGGAGACCUCCGAGGUGGCUGAUGAAAUUUUUGGGUAAGAAUUCUACCUCUUUGGAUUGCCUAUGUUUGAAUUGGUAACCAAAAACUAAUUUUGAUUCUACAUAACUGUCAUGUUACCUAAUGUACAUUUUUUCAUGUUUAAAUAUAGUUUUAAUAUCUUAAUUUAAAUUUGAUUUUUUUUUAUGUUGGUCAGUGUACUGUCAAAUACUUAAUUGAUGUGAGUCAUAUUGUGUUUUCUAACUAUUUAUAAAAUAUGAAUUUUAAUGCUUUCUAAUAAAAAAAUUUAACUGCUAUUAUAGUUAAAAAAUAUUACUUGUGAAAGAUUUUAAGAAUGAUAAUUGACAAUAAAACAAAAAAUAAGACAUAUGAAAGAAAGAGUAGUAGAGUUUCUAAUAUGAAUUCAUAAAUAUAUAAUUAUGAAAAUAGCAUAAAAAUUAAAUUAUUCUUAACUAAUAUAUGUAUUAUAUAUAUAUAUAGAUGAAAACAUGAAAGAACUCAAACCCAAGCCCCAAAUCAAUAUUGCCAGGACUCGAACCCAAGUCCUUCCAGGAAGGAGAAGAGUUAACCACUAGACCAGACAAGUUCUUUGAUCAUUUUUACUAUACUUAUUAUUAUAAAUAUUAUUAAUAUUAUUAUCAAUUUUUUUUAUUUUUCAAAAAUAAUUUCUCUUAAUAACAUUAAAAUGAGAAGUUAAAGAGUAUACAGUUAAAGAGUAGUGUGUAUCCGCAUCAAUUUCUCUUAAUAACAUUAAAAUGAGAAGUUAAAGAGUAUACAGUUAAAGAGUAGGUUAAUAAAAUAGUGGAGAGCGGUAAUUAAAAGUUACAUACGGUAAAGAGAAUGAAUGAAUUUUCAAAAUUUAAAAUUCAAAAUUGCUAUUUGAAUUCAAAACCGUCUCUCAAGAUAGAAAAUAAUUAAAUAGAAUUUGAGUUUCACAUUUUUUUAUAAUUUUUAAUAUUUUAUUAAUUAUGGGUAAAAAUAUAUGUAUUUGGUAAUAGUUAAAAUUUAUUUAAAACUACAAACUCAACCGAAAAAAUAAUUAAAUAGAAUUUGAGUUUCAUAUUUUUUUUAAUAACUUUUUAAUAUUUUAUCAAUUGUAGGAAUUAAACCAAUAUUUUUCAUUAGGUCUAUAAACAACCAAUAAUAUAUGACAAUUAUUACAAUACAUAUGACACCAUUAAACAAACAAUAAACAAAAAAUUCAUCCUCAAUUGUUUGAAAAAUAUUAUAUACAAAAGAAGAAAAUGCAAUGAAAUUUGCUUCUCUUUUCUUCACCUUAGACCCUUGGACCUGUAUAGAGACUCAUUUAAAUUGUUCCCAUCUUUCGCACCCAAAUCUAAUGUUCCUUCGUGUUAGAAUCUUACGAUUGGGAGAGUGAGCGCGACAACGAAACUCAGUUUUUCCUUUUUGCUUCUCUGAUUCCUCUAUUUUGCUAUGAAUAUUAACUCUCUACAAUUAACAAAUAAAAAACAAACAAAAUAUUAGUAUAACAUGUAAAACAUAGAUUUAAGAACACAAUGACAUACCUUCUCUGCAUAAUGCUCUAUGUUGAGCAAACAUAUUUUGAAGGUGGUCUCUAAAAUCAUAACUUUAUGAAAAGUUAAGAUAAUUUCAAAAAUCAAAACCUAAAAGAAGAAAAUAUAGAGGAAGAGCAAAGAUAAAAAAAAUGGUGAUGAUAGAAAACUUAAAAAUCAAAUUAGAAGUAACUUUUCCGUAAAAUAUGAGGAAAUGAGAAUAUAGUUUAGUUAAUGAUCUGUAUGAUUUCAUUUAAAUCCAUAAAAUUGUUACCAAAAAGGGUCUUAUUGCCUCCUCUUGUUGAGUCCUUCUUAUCCCGCUAGUCACAUGUUUCAAUCAUAAUUUCAGAAGACAAAUUAGUNNNNNNNNNNNNNNNNNNNNNNNNNNNNNNNNNNNNNNNNNNNNNNNNNNNNNNNNNNNNNNNNNNNNNNNNNNNNNNNNNNNNNNNNNNNNNNNNNNNNNNNNNNNNNNNNNNNNNNNNNNNNNNNNNNNNNNNNNNNNNNNNNNNNNNNNNNNNNNNNNNNNNNNNNNNNNNNNNNNNNNNNNNNNNNNNNNNNNNNNNNNNNNNNNNNNNNNNNNNNNNNNNNNNNNNNNNNNNNNNNNNNNNNNNNNNNNNNNNNNNNNNNNNNNNNNNNNNNNNNNNNNNNNAAAUAUCUUUAAUUUUUUAUUUAAUAGAGAAGAAGAUCUUUAAAACAGAAAAGUAACUAAUCACUCUCUCCACUCUCCACUUAAAUAAUAACAAAUAAAAUAAAUUUUAAAAUUAAAAAUUAUUUUAUUAAUUUUUGAAAUUAUAAAAUGUCCAAAUAACCAAAAUAAAUUAAUACAAUAAAUUAUUAAGUAAGGAUAAAAUGGAAAAAAAUUAAGAGCAGUUAAGAGGGGAAUAAGAAAUGACACAAUGACCAUAAUACAAUAAUAAAAUUAAAUAUUAAUAUAAGAAUAAAAUAAGAAAAAAAAUUAAGAGCAGUUAAGAGGGGAAUCCCCUUUAUAUAUAGGUAUAAAUAUUAUUAAUAUUAUUAUAAAUAUUAAUAAUAUUAUUAGUAUUAAUAUUCAUAUUAUUAAUAUUAUAUUCAUAUUAUUAAUAUUAAUAUUGUUAAUAACAAUAAAUAUAAUAAAAAUCAUAAUAAUACUAAAGCAUUUGCUUGGGUAGUGGUUAAAUUUUCUGAGUUAUCUGAAAGAACCUAACUUUGAAUCCCAUUCACAGCAAAUUUUAUAUUUUGGCGCCAAAAGUUACAUACGGAAAAAUCCGUAUGUAAUGUUUUACAUACGGAAAUCCGUAUGUAAUAUUCCGUAUAUAAUUCGUGUUUUUCUUGUAGUGUAAUAACUAUGAAGAACUUCUUAAACUUAGUGUAGGAGCUUGUUUGAGACCAUAAAAAUCCUUUCUUAACUUACACAUCACUUUUGGAUUAUGAGAAACACUAAGAGCAAUCUUAUACAAAGUAGAAAGUUCAUAUUGCAUAGCCUAUUGACAAAUGUAAAGUAUCAGGCGAUCUAUCACCCAUUAGAAUGAGAGUCUUAGAGUUUUGAUGAUCACAAUACACUUUAAGGUGUGUUAUAUGUUUAACCAAGCUCACUCAUGUACAACAUAAAAGAAACAAUACAUCAAACCAUACAUGAGAUGAAACAUUGCAGGAAAUACAUAGAUAUAGAGACACACUAGAAGAUGGAGUUAUAAACACAAAUGUCAAACUAAAUGAGUGUUAAAAGAACACUUCAAAAGCUCGCAUUAUAUGAUAAUCUAGAAGGAUGAGAAAGACCUUAUCAUACAAGCACAAGAAUAACUACAACAUCAAUUGGAAACGUCAAGACGAAGUCAUUAAACGAAUAAUGUGCUCAUGAGAUUACAAGAUAAAACUAAGAGCAUAAAAUAAUGAUAGUACAAAAGUGUACUAUAAAAUGAGCAUAGAAAGAAUUAUUCAUGGUUAGCAAGACAAACAGAAUAAAGGACUCUACAAAAAGUAGUAGGCGAAGUCUACAAAGAACUCAAUCGACCAAGAGUCAUAUACAACGUGUUAGACGAAGUUCGAACACCAUAGAGCUUAAAGAUAAAUGCAUAAGAUGAUGUUGCUAAACGCGUUAUGCUACACGCAAGAAAACAUAAGUGUUACAAAGACCAGACGUUGAUCAAAUGAACAUAGGAAAAGAAGAUCAUGUGCUAGAUGAACAAGUUUUAAGGAAGUUUCCAUACUUAAUCCUUUCACUUUUACAUGAGCUCUUCAAAUGUUCUAAAUAUGUUUUGAUUAUAUUAAGUUAUACAAAUCAUAUUUAGUCAGAACGCAAUGUUUUAAUUAAAACCCUAGAAUGUUUUCAAAUGAGUUUCAACGAAUAUAUCUUGUGACUAAUUUGUCCAAUAUAUUGAAAAAAUUAUAAGCUUAAUUGAUGUAUCUAUACAAAAUAUAUUUUUUAAAAACACAAAGUUACUUAAUUGAGAUUUAAAUUUGUGUUUGAAAAGGUUUUGUGGAAUAUAUUCAAGAGAAAUUAUGGUUGAUAAUGAAAGAAAUUUAAUCUGGAUGAUUAACUUCAAUAUAUUGAUUAUGUGUUUUGAAUUAAUAUCUAAGAAUGGAAUGUAUUGAUAAUUCAUCUGAUAUUCCAAGAUAUUAAGAAAUUUUUAUUUUGUGACAUAUUUGCUCUAAGAUAUUGCAAAUAUUAAAUCACUGAUAAUCACAAAGGUUUCCUAAUAUGAUUUUAAGAAUCUUCAAGACGCAGAGGAGAAUGAGAACAAGUUUCCUUUUCAAGCAUCCAAUGGAUACAACAAAGUUAUUGCAUAGCGAGAUUUGUGGAAUACAAUUAUUCAAGUUGUUGCUCAUAAAAGGAGAAAGAGAAUCUCGAAAGAGAUUAAAUUGAGAAGACAACAAGUGAGAAUGAGCAUUAAAUAUGCAAGCCAUAACUUUCAUUAUUCAGCAUCUGAUAUGUUCAAGAGUCAUCACAACAUUCAAGAAAGAGCUCAUUUAAGAAGAUUUGCGAAGAACAAGUACGUGACUAAGUGAAGAGCGUAAUUUAUGCUAUGGAGAACGAGAUUCAAGAAACAUAAGAUAAAUUAGAUCAAUGUUCCCAAAAGAGAAAGAAAUUGUAAAAACUUGAGACGCAAAGCAAAUACUUCUAUACUCAGCGUUGAAAGAAAUUACUGUGAAAGCAUCUGUAAAAAAGAUAUGAUUGAAGAUUCAAGUCACAAGAUUUAAAGGAUUAAUGUUCACAUAAUAAUAUCAUAAAGGAAUCAAUUCAAAUUGUUUCUAAUCAUUAAAGACACAAAGAAUAUAAUCUAAGCAUAAGUUGUCAUAUUUAGCAUCCAAUGAUGAACAAUGCGCGAAAUUAAAGAAACCCUAAGCUCACCUCAUUAAUGAAUCAACAUUUACAUUGGGACUAAAUGAAGAAACUUUUCAAAUACAAUUGAAGAACAAGACAUAGUUGAAUAAAUCAAGAGCAGUGAUUUUCUAAUCCAGCGUCUAACGACUAUGUGAACAAAGAGAUUAACUAAAGCUUCAACUGUCACAAUCUGAAACACUAUAUAAAGACCUUGAAGAUGAAGAACACAAAAAUGAAGCAUACGAGCAUACAAAGAUCAUUGCAUACUAUUUAGGUUUCCUUGUAUUAAUGUUCUGAGAGUAUAUUUCACAUAUGCUAUUUAGAGCACUUACAGUUUGGGAGUGAACCUUGUAUUGUAAAUCAUUCACUAUGUGAAGUUUACUCUGAACUUUCAUUAUUUGUUCUCUUGUCAAGAGUGUUUUUCUCACUUGUUGAGAGGUCUUAGUCUCAAGGGGAGAUUAAGAUUUGUUGCCUAGAGAGGUAUUGAAUACUUGUGUACCUGAAGAGGUGUAGAAUACUUGUAUACUUGAAGAGGUGGAGAAUACUUAUGUACCUAAAGAGGUGUAGAAUACUUGUUAGCUGGAAAUGUGUAAAAUAUUUAAGACUCUUAAACAGGGAGCUUAUGACUCUUAAACAUUGCACUCAACCUAAAAUUAUCUUCACAAUAUGCAUCAAAGACAUCCACUCUUGUUUUCCACAACAUAUUCAAAUCAUAAAUCAAGGGCCUAAGAUACACAUAUAUGUAAUUUCCUAGUCUAUUAUGUCAUGAAAUAAUCAUAAACAACAUAAUAUAUUUUCUCUCCAUGCACAACCAAGGAGGCACAUUGUAAAUGACCAAUAAAAUUGGCCAUGAACUGUGUUUAAUACUUAAGUUCACAUAAAUAUUCAUACCAUCUAUAGCUAGUCCAAGUCUGAGGUUUAUUAACUUCACACCAAAUUCUAAAUGUUUCAUCAAUCCUAUUCUAUUGUGUAGAAUCAGUUGGAUUUAAAAAAAAAGUUAUCACAUUUUCAACCAUUUUCAUGUCAUGUCAAGUUUUUUGCAUCCUUUUUGUUGGCAAAAAAUCUUUUAACCUUAGGUAUUAUUGGCUAGUACAUAACCCUAGGUAUCUUCCUCACCACUACUUGCAUCAGGUUUCUUUUUAAACUGUGAUAACCAACAUGUCGAAAAUACCCUCAAGGUAGCAAACUCAUUUAUGCAUAAUAUAUAUUCAUCAGGGCAUGCACGUAUCUUCUUAUACUCCACACCCAUCGAACACAAUAUAUCCCUCUCUCUAUAAUUACUAUUAAGUAACAUGUGACCUUCUCAAAACAUAUCCUUCAAUAAUGAAACUCUUAUCGGUUCAUCCAUUUCUUUCUUUUAAACUGAAUAGUCUUAAAGUUUUACUGACACUCUUGUAAAGUUAUUGCAUUAUGGUAUAAUUGUUUCUCCAAAUCAAACUUCAAACAAUCAUAUACAUUUUCUCUUUACAACUGUUGUUCGCCAACAUCAUGUAUCAUCUCCUCUAAAUGAUUGUCCAUCCUUUCUUCAAAGUUUUCUAUAGUAAACAUAGUUGGAAUAUCUAUUAUUUCUCUGUGUCAUGCUCAUAUUGUAUAACUCUUGACAGUACCAAAGAUAAACAGGAAAUCAUGUAUUUCCUCAAGCUUCUUAAACAUUUGAAUUAAACACGAACACAAUGGAAACUAAUACGUCCCCUUGAUAGGUUUUCCAUUUUGUCAAGAAAAUUGCAAUAACUUAUCAACUCCCUUUUCAUACUCUUCACUAACAUGAUGUGCAUUCAUCCAAGUUCAAUCCAUAACUAAGUAUGUUAUAAAAUCUAUCGUAAUCAAUCAUACAAAUGCAAUUCUCACUUUUGUAAUUCAAGGUGAGACUCUACCCAUUCAGAAAAAAACAUUUUCCCUAAUUCUUUAACAUGUAUAAAUUAAGUCUAUUCUCUUAAAUUUGAUAAAUUUUUGAAAAAAAUUUACAUUGGUCUCCAAAGUACACGAAAUUUAAGCGGUCACAAAGAGUGCAUCACACUCAAAUAUGCUCCUAGAGAACAACAUUAAAUGGUUGGAACCGAAAUUACAUUAGACUCAAUGUAUACAUAUUAACAAACUAUGAAAAAUAAUUUUCCCAAUCUAUCCAAUCAAACUAUACAAGAUUUGGUAUGAAGGAUUAAUAUUUAACCAUUUGUACUAAAUCUCAAAUGAGAACUACACUUCACUAAAUGUAUGCAUCAAUACAAUAUUUAUUUUAAAUAAAAUUAGCAAAUUAAAUACAAACUAACUUUUAUAUUUAGGUAAAUUUAGUUUAUAUACAAUUGCUUAUUUAGAAAUAAAACAAAAUAUCAUAGAAACUUUUUAAAUGUUUUUUACAAAAUAAUGUUCAUAAAAAUAAAACAACAUACUAAUGUACGUAUAAAAAAAUUACCAUAUACUAAAGUAUCAUGCAAAUAAAAAGAUCUUCCUAAAAAAAUCCUAAAAAAGUUUCAAAUAUAAUGACAAAAUAUUUGGUACUUACCCUUAAACACGAAAAAUGGAAGUGCAAUGGUAGAGUUGUGACGACAAGAGCGGAGGAGGAUGAAAAAUCGUCAAACUUUGCAGCAGUGACGACAGCAAAUUGAAGAAUCUAUAAGAAAAUUGUAUGUAAGAAGAUGGAAAGAAGAAAGAAGAUGUUUUUUAUUCUCUUGUGUGCAUUUACAUCACACUCCAUGUAUAGGAAAUAUAUAGUAUGAAGAUUUUCUCUCUCCAAAUUAUAAGCUAAUUAGGUAGGGAUCCACUAAUCAUGGGAUUUUAUUAUUAAAUUAAUUGCAUAUAAUUGCGUACAAUAUCGUACAAUAUUGUAUACAAUAAUUGCGUAUAAUUUGAUAAUUAUUAUUUUCUUAAUACUCCCCUCAAGUUGGUAGGUGAAGAUCAUGAAACUGUUCCUUGCCUAGUGACUUCGUAAAAAUAUCUACGAGCUGAUACUGUGUCAGUACAUAUGAAGGACGACUGAUUAUCUCGGCUUGUAAUUUUUCUCGCACAAUGUGGCAGACUAUCUCAAUGUGUUUUGUGCGUUCAUGAAAUACUGGGUUUGUUGCUAUAUGUAAUGCCGCUUGAUUGUCACAGAAAAGUUGAGCUGACAAGUUACAUGACACCUUUAAAUCCUGCAACAGAUAUCGCAACCAAACUAUCUCCAAACAAGUAUUGGCCAUCGCGCGGUAUUCUGCUUUCGCAGAUGAUCUUGAUACAUUUCUCUGUUUUUUUUAUUUCGAUGAGAUAAUAAAGGAACCAAGAAAAAUGCAAUACCCAGAUACUUAUCUCCGAGUUGUCUGACAACCUCCCUAGUCUGAGUCGUAAUAAGUUGUCAAUGUCAAAUUGUUCUCAAAUGGCAAUAACAAUCCUUGUCCCGGCGAUCCUUUGAUGUACUUUAGGAAUCGAAUUGCGGCAUCCUAAUGAGGUUUCCGUGGAGCCUGUAUAUAUUGACUUAGGGUCCAAACCGCAAAUACUAAGUCAGGUCGAGUAACCGUGAGGUAUAUCAAUCAUCCCACAAGUCGCCUGUAUUUGACUGGAUCCUUUAACAACUCUCCACCUAAAUUCCUGUCAAAAGAAUAUCAUCCACAUAAAUCAAAAGGGCAGUAAAUUAUGAGUUAUUCUUUGUGAUUAGAGAGUAGUCUAUCUUUGACUGUUGAAAUCCUACUGAUUUAAUCACAUGAGAAAAUGUUGAAAACCAUGUCCGGGAUGCCUGUUUGAGACCAUAAAGGGAUUUGUUGAGUCGACAUACAAUGUUCUCCCCCUGUCGGUGAUGCCCGGGUGACAAGUUCAUGUAAAUAAUUUCAUGCAAUGUGCCAUGUAAGAAGGCAUUUUGCACAUCUAGCUGGUGAGUAAACCAAUUUCUGACUGCUGCAAUGGUGAGGAGACACCUUAAAGUUGUUAAUUUUGUUGUUGGUGAAAAAAUUUCAAAAUAGUCAACACCUUCAAUCUAAGUGUACCCCUUUGCGACAAGGCGUGCCGAUGGGUUUCUGCCCAGCGGGUAACGGUGUUAAGGUCCACGUUUGAUUUAGCUGCAAGGUUGAAAGCUCUUCGUCUUUUGCUUUUUGCCAAUUUGGAUCAAGGAUAGCUUGAGCAUAAGUGUGAGGUUCUUUGGUGGCUGUGAUGUUACAUAUGCACUAUGUGUAGAAAAAAAUCGUGAAUUGGAAAAAAUAUGAUGCAUAGGAUACCUGGUUCAAUUCGACCGGUCUUGGCCAGUGGUCGAAUGAUUGGAUUGGGAUCCCGUUACGUAGUCUUGAAGCCAAGAAGGUGGGGUUGAUGUGCGACUAGAUCGUCGAACAAGAAGGUCGGUUAGAGAAGUUUCAGUAAUGGGCGCUAAACUUCCUGGAGUGGGAGAAGAAGGUUGGUUUGCUGGAGGUUCAGGUACAUUGUGACGAGUAGGAGAAGAAGGUUGGUUUGCUGGAGGUUCAGGUGCAUUGUGACGGGUAGGAGAAGAAGGUUGAUCGAGUGAAUGUUGGACAGGAGUGGGUAAGUCAAUGUCAAUAGCGGGCAAAAUACCUUGUAAUGGAGGUGAGGAUUGCAUCUGGGACUGUUGCCAAAAUGGGAAAACACUUUCAUGGAAGGUGACAUCCCGACUUGUAAAAAUAGUGUCUGCAUCUAUAUCAAAUAAUUUGUAUCCUUUUUUAUUGAGAGGAUAACCAAUGAAGAUGCAUUGCGCGGGUCAAAUUUUUGCUUAGGUGAAACAAAAGUUGCGUAAAAGAGGCAACCAAAAGGUUUUUAGGUGAGAAAGUGAAGGUGGGCGAUUAUAUAACAUCUCAAAAGGUGAUUUGUUUUUUAGUAAAGGUGAUGAUGGCAAGCGAUUAAUGAUAUAUGUAACGGUUAAAACUCAUUGCCCCCAAAAUUCUAAUGGUAAAUGAGACUGAAAUAGGAGGGCUCGUGCUGUGUUUAAAAUGUGUCUAUGUUUGCGUUCUACUACUCCAUUUUGUUGAGGAGUGUAGACGCAAGUGCGUUGACAUUCAAUACCCUUUUUGAGAAAAAAAAUUACGCAUUGAAAUAAAUUCCAAUCCGUUGUCAACACAGAUGGUUUUAAUAUAUGCUUGAAAUUGAUUUUGUGCAAAAGUAAUGAAUAAUUCUAAGAAAUGUUGGGUUUUAGACUUGUGAGUCAUAAGAAAUACGUACAUCUAGUAUAGUCAUCGACUAUAGUGGGAAAAAAAACGAUUUCCAAAAUGAGUUGGGGUUUUAUCAGGACCCCAAAUGUCACAAUGCAAUAGAUUAAAUAGAGAAUGAUAUUUUAUUGUGUUUAAAGGAAAGUGUAGCCUUGUCUGAUUAGCUUUGGACAAAUACUACAAUUAUUAUGAAUGGGAAUGAGAUUUUUACUGAAGGAUGUCCAAGACGCUUGUGCCGUAAAUCAGAGUCGGUCGAAAUUUGAGAUGUGUGGGCUUGGUUUGAAAGAGGGGACAUGUAGUAUAAGCCUGCGUCUUGUUUACCCGAGCCAAUCAUCCUACCCGGAGCCAAGUCCUGCAAAACGCAACCAUGUGAAAAAAAGACGACACAACACUUUAGUGAACUGGUUAUCUUACAAACAGACAUAAGAUUUAGAUUAAAAGAAGGAACGCAAAAAACAUCUUUGAGAGUGAUAUUGUCAUUGAAUUUAAUUGUGCCCGUAGAUGAGAUGAGUGCAGUUGAGCCUGUGGGUAGAUUAACAUUUGGAAUAAAUGAUGAUGAAGUGUGUGUGAAAAAUUGUGAAUCGGAUACAAUAUGAUUGGUUCCUCCACUAUCCAAAAUCCAUGUUUUCGUAAAAGCAAAAUUAAUAGACGAAUUAUAGGCAAGCAUACCUGCAGAGCUAACAAACAUGUCACUUUUACCGUUAUUAUUGAGCGAGUAAAUAGCCUUUGCCAAUUGCUAAAUUUGCUCGGUAGUGAAGUCUUGUACGAGGUUUCUAUUGAACUCAUUACUGGUGCUUUCUUUGCCAAACAUGAUAUCUUAUUUAGUAGAUAAAAAUGACGAGGCUGUCAGAGCACCAAUUGAUACCAUAUAAGAAAAUUGUAUGUAAGAAGAUGAAAAGAAAAAAGAAAAUGUUUUUUAUUCUCUUGUGUGUAUUUACAUCACUCCAUGUAUAGGAAAUAUGUACAAGUAAGUGUAUGAAGACUUUCUCUCUCCAAAUUACAAGCUAAUUAGGUAGGAAUCCACUAAUCAUGAAAUUUUAUUAUUAAAUUAAUUGCAUAUAAUUGCGUACAAUAUCGUACAAUAUUGUAUACAAUAAUUGCGUAAAAUUUAAUAAUUAUUAUUUCCUUAAUAAGAAUCGGCUUAUUUCAUGAUGGUAACAAUAAUGACUAUCAAUGAAGACGACCACAACCACACUAAAGACACCAACAACAACGAUGAAGAAACAAAGUAUAAAGAAUUGAACUUUAAAUCUAACUAAACCUUAAAUCGGCUCAUAAGAUGAAGUUUGCAUUCACUUAUAUACUAUGAAAUGUUCUUAUUUCUAGUCAAUGUAGAUUCGUGUGUGAGAUAUUUAUGGUCUGAUAGCGGUCCGAUAACGGGUGGCCUGAUAAGUCCAAAAAGCUCUCGCUAGAAUAGACUAUAAAUGACUUUGAUAUCAUAUUAAGAAGUGAACUUUAAGCCUAAUUCAACCUUACAAAACCGUCUCAUAAGGUAAAGUUUGUAUCCACUUAUAUACUUUGAAAUGUCCUUAUCUCUAGUCGUUGUGGGAUCUCUAACACCCCUUUGUUAAGACCCUCCAACUCCCUCUCAUGCCGAGAUCCUUCAACUCCUACAUGAGACUAUAUAUUUAUAAGUGGUUUGGUAGCUACCCAAUAGCGGAUGUCAUGAUAAUUCCAACAAACUCUUACUAGGAUAGACUCUAAAAAGUAGACUUUAAAUCUAACUCAAUCUUAGAAAACUAACAUCAUAAAGUAAGAUUUGUACUACUUAUAUAUGUGAAAUGUUUUUAUUUCUAGUCGAUUUAGGAUAUCCAAAGUGACAAUACAAAAUAAAAUAAAAAAAAUCGAGAGAAAUGAGUUACGUAAACUUUUUUUACAUCAGAUACAAGAAAGUAUGAUGUAAAACUAGACAUUUACAUAUGAUAAUCUAGCAUUGAAUGCAAAUCUGAACUUUUAGAUUGGAUUUUCAUAUUAAUGAAGGAAAAGAGUUUACAUUAUUAACUAAAAUAUCACCCAUUUUUUGUCCAGUGAUUACCGUUUUGUCAGACAUAAAUCGUAAACGUAGAUUUUCGCUUUUAUAACUAGUGGGUUUUGCGUAGUUCUUGUAAACUUCUUGUCAUCUUUAGCUUGAUUUAAAUCCUUUUAUUAAAUUCAUUUUAACAUGUCAACACUGAUUGUAUUUAUUGCAAAAAUCAUGUUAUUUUAUUAGUUUGGAUUCAAAAUUUCAAACAUUAUAACAAUAAUCUUUGCCCACUUUAUAAUUUUUAUAUUAUCAGGUUUCUUUCUAAUUAAUUUUGUAUUUUAUGUUAAAAGAAAUUGAUAUUUUUCUUUCAUUAGUCACUGGAACUUUUAUUUAUCUCCAUUAACUUCUUUGAUAAAUACCAAUACUUAUUCAAUUAACUCCAUAUAUAAAUGAUCCUGCCGGUUGACCAGAGCGCAAGAGUCUUGCCACGCCGAAGGUAUCUUCCUCUGGAUCGGCUUUGCACCACGCUAGCUUCCGUCCUUCACACCUUGAUUCUCCUCAAGAACCUGCAAAAGACAGAGUGGCGCCGCUGCGGCCGAUCGCGCUCCGACGCUCAAGUUAGUGACGGAAUCACCAAAACUCUAAGAGAGAAAAGCUAAAAACUCAAGGAACCGUGCAAAAACUCUCUCAGCGUACUCAAGUAUUCUCAAAGCGUAAAGAAGUGUUCUAAACGCGCGUACCUCAGAAUCUGUUAAGAGUUCCUUAUAUACCUGUGCAUUUUCUCUCUCCUAACGGUUACACCUCUGGACACGUGGCUCGCAUCCAGCUAUACACGUGUCACCAUCUGGAACGUCUUCUGCUUGAGCGCCACUCCUACUCUUCAAGCUGUUCGACUAAGUUACUCAGGUGAGGAGCAACUCGGUGCAUAGCUGCCUUGGAGUGCGAUCUUCUUCUAGUGGCGAGCACAGGGUGUCACCUUGCGCACCUUCUCUGUGAUCUCGCCUGCCGCUAUCACGAUCUGCAUUACUUGCUCAUCGUGCAUGUUCUGGUAAACUGUUCCCUGACCUCAACCUCUGGCUAGGGAAUGAUCAUUUGAUAACUUCAUCCUUCGUACUCGUGCCCCUUGAAGGCCUUGAACAAGCUUUCCUGAUCUUUCGGCGAUGUCCCCCUCUCGGCGAUCUCUGACCACUUGGUCGCCUAAGUUCACAUACGGCGACUACGACACAAGCCUGGUGACCGCCGGUUUAGAUAUGCUAGAAAUCGGAGCACGCCAACUUAAUGAUUGGCGACUACACGAACUCCCCGAUGUCCUUCCCUUCCGUCAGCCAGGUGUUCCGUUCAACACGCCUAUAUUACCACUUGCUGCCACGUCAUCACUCCCAACUACCUGGUCGGUACACAAGCCCCCAGUCUUAAGCGAAGACUUGUCCAGCGAAAAGACUAAGAGGUCACAUCACCGUCGAUCUACUUGGCGCUGGCACGGAAUUCCAAACGUCUGUACCCUCUGCUUUCCUGACACUCCACCAAACCCCUUUUUCCAAUCGCUCGACACGUGGCUUCAUCAACGGUCAUCCUCAGUUGUCGUUUGUGCUUCCGAAAACGUUCGAAAAACCCUUAAACCCCUUGCACUUCCACUGUUCCAUCAUCUUUCUGCACCCUCAAAACGUUCUAAGUUCUUCUCUGCGAACCCACGAAGCUUCUCAACUCUCUUAAUCUCCAACUCUCUUCAACGCUCAUCCGAUCAUCAAAAGGUACCCCUUUUACUUCUUUUAUUGAUAUUUGCUGCAUUUUAACCGAUUUGCAUCAUCCAUUAACGGAUAUCAUCAUAGACAACAUCAUGUAUUUUCGCUUCAUGCACAAUCCAGGAGGUAAGUUGUAAAUAACUAGUAAUACAGGCCAUGAACUGUGAUUUGUACUCAUAUUACCAAACGGAUUCAUUUCGUCUGUAGCUAAACCAAGUCGGAUAUUUCUUGAUUCUUUACCAAAUUCUGGAAAGUCAUCAUCAAAUUUCUUCCAUUGAAUAGAAUCAGCUGGAUGUCGGUACAUGCCAUCGCAUUUCCUCUCAUCUGCAUGCCAUCUAAGAUUCUUAGCAUCGUCUGGGUUUGCAAACAAACGCUUCAUCCUUGGAAUGAUGGGAAGAUACCACAUAACCUUCAUUGGGGGUCCAUGCUUUUCCAUGUCAUCAAUAGAAUCAUCAUCUUUUUGUUUCAACUUAUAACGUGAUAACCCACACCUCGGACAACUUUUCAACAAUUCAAAAUCUUUCCGGUAUAAUAUACAAUCAUUAGGACAUGCAUGUAUCUUUUUGUACUCCAUACCCAUUGGACAAAGNNNNNNNNNNNNNNNNNNNNNNNNNNNNNNNNNNNNNNNNNNNNNNNNNNNNNNNNNNNNNNNNNNNNNNNNNNNNNNNNNNNNNNNNNNNNNNNNNNNNNNNNNNNNNNNNNNNNNNNNNNNNNNNNNNNNNNNNNNNNNNNNNNNNNNNNNNNNNNNNNNNNNNNNNNNNNNNNNNNNNNNNNNNNNNNNNNNNNNNNNNNNNNNNNNNNNNNNNNNNNNNNNNNNNNNNNNNNNNNNNNNNNNNNNNNNNNNNNNNNNNNNNNNNNNNNNNNNNNNNNNNNNNNNNNNNNNNNNNNNNNNNNNNNNNNNNNNNNNNNNNNNNNNNNNNNNNNNNNNNNNNNNNNNNNNNNNNNNNNNNNNNNNNNNNNNNNNNNNNNNNNNNNNNNNNNNNNNNNNNNNNNNNNNNNNNNNNNNNNNNNNNNNNNNNNNNNNNNNNNNNNNNNNNNNNNNNNNNNNNNNNNNNNNNNNNNNNNNNNNNNNNNNNNNNNNNNNNNNNNNNNNNNNNNNNNNNNNNNNNNNNNNNNNNNNNNNNNNNNNNNNNNNNNNNNNNNNNNNNNNNNNNNNNNNNNNNNNNNNNNNNNNNNNNNNNNNNNNNNNNNNNNNNNNNNNNNNNNNNNNNNNNNNNNNNNNNNNNNNNNNNNNNNNNNNNNNNNNNNNNNNNNNNNNNNNNNNNNNNNNNNNNNNNNNNNNNNNNNNNNNNNNNNNNNNNNNNNNNNNNNNNNNNNNNNNNNNNNNNNNNNNNNNNNNNNNNNNNNNNNNNNNNNNNNNNNNNNNNNNNNNNNNNNNNNNNNNNNNNNNNNNNNNNNNNNNNNNNNNNNNNNNNNNNNNNNNNNNNNNNNNNNNNNNNNNNNNNNNNNNNNNNNNNNNNNNNNNNNNNNNNNNNNNNNNNNNNNNNNNNNNNNNNNNNNNNNNNNNNNNNNNNNNNNNNNNNNNNNNNNNNNNNNNNNNNNNNNNNNNNNNNNNNNNNNNNNNNNNNNNNNNNNNNNNNNNNNNNNNNNNNNNNNNNNNNNNNNNNNNNNNNNNNNNNNNNNNNNNNNNNNNNNNNNNNNNNNNNNNNNNNNNNNNNNNNNNNNNNNNNNNNNNNNNNNNNNNNNNNNNNNNNNNNNNNNNNNNNNNNNNNNNNNNNNNNNNNNNNNNNNNNNNNNNNNNNNNNNNNNNNNNNNNNNNNNNNNNNNNNNNNNNNNNNNNNNNNNNNNNNNNNNNNNNNNNNNNNNNNNNNNNNNNNNNNNNNNNNNNAAAUAAAAAUUCAAAAUAUUAAAUAUGAAUUCAAAAUUUUAAAUAUAAAUUCAAAAUAUUAAAUAAAUACAACACCAACCUUUAGGUUGAUGGUGAUCAGAGACGAAGACGAAGGCGUAGGCGAAGGCGGUGGCGGAAGCAGUGGCGGUGACGGAAGCAGUGGCGGUGGCGGAGCAGAAAAAACCAGAGAACCAAUAGAACAGUAACCACCUAUAUGUAGAAAACGAGUAAGGAAACGAAAUGACAAUGCCAAGGAAGUGAAUAAUGACAAUGACAAAAACGAAAACGAAAACAAACGUUGAAGCAGAGAGAGCUGAAACUUACAAUGCAAAGCGGAGAGAGCUGAGAACGUUGAAACGAAGAGCGGAGAAGACGAAAGUGAAAGUGAAAACCAGUGGCGCGCUUCUAUUUUUAGGGUAAAAUUGAUUUACAAAUGCGGUUCUAGGGUAAGACCGCAUUUGUAAAUCAAUUUAAUUACAAAAAUGCCACCGCGUUUUUUACAAAUGCGUUUAAACGCAAAGCCGCACUAAAUAAAUAGUCGUUGUUUUCAAAUUUUGUACUAGUGAUUAUCUGUCUGAAGCAUACAGUGUGGGCUGUUUUUUUCCUUUCUCCUUCUCUCGUAGCUUAGGGCUUCGUUCUUUGUUACGUUCAUCCCAGCGAACUCUCGUUCGUUCGCUCUGUCUUCUUCGUUCUCAAUCGAGUCGUUCUGUUGGCUUUGUUUCAUCCCUUUCAUUUUCCUUUGCAGUUCCUGCGAUGACUCACACAAAAUCCACCGCGAAUCCUCCUUCUUCGUCGCGAAACCCUCCACCCCAAGCGCGUAGGGUUGCUCCUGGGGCAAAUCCUCCACCAGCGCGUAACCCACCUCGAGCAUCUAGUGCUCCUUCUACCCAGGCUGAGACGCCUGCAACUUCUCACGCCAACCUCGCUCAGGCAACCCCGCCAGUCGCUGAAGGGUCUUCCUUGCCUCCAAAUGACUACAAGGAACUCUAUCCUUGGGCCACCCCACUCUUGUUAAAAGAGACUUCUUCAAUAAACACGGAGUUGGGCGUGCACCGACUAAGGAAAGGAGACCAGUCCGACCUCUCCUUCCACAAGGAACAUGAUAGCAAGGUGGCCGUGCUGCCCUGCUUCCCGGACGAGCCGAUCUGUGCAGACGACAAAGGAAACAACGGCGAGUCGUUCUGCUUCCUCUACGCCAUCUUCUUCAAGAAAGUGAAGCUCAGACUUCCCUUUACUCGCUUCGAGAGAGAGCUGCUAACCGAGCUCGAUAUCGCCCCCGCCCAGCUUCAUCCCAACAGCUGGGCAUUCGUAAGGGCGUUCCAAAUCAUCUGCGCACACCUGGGGCUGCCGGCUUCAGUAGAUGUCUUCCUUUUCCCGUUCGAGGCUAAGAAUCCUGGAGACCGCCUCUGGAUUAACUUAAAUGGGAUUGCUGGGAGGUCAAUCCUCUCGAUCUUCCAGCAAUCCUACAAAGACUGGAAAGGAAAAUUCAUCAAGGUGCGCCCAAACGAGCAAGAUCCCUCACUGCUCGACGGUUUCCCCUUGUACUGGGUACACAAGGGGAAUAAAGACUCCAAGGAGUGCUUCAGGAGGCCAAGGAGUCCUGACAACAUGGGGGAGUUGGGCAAGGAUCUCUGCCUUUUCUGGAAGAGCGUAGCAGCCGCCAACAUCACUUUCCCCACCGCCUCGAUAAUCUCCUUCGAGUUCCUCGAGGGCCAACUUGAAGCUCACAUAGGUUAGCCCUUACCUCGACACCAAGACCUUCACUUUGGGUUGGAAUUGACUUCGCAUUUCUACCAUCUAUCAUUCGGCGUUCUGUUUGUCGUGUACUGAUCUUGAUUUUUAAUCCACGCGCUACUUGCUUGCGUUAUUUCUGCGUGCAUAUGUUUGUAUAACCUGUUUCUGCUUUGGGGCCUACUUAUCUGUUUUCUACCCUGUGCAGACCUCAUGUUGGGAAAAGGAAAACUGGCUGAGCUGAGGGCGAUCGCCCGAUCCCACAAGUUGGCGGCGGGCUCCCAAACCGUGCCCAACUCGGUGGUGGAGAUCGCCGUUGCUCAGGGCAAAACUCCCCCCCGAGGUGCAACUCCUUCGGAGACACUACCCGCCCCCAAAGAAAAAAACUUGUCUUGAGGAAGCCAAAGAGGAAAACUCCUCAAGUGGUACAGGAAGAAGAGGAUGACGAGGCGACUGAGGACGGCCUCGUCACCAAAAGAACAAGGGUGGCACCCUCUUUACCACCUGCUCUCCCAACACCAACACCGCCCUCUCCUCCAGCUCCAACACCGCCAGUCCAAGCAACACCCUUGGCUGUCGCGCCCCCAGUGGUUGAAGGCAGCGAGCCUAAUUUCAUUGGGAAUCCUCCAAGCGCCUCCAUGCCAUUUCUAUCUGCUGGAGAAGGUCCUCCUUCAACCGCCUCUAUCGCUGGGGCUGCACCAGGAGGAGAUGAAGGUGGCCAUAACUCGCCGAUCCUGAUAACAGAGUCUCCGACUCCACCACCACGCCAAGAAGCCCCCCUUGCCCUUCAAACUCAAGAGGGUGGUGGUGAAAGUCAGCACCAAGCUCCUCCAGCACCUCCACCAGCAACAACUUCAAACUUCCCCCCUUCCAUCGACGAGAUCUGGGGACCCUUCACAGCCAAACUUAAAAUGAUGGCAGAGGAUCUCCCCUCAAUCAUAACAAAAGCUGUGAAGAUCUCAAGCAAGAAACUCCAAGACGAGAAUGCGGCGCUCAAGGAGGCAAACCGCCUGAUAAGAAUGGAGGCAGAGAAGCUUUCUUGCAAUCUGAUGAUGGCGGAAAUCGACCAUUCAAGGCUGGAGGACACCAUGGAUGCCGAACUAAGAGGCGCACGCAAGGAGGCCUCCGAUCUGCACCAAAAACUGCACCUCUAGGCUCUAGAGAAAAUCGAGCUGGAGAGUAAACUUGUACCUUACAGGCUCAAGGUGGCCAACUUGGAGGCAUCAAUGAAAGCAGAUGCGGCCAAGGUGGAGAACCUUGAAAAGAGGUCAGCAGAUCGGGAGGUGCUCCUUGGGAAAGUCGAGAAGGAGAGGGACGAUACCAAGGACGAGCUCGGCAACGCUCAAGAGGAAAACGCGAGGAUUGCUGCAGAGCUGGCCCAUGCUCGGGAGGAAAGCAAGAAAGCUGCCGAAGAGCUUGCUCGGGCUCGUGAGGAAACCGAAGGGCUGAAGAAGCAAAUUGAUGAGCUGCAGAAGCAGGCUCAAGAGCUCGAGCAAAGCUCCGCCCAAGUCCUUUCCGCCGGGUUCGACGCCACUUUGGAGCAAGUCUCGUGUCAAUAUCCCGAGCUCGAUCUCUCCAUGGUGUCAAUCUACAAUGAAGUGGUGGAUGGGAAGAUCGUGCCCUCUGAAGAUUAAUUGUCUCCCUCCAUCACUUUUUUCUUUGAAAACUUGGUGCUCAUUUCUGUUUGUAAGAACUUUUAUAUGUAACUUUUCUUCGUAUGUAUUUGAACUGACAUUGCUUUAUGUAACUCCUUAUGCUUAAGAUAUUGUUGUCUAAUACCGUGCCUCAAACGCUUCUUACUCGCUGUGUGAUUAACCAACAUAACCGGUAGAACUCGCUUAAACAAAUUGACUUAGCGAUUCUUCAGGCUUAACUGCUCACUGCUUUGAACUCGAGCAAACUGUUAAUCUCAUAACGAUUUAUCGAACUGUUACCUCAAAGUAAAAUUUGAGCAACUACCAACUUUCAAACGGUGACAUUUAACGUAACUUGCAAACUUAAGGCAAUAAGUUACUUACUAGGCAGCAGGUUUUAUCUUAAACUUGUAUCACAAUACAGUUUACCUGAUCUGCCCUGGCAAGGCUAGGCUUUACGCUCGUCAUCGCCUGGAAUUCUUCUGAUCGCCGUAAGGUUCUGGCGAUGUAGGCUUUCUCUGCCUUCAUCGCUGGACUAUUGUUCCCUCAUCUAGGGGGUAGAGGUGCCUUUCGGAUCCUUCUCUACCUCCCUGAGUUUCAGAACAAAGAACUGGAUAGCGAGGUGUUCUCUUUGAACCUACCUUAGCUAUCUCUUAAACAUUUUUCGCCCUUCACGCCAUACCUGAACUCGUUCAAGACGAGAAGGAUUUGAUCUGUCUUCAUACCGCCUACAAGCGUGGAAAUUUUCUCUGGUCUUACUAUGUCAAUAUUUAUGCCUCACUUAAAGGGGGAAAGGCGUUUUCCUUCCCUUCCCGCCGUUUAAGGUCACGAACACCCCUGACUUUUCAGUUCAUCUUGCCUGAACUCACUCUGAGGUGAGAAGGACUUUUUCUCGCCUGAACUCGCUCGAUGGCGAGAAGGACUUUAUCUGGCCUGAACUCGCUCGACGGCGAGAAGGACUUUAUCUGGACUUUAUCUGGUAGGCGUCAUUCCCGAGCGCCUCGGUUAUUCUGAACGGUCCUGUCCACUUAGGCGAUAACUUGUUUUCCAUCUCGUACUGGUGGGCCUUCCUCAUCACCAGGUCGCCCUCUCUAAACUGCCUUGGCGUCACCCUCGAGUUAUACCUUCGCUCAAUCGUCCUUUUCACUGCCUCAGCCUUUACCCCUGCCUCUUCCCUGACCUCAUCCAGUAAAUCCAUAUUUAACCUUCUUUCUUCGUUCGAGUCUUUCGCCACGAAAUUCUGAAAUCUCGGCGAGCUCUCCUGGAUUUCCACUGGAAUCAUUGCAUCACAUCCAUAGACCAAGCUGAACGGGGUCUCGUGGGUUCCUGACUGCUCGGUGGUAUGGUACGCCUAAACUAUGCGGGGUACCUCCUCAGCCCACGAUCCCUUAGCUUUUUCCAGCCUUCUCUUCAAACCCCUCAGCAACAUCCGAUUAGCGGACUCUACUUGGCCAUUUGUCUCGGGGUGCUCGACGGAUGCAAACACCUGCUGUAUCCCCACCUCUUCGCACAGCUUCUUCAGUAGGUGACUUGCAAACUGAGUCCCAUUGUCUGACACCAGGCGCUUAGGCACACCAAACCGGCACACGAUGUUCUUCCAAACAAAACUCUCGAUCUUGUGUGCGGUGAUUUGGGCUACUGGUUCUGCUUCGAUCCACUUGGUGAAGUAUUCAACCGCCACCACCAAGUACUUCAUCUGUCUGAUCGCCAAUGGGAAAGGUCCUAGAAUGUCGAUUCCCCACGUAUGAAACGGCCAAGGGCUGUAAAUUGACUUUAAUUCCUCUAGAGGCGCCUUGUGCCAAUCGGCGUGCUGCUGACAUUGCUUGCAACACUGUGCAUACUUCUUGCAGUCUUCCCUCAUUGUUAGCCAGUAAUAACCUGCACGGAGAGUUCUUGCAGCCAGAGCUCGACCCCCGACGUGACUCCCACAUAUCCCCUCAUGGAGCUCGGCCAUGAUUCUAGUGCAUUUUUCUCCGUGCACACAUUCUAGGAGUGGGUGCAUAAACCCAAACCUAUAUAGCUCGCCAUCGAUCAUGGUGAACUUGCUGGAGUUCUUCUUUAUCUUCCUAGCCUCUGUCGGAUCCAGCGGUAGAAGGCCAUUUGCCAGGCAGCGCUGGUACUGUGUUAUCCAUGUGUCUGGCUCAUGCGUAGCGCAGACCUGCGUCAUGUUCACCCUCUCCCCCCGACAUGCUCCUAUUCUCGGCGAUCUUAAAGUCUCCUGGGUCAAGGACCUGUGACUCCUCGCCACUUUCUCCGUCGAUUUGCUUAUCUGAAGAACCAGGUGGUCUGCCACAAAUGCUCUAGGCGUCUUCAGAGUUUCUUGGAUCACUGUCCUCUGCCUACCCCCCUUGCCCGAACUGGCGAGUUUGGCUAACAAGUCUGCUCGGACAUUCUGCUCUCUGGGCACAUGCACCACUUGAAAUGAGAGAAAGGAACUCUUCAACUCCUGCACAUACUCCAAGUACGUCGCCAUUUGUGGAUCCUUGGCCUGGAAUUCGCCUGUUACUUGUCCCGUGACUAAUAAGGAGUCACUCUUAGCCAUCAGCACCCUAGCCCCCAUCUCCUUGGCCAGCAAGAUUCCGGCGAUUAACGCUUCAUACUCUGCUUGAUUGUUGCUGGCUUUGAAGGCAAACCUCAGGGACUAUUCUAUCAGAACGUCGUUGGGCCCUUCUAGAAUGACUCCAACACCGCUACCCUGCUGGUUUGACGAUCCAUCCACCGAGAGCACCCAACGAAAGUCAUCCCCUUCAACUCGUGCUGCUUCUGACGAGAGCUCGACCACAAAAUCAGCGAAAAUCUGCCCCUUGAUCGGACCUAGGGGCUCAUACUUGAUGUCGAACUCCGACAGCUCCACCGCCCACUUCACCAUUCUCCCAGCCACAUCAGGCUUCUUCAGGACUUUCUGGAUGGGCAAGUCGGUCAUCACUAGCACUGUAAAACUGUGAAAAUAGUGGCGCAACCUCCUCGCCGAAAAUACUACAGCCAGUGCAGCUUUCUCCAAGGCCUGAUACCUCACCUCCGAGCCUUGCUACACCUUGCUGACGAAAUAAAUAGGCUUCUGAGCCUGGUCUUGAUCUUGGGCGAGCACCGCACUCACCGCCCUCUCAGUCACAGCAAAAUACAACCUGAGAGGGGUUCCUACUAAGGGUUUACACAAAACCGACGGGCUCGCCAAGUACUCUUUAAGCUUCACGAAGGCUUCUUCACAAUCCUUCGACCAGACAAACUUGUUGUUUCGCCUCAAACAUUGGAAAUACGGAUGGCCCUUCUCUCCACUAGCUGACACGAAACGAGACAGGGCGGCCAUCCGACCUGUAAGUUGCUGCACCUCCUUCACGGUAGCCGGGCUCCUCAUCGCCAAGAUGGCAGCACACUUAUCAGGAUUUGCCUCUAUUCCUCUUUCAGUCAAAAGGAAACCCAAGAAUUUCCCUGCCUCCACGCCGAAAAUGCACUUCUCGGGGUUUAACUUUAAUCUGAACUUGGCAAUCGUGGUGAGCAACUCCUCCAGAUCCGAGACGUGCUUGCUCUUUUCUGGCGAGGUCACGACCAUAUCAUCUAUGUACGCUUGCACAUUCCUUCCCAGCAUUGGUGCAAGUACCUUAUCCAUCAAUCUUUGGUACGUGGCCCCCGCAUUCUUCAGCCCAAAGGGCAUCACCUUGUAGCAGUAACACGACCUCUCAGUCAUGAAGGCAGUUUUCUCUUCAUCCAUAGGAUGCAUCUUUAUCUGAUUAUACCCCGAGAAGGCGUCCAGAAAACUCAGCAACUUGCACCCUGCUGCACUGUCGACCAGGGCAUCUAUGCUUGGCAAAGGAUACGAAUCCUUUGGGCAAGCCUUGUUCAGGUCUGUGAAGUCGACGCACAUGCGCCACUUCCCAUUGCUCUUCUUCACCAGUACGACAUUGGCCAACCAUUCAGGGUACUGGACCUCCCUGAUAUGGCCUGCGGCGAGGAGCUUCUGUGUUUCAUCCCUAAUCGCCUACCUCCUCUCCUCGUUAAACUUCCUUCUUCUCUGCCGCACUGGUCUGACUUGUGUGUCCAUUGCCAAGUGGUGACACAAGAAAUCGGGGUCAAUUCCCGGCAUGUCUGAAGCAGACCAUGAAAAGGCAUCCAGAUGCCGUUUUAUCACCUUGGCGAUCUGGUCUUGGAGCUCAGCCUCCAAAGAUCUUCCCAGCUUGAAGACCUUCCCCCGAUCUCCCUUUCGAGCCACUCCUCGACAGGUUUGGGUCUGGUUUCCCUGGCGAUCACCGCCUUGGCGAUUCCCAAUUCCCUCGCUUCCUCUGGGUGGUUCCUCGCUUCUUCCUCCCGUCCGGCGCUCUCUCUCUCAACCUCAGCAUCCACCAUGGUGACAUCGCCUCCGGCGGUCACUUCCAUCGCCGCAUCACCAACUCGCCAUUCCGUUGGUUGGGGCUUCACACCGGGAGGCGGCGUCGUGGUGAUGUAACUCACUGACCUCUUAUUCUUGAGGCUAUUCUCAUAGCAUUUCUUCGUCUCCUUCUGGUCAAAUCUGAUGGUGAUCACCACCCCCUCCAUCGAUGGUAACUUAACCUUCAUGUGCCUAGUUGAGGGCACAACUCCUAUUCUGUUGAGGGUUGGUCUCCCCAACAGAAUGUUAUAUGCUGAGGGGGCAUUCAUAACGAGGUACUUGAUUUUCUCCGUCCUCGAGGCCACCUCAUUCGUGAACGUUGUUCUUAGCUCGAUGUACCCCCUGACCUCCACCUGAUCGCCAGCGAACCCAUACAAGCACCCUCCAUAGGGUCUUAGCUGGUCAAGGGGUAGUUGCAACUGUGUGAAAGUCGGCCAUAACAUUACAUUCGCCGAGCUUCCUUGGUCCACCAGUACCCGGUGGACUUUCCUUCCCGCCGUGACAAGCGAGAUGACUAUGGGAUCGUUGUCGUGAGGCACAACGUCCCGGAGGUCUUCCUUCGUGAAUGUAAUAUCCACAUCUGGUGAGUGGUCUUCAAACAUAUCCACUGUCAUCACAGACCUUGCAUACUUCUUCCGCUGUGACGCAGUGCAUCCACCACCCGAGAAACCUCCAGCGAUGGUGUGGAUCUCGCCAUGAGUGGGCAUCUCAUGCUGUUGAGCCUCACCACCCGCCGGCUGGGAGCUCGACGCGCCUCCCGUCCUCUUGUCCAGCAGGUAAUCGUUCAAAAACCCGCUCUUGACCAGAUCGUCGAGCUGGUAUCCCAGGGCCAAACACGAAUCAACUGUGUGACCAAAACUCUGGUGGAACUCACACCAGGCGUUUGGUUUUGGUCCUAACACCUUGUCGCCCACUUUCUCAGGCGCCUUAAGCCUGGCUGCUAUGUUGGGAAUGGCGAUCAGAUCCGCCAACCCCAUGACAAACUUGUACUUUCGUGGGCGAUUAUACUCCCUGGGGCGUCCUGGGCCCCUUCCCUUGUUCUUCCUCAGAUCAUAAGGAUGGCGAGUCCUCUGAUCCUUCUUGGCCGCCAUCGUCUCCAGCACCCUCUGCGGCUGGAUUCUAGUCUGGGCACGUGGCCUAGCAGGGGCCACGCUCCCUCUCUUCUCGGCGACCUCACUCUCGUCGGCGAUGUGGGCCACCGCAAGUCGCUUAACUUCAGCAAACGUGGCGGGGUGAGCCCUAAUCAGCCCCUCACAGAAAGGUCCCGACAGCACGCCCUUUUUGAAGGUGUAUACCAACAUCUGCUUGUCUUUAGCAGGCGAGCGGACCAUCUGUGCUCCAAAACGAUUCAAAUAGUCCCUGAGGGACUCUUCCUGGUAUUGCCUGAUGUCGAACAGGUCAUAAGACACCCUAGGUGGCGCCUUGUUCACAAUGUACUGCUCGACAAAAAGCUUCGAAAACUGCUGGAAAUUGGUUAUGUGACCUGUAGGCAAGCUCACAAACCAUUCCAGCGUUGUUCCCUGGAGCGUGCUCACAAACAUCUUGCAAUAUACAGCAUCCGAGCCCCCUGACAGCAUCAUCUGCGUGUGGAACAUAGUGAGAUGUGCCUCAGGGUCCUCCAUGCCGGUGAUAGAAGCUUUCACAGGUACUACGCUCGCAGGGAUAGGCGUGUCUGUGAUCGCCUGAGCGAACGACAUUGGGAAAACGCGCGGUGGCGACGACGGCGCGACCUCUUAUACAACUGGGCGUCCUCUCUGCUCCUAAAGAGCUUGACGCAACUCCUCAGUUACUUUGCUGAGCUCUUCAUUCCUGGCCUGAGAGGCGACCAGGUCUUCAUGCAUCUUCGCUUGCUCUAUGCGCGAUGCCUCCACAUUCGCUUGCAGCGCACGCAUGAUCUCCAUCAUCUGUGCCAUGGUCAUGGCGCUUUCUACAACAACUGGCACAACGGGACUUGAACGGUUGCUUCUCAUCUUUCUCAUGAAAACUCAGCAAACCAAACUUCAACGAGCAAAACCUUCACCAGCGAACGAUCGAUCCAGCAAUCAAUCGGUCAGAAAUUCCCAAACUCCCAAGAACUUCCAAAAACGCAACCACAACAGCACGUCGGUAGAUUCGGACGUCGAAACCUUCACAGAAACUUGCAAUCUCACCACGAACCUACCGCUCCUCCAGCAAAACUCCCGAUUCACCAAUCAGAAACGCGACUGAACGGUAAACCUUCGAAUCAACCGAUUGAAAACCGUGCAAACAGCAAGAAACUUCAAGAAUCCAAUCGAAAGCUUCAAACGAAUGGCGGAAAAUUCGAAAUCACUGAACAAAAGCUUGAACGAACGGUGGAAAACUCGAAAUCACCGAACAAAAGCUCGAACGAACAGUGGAAAAUGGUUGCACCAGCACACAACCACACAGAAACUACAGAAACUUCAAGAACUCACGUUGUGGAUGGGGACAGGUUUUACACGACCCCACGGUGGGCGCCUGAUGAUCCUGCCGGUUGACCAGAGCGCAAGAGUCUUGCCACGCCGAAGGUAUCUUCCUCUGGAUCGGCUUUGCACCACGCUAGCUUUCGUCCUUCACACCUCGAUUCUCCUCAAGAACCUGCAAAAGACAGAGUGGCGCCGCUGCAGCCGAUCGUGCUCCGACGCUCAAGUCAGUGACGAAAUCACCAAAACUCUAAGAGAGAAAAGUUAAAAACUCAAGGAACCGUGCAAAAACUCUCUCAGCGUACUCAAGUAUUCUCAAAGCGUAAAGAAGUGUUCUAAACGCGCGUACCUCAGAAUCUGUUAAGAGUUCCUUAUAUACCUGUGCAUUUUCUCUCUCCUGACGGUUACACCUCUUGACACGUGGCUCGCAUCCAGCUGUACACGUGUCACCAUCUGGAACGUCUUCUGCUUGAGCGCCACUCCUACUCUUCAGGCUGUUCGACUAAGUUACUCAGGUGAGGAGCAACUCGGUGCAUAGCUGCCUUGGAGCGCGAUCUUCUUCUAGUGGCGAGCACGGGGUGUCACGUUGCGCCCCUUCUCUGUGAUCUCGCCUGCCGCUAUCACGAUCUGCAUUACUUGCUCAUCGUACAUGUUCUGGUAAACUGUUCCCUGGCCUCAACCUCUGGCUAGGGAAUGAUCAUUUGAUAACUUCAUCCUUCGUACUCGUGCCCCUUGAAGGCCUUGAACAAGCUUUCCUGAUCUUUUGGCGAUCUCUGACCACUUGGUCGCCUAAGUUCACAUACGGCGACUACGACACAAGCCUGGUGACUGCCAGUUUAGAUAUGCUAGAAAUCGGAGCACGCCAACUUAACGAUUGGCGACUACACGAACUCCCCGAUAUCCUUCCCUUCCGUUAGCCAGGUGUUCCGUUCAACACGCCUAUAUUACCACUUGCUGCCACGUCAUCACUCCCGACUACCUGGUCGGUAAAAAAAAAAGUUAAAUAUUCAAUUAUCACUGAAACCAUCUAUUAUCGAUUAAAACAUAUUUUAACUGCUUAAAAAACUAUAUUUUGACAUUUUCUAAAACUAAGUUUCAAAAGUGUAUACUUAUCGUCAUAGAUUUUCAUUCCAUAUUAUCGAUAAAGCAUCACUCUAUUAAUUAAAUCUUUUUUAAACAAAUAUUAAUUUAUCAGUUUUUUGUAUUUUACCUGCUUUAUGCAUGAACUCAUGUAAGACAUUUUUUGGUUUCAAAAAAAGAAAUAAAAGCAUUUAGACAGAUUAUGAACAUAAAUUUUGUGAAAUUAUGUAAAUAGUCUUCCUUGUUACGUUGUGUUUAUCUGAUAUUGAUACUCUCUUUCUUUUUUGGAUUAGAAGGGAGACCUUCGACGUAUCAGUGGAUGUGGUAUGUUUAUGGUAUGAAUUCUACCUGUUUGGAUUACCUAUAUUUGAAUUAGUACGUAAUACUAACAAUUAAUUUUGAUUCUAUAUAGAAAAUCAUUAAAUAAAACCUAGAUAAAAAUUAAUUAGAUAUUGAAUAGAUUGAAUAUUUAGAGUAAUUUCUAAAUUUAUAAACUAGUUUUUAAUUUGUAUCUAAUUAGUUUAUUGGUAUUUAAUUAGCUACCAAAUUUUUACCUACCAAUUUUAGAAUCUAAAGUACUUGAUAGCUAAAAUCUAGGUAGCUAAUUUGAUACUAAUUUAUAAAUUUUAUUAAUAGUAAAAACUACUUCAGAUACUAAUAAUUUUUUGGUCUCUAAAAUAGUAUCUAAUUUAGUCAAUAUAGUGAUGUGAGUUGAUUUGCUAUUACACAUGUUUUUAUAAGUUUCACUUGGAUUGUGAUUUUUUUAUUUGUAAUAAUAGGUGAAGACUCGGUGAAGAUUGUCAUUGGACACAAACUUAACCAAGUGGUAAGUGGUUAAGUAAGUGUGAAAGUUCUCUUCAAAAGAGCAAAGGAAAAAUAUACGCUCUAUGAUGAAUGAUGAACACAAAUUUAAACAUAAUAAGGAAUGAGAAGUGUGGAAUUCAAUAGUGAAGAAAAGAAUAAAAGGAACUAAAAGAGUAUUGGCAGAUGGAAUGGAAAAACAAUGAAAGAGAUAAGAAAUAAAGAAGCUUGUGAAGUGGAGAAAAUGAAGGUGAUUCACGCCACUUGAGGGAGAGAUCUCCUAGAUGAGUGAGGAAGUGAGUCGCCACUUGCAGCCAUUUAUGCCAAGAUAAGACUCAAAGGAUUUGUACAACACUUAGGAUUUCACUCAAUGAGAGUUUCUUUACUAUUCAUUCAAAUGUCGUAUACAAGAAGUGAGGUACCCUAUUUAUAGCCUUUAGUGCCUUGGUGAACAAGUGAGGGGGUGGCUAUUGAAGGAAACAUUCUAGAAUCUAGGGUUGGCCAAGGGUGUCGCACAUGGAGAGGAAAACCUUCUAGAAACUAGGUUAAAAAUGGCCUUUUUAGAAGCUAGGUUAUAGAAUGUAGCACAUGGAUGACACAUAGGGUGAUCUUCUAUAAACUAGGAUUUCUAGAAGCCUAAGCUAGCUUAUUCUUCUUCUUGGGCCAAUUUGAGCCUAAUUUAUUACGUAGUCUAGUCUUGUCAAAAGACUAGAAGAAAGAACAACUGCUAUUUUGGUCCAUGUCUAGGUCUUCUUCUUCUGAGGAUCUUCUGAGGGAUGGUGGGACCUUGUCUCUUAUCCUGAUAUGAAUGACCUAGGUGUGAAUUCUCUUUUGUGCCCUUUUUCAUUUGCUUGUAAAGUUGGGUUCUAUCCCUAGGUUGGAAAGAAUUCGACCUCAAAUUUAGAACUCCUGUAGAUAAUAUAGUUAGUUUGUUCACAGGAAAGAUAGAAACAUUUCUAGAGGUGUGAAGUGAAUCAAACUAAUGUUCGUUGAGCUUUUGAAGUUCUUGUGGAUUAGUUCUAUAUACAUGCGAUGCUUGUAGAGAAUGGUUAGGGACAAAGUGAUUUUGACAUGUAAUGCCUCUUAAAAGGUGUAAACCUUUAAGAGGUUUUGGAAAGUCAUCCCCAAUUUUCUCUAACAAAUAUUUGAAGUAUUUAGAACUAUCAAUAGAUGGAAAAAAUAAGGAAGGAGAAUAUCUAGUAGGAUAGGCAGUAUUUAUUUUCGGUCGAGCCAACAUUACCGUUUUUACUGUGUGGUGAGAUGAUGAGACCCAUUUUGAUUUUGUGAUUUUCCUCACCUUUUUCAUUUUCUCUUUUUGUUUUCAUUUUUUUUAUCAUCAAUAACUUCUUUUGGAGAGAGAGGUUUUAAUAUAAUUUUGUGCCCAUGGAAGUUGAAAGAGAUUUUGUUGGUAAUGUCAUCAUGUAAAAUUUUUCUAUCAUAUUGCCAAGGCCUUUCCAAAAGCAUGUUUGUGGCUUCCUUUGACACAACAUCACACAAAACUUCAUCUUUAUAUUUCCCAAUGGCAAAGAUUAUGUGGACUUGUUUAUUAACCAUUAUUUCACCCUCUUCACUAAGCCAUUGUAAUUUAUAGACUUUGUAUGAGAGAUAGUGGGUAAUUCAAGUUUUUCCACUACUUUUGUACUUGCCACAUUUGCACAACUUCCCCCCAUCUAUGAUCAUGGAACAUAACUUGUUGAUAAGGCAUCGGGUGUGAAAAAUAUUUGCCAACUUUCACCAAUAAGUCACCUUCACAAGGUAUUUCUCAUUCAUCUUGACUAGGGGUUUUUGAAGAGGAAGGGGGGUUAGAUCUAGAAGAUUAAGAAUUAUGGUCACUUACUAUUAUCCCCCUUUUUACCAUCAUGGUUCUUUUAUUAGAGCAAUUUGAAACUAUGUGUCCAAAACCUAAACAUUUAAAACAUUUUUUGCUUGAGGUUUUGGUUGACGAUUUAGUACUAGAAGGAGAAGGGUUGUCUUUACAAAUUUUAUGUUGUGGGGGUGGAUUCUCUAGAGAAAUUGGAAGGAAAAUCUUGAUUUUGAAAUUUAUUUUGUCUUUCCAAGAUGAUUUGUAAAAGCCAUCAUUAUGAGUAUUUUUGAAAUAUUUUUUCUUUAAAAUUUGUGAUUCAACCUUGAUGGCUAGGUGAACCAAUUUUUCCAAAGAUGUAUACUCAUAUAGUUCUACAACAUUUUGAAUUUCUCUCCUUAAUCCACUCAAACAUCUAGUUAUCUUUGACUCUUCACUUUCAUGCAUAUUGAUUUUAGUCAAAGUAAUUUCUGAGUCCUUGAAAUAUUCAUCUACACUUCUAUUUUCUUGAUGAAUUCGUUGGAGCUUCAACAAGAGUUCCUUCUUAUAAUGAGGAGUAACAAACCGCACGCAUGCAAACCUUUAAAUCAUUCCAAGAGACCACGAUUGACAUCUUCUUUAGCCCAAUGUCCAAUACAAUUUGAUGCAACCACUUCAUGGCAUAAUCCUCAAACUUUAGGGAAGCUAACUUUACAUGUUGGUCCUCAUCUACAUCAUAUACACUAAAGAUUUGUUCUACUUUAGCUUCCCAUCCUAGAUACACAUUAGGGUGACUAUCCCUAUUAAAAGAUGGUAAUUUAACAAAAGGUAUGGGUUUCUUGGGUUGUUGAUGAUGGUGGUGCAUAUCUUCAUAAUUGUGGCCUCUCCAUUCUUCCUCGUCUUAUUCUUGACUCCCAUAAUGCCUUUGAUACCUUGUUGCUCUUCUAGGAUCCCAUCUUCUUUGUCGAUUUUGCCUCUCUUGUGAAUCUUCUAGCAUUUGAAGCCUUUCCAUCGUUUGUCUCAUAUCCUCUUCUCUUUGAACCAAGCUCCUCUUGUUCUCUUCAAGCUCCACCAUAAGGUUUUCCCUUUGAGGAGAAGGUGGCUUGGAGGAUUCCCCUGAUGACAAGUGAGUCAUAAUUUGUGCACAAACAAAAUCAAUUAGUUCAAACGAACAAUUAAAUCACUCUCUCACGUGUAUCACUUGGCUUUUUGAGAAAAAGAGGAAGAAGGGUUAAGAUCACUCAAUCAAGAAAGGUUUUAAAAUCCAAAGAGCCCACACGUAUGAGAAUUGCUUCAAGUGAAAGAGGUCAAAACUCUUAUCACUCACUCAAACAAAACUUAAAGAAAUUUGAAGACAGACAAGAAAAGUUGAAAGAAAGAAAGCUAAACCAAAUUUGAAUGAAGAUGAAGACAAAAUUUUAACAAGACAAGCAAUAAAAGCACUUUUAAGACUCAAAGAAACACUUAAUUAAAUUUUAACUAUGAAGUUUACAUUUAGAAAUUAUCAAAUUAAAAAGGAUAAAAUUUCACAAGUUAUGAAAACAAUUUGCCACACAAAUAGAAUCUUUUUUAGCAACUUGAUUUUUGAAAUGUGAAUGCACAGAAUUACCUGGCUACAAUCAAAGAAUUACAGUGAUCAAGAAAGAAAGGAAUGGAGUACACCUGGCUACAAUCAAAGAUUAGCACAGUGAAUACAACACAAUCCUAUUCCACUCUUAAGAAUGAUCCAAAGCUUUUUGAAAAUCUUGGAAAACUGAUUUGAAUGAUUUUCCUUAGUUAAAUUAUGACCAGAAGCGUAAAACAACUUAUUUAAACUCCAAUCAGAUGGUCAAAGCAUUUAAUACAAGAGCCAAAAUCAGUUUAAAUCAUUUAAAGCAACUUAAAGGCAUUUAACAGAAUUUUGUUAAGGUUUUCAGAAAAUCAAUCAGUUAAAAAAUCAAUCGAUUGAAUUGGUUUGAUAGCAAAGUCAAACAAAGUCAAGCUUUUUCAAAUCCUUUUCAAAAUAAACUAAGUGUAAAACAACCGGUUGAAUCGAAAUUUCAAUAGGUUGAGUUUUCACUUCUUUAGAAAACAUAUCUUUUUCAAAACGAUUGAAAUCAAACAACCUUGAGUAAUCACAAAGAGUGAAUUAACAAAUUCAAAUACUCUAGACACACACACAACCAACAACAAGGAUCUUAAUGCAUUCCACUUGGAUUUGGAGACAUCAAAGCAGCUUGUUCAACAAUGUCCCCCGAUUUUAUGAAGACAAAUCCCUAGUUUACUUGUGUUGUCGUUUUUUAAUUUGAUGGAUCCUACAAAACAAAAAUCAUGCACAUACAAGACACAUAUAGCAGCAUGAUAACCCAAGUUUAAUAAGCACACAAAGACCAGUUUUCUGCAUAAGCUUUCAAGCAGAUAAACUAGAAAAACAGUUUGAAAACAGUGGUGAAUUAAGGUGCAAAUCAGAGAUAUAGCAGCAUACAUAACACAUAAGAAACCAUAGAGUGCAGCAACAACAAAGUACAACACAAAAAUCAUACCAUUCUCCCCUUAUUUGUCUUCACAAAUAGAAUAAGAAAAGGGAUAAAAACAAAAUUAAGAAAUAAUUUGAGAAUGAAGAAUACCCAAUUCAUUUCUUAAGAAGAAAAACCUUUCCUUAGGCAGUGGCUUAGUGAAGAUAUCUGCAAGUUGCUUUUCAAUUUCAAUAAACUGAAUUUCACGAUCUCCAUUGCUCACAUGAUCCCUUAUAAAGUGGUGGCGGAUCUCAAUGUGCUUAGUCCCUGAAUGCCGAAUCUGAUUUUUAGUGAGGUUGAUGGCACUUGUGUUAUCACAAAGCAAAGGGAUAUUACUGACGUACAACCCAAAAUCCUCUAGUUGUUGUUUGAUCCAAAGGAUUUGAGCACAGUAGCUACCAGUAGCUAUAUACUCAGCUUCUGCAGUUGAGAGGGCCACACAAGCUUACUUCUUGCUAUGCCAAGAUACGAGGCUUGAACCAAGAAGAUGACAAGUACCCGUUGUGCUUUUUUUAUCCAGCUUGCCCCCUACAAAAUCAGAAUCAUAAUAACCAACCAAAUGUAUAGGAGAGUGAAAGGGAUACCAUAAACCAACACGGGUUGUGCCCUUAAGAUAUUUUAGAAUUCGUUUGGCAACUUUGAAGUGAAAUUCUUUUGGAUUUGAUUGAAAUCUACCACAUAGACAAACUACAAACAUGAUGUCUGGCCUGCUAGCAGUGAGAUAAAGCAAAGAACCAAUCAAUCCUUUGAAUUUGGUUUGAUCUACUACUGUUCCAGCCAAGCCAUCAUCCAUAUAAUAGCUUGUGAACAUUGGUGUGGAUGCCUCUUUGCAGUUUUCCAUCUCAAACUUCUUGAGAAUCUCCUUGUAGUACUUGGUUUAGCUUAGGAAGAUGUCAUCCUUUGAUUGCUUGACUUGCAAUCCUAAGAAGAAGGAUAACUCUCUCAUCAUAGACAUCUCAAACUCCCCCUGCAUAGUUGCAACAAACUCCUCACAUAGGCAGUCAUUAGUAGCACCAAAUAUGAUGUCAUCAACAUAAAUAUGAACCAAAAUGAUAACAGAUUUUGACUUUUUAAUAAAAUGAGUCUUAUCAAUUUUUUCUCUCUCAUAGCCAUGAGAUAAGAGAAAAUUGCUAAGCCUCUCAUACCACACUGUCUAGGGGCUUGCUUGAGUCCAUACAAAUCUUUUUUCAGCUUGUACACAUGGUGAGGAUGUUGAUGAUCUUCAAAACCAGGAGGUUGUGAAACAUAAACUUCCUCAUUGAUGAAUCCAUUGAGAAAUGCACUCUUCAAAUCCAUCUUAAACAAUUUGAAACCACUCAUGCAAGCAAAAGUAAGUAGUAAUCUCACAACUUCCAAUCUGGCCACAGGUGCAAAGGUUUCAUCAUAGUCAAUACCCUCUUCUUGAUUGUAUCCUGUAGCAACCAACCUAGCUUUUUUCUUGUUAUCACACCAGAUUCAUCCAAUUUAUUUCUGAACACCCACUUGGUUCCAAUGACAUUCAUGCAAUCAGUCUUGGGAGCGAGAAACCACACAUCAUUUCUGGAGAAUUGAUUUAGCUCAUCAUGCAUGGCAGCAACCCAAUUUUCAUCUUUAAGUGCGUCACCAAUAGAUUUAAGUUCAAUUUCAGAUACAAAAGUCAUGUGUUUGCAGUAAUUAGAGACAAAGUUACGAGUAGACACUCCCUUAACAAUUUGUCCAAUGAUGUUGUCCACAUAAAGAUCUAUAGGAAUCCUCCAUUUUUUGGGAAGUUCAUUCUGUUGCAGAAUUUCAACCGGUUGUUUCGAAGAAUCAAUCGGUUGUUUUUCUUGACAAAAUUCCAGCUUCUGCAGAAUGGUGUUCUGCUAAUUUUCUUCUGCAUAAUUCUUCAUGGAUUCUUGUUAUGUGUUGGGCUUAAAGGUUAUUUGAUAACCUUUGUCACACAACUGGCUUAUGUUAAGGAGACUAUGCUUGAGUCCUUCCACAAAAAGCACAUCAUGGAUCAAGAAGGUGUUCUUGUCUCCAAUGGUUCCUCUCCCAAGAAUUUUCCCUUUGUUGUUGUCUCCAUAAGUCACAUGACCUUCAUGCUUGAGAAGUAGAUUAACAAACUUGGUUUUAUCCCUCGUCAUGUGCUUGGAACAUCCACUGUCCAGGUACCACAUAUGCUGGUUUUCCAUCAAAGAACCCUACAAGAAACAAAAUCAAAAGGCACGAUUUGGUCCCCUUACAAAUUUAGGUUCAUGGGCAUUAACUAGAUGAUUAGGAACCUUAGAAUUCGUAGGAACCCACUUCAAAACACCCUUAGGAACAUAAAAUUUCCUAACUCUGCAGAAUCUAACAGAGUGGCCCUUCUUCAUAAAGUAAAAGCAUGAAAAAACCGGUUGUUUCGACAAUUCAAUCGGUUGUUUUUCAAAAAAAGCUUGAAAAUGGCUUUGAAACUGGUCUCUUCUUGCUGUGUGGAUUAAAACCCAAUCCAACUUUGCCAAAAACACACUUUUGAGAUGCAAGAACAGUUUCAAAGUUUGAUUGGCCUUUUGAAAAUUUAUCCACAGUUUCUACAAGAUAGUGGACUUUCUUUUCAAAUGAUUCACAGUUUUUACAAAAGCUAGAGUCACAUUUGCAAGAAGAGUUUUCGUAAAUCAUUUCCAGAUUUUCAAAAUUAUUUUUCGAAUUGUUCAGCUCUUCUUCCAAAGUCUUGACUCUGUUUUCAAGCCAAUUAUUCAUGCCUUUCAAUCAAUUAUUUAAAAGGGUCAGCCUAUUAGCUUCUUCAAGAGUCUCUUUAAAAGCAUCAAGAAGUUGACUGUAAUUUUCAAAGUUUAUGGAGGUGCUGGAACUUACUUGUUUCAGAUUUUCCCUUUUCUAUCAAGCACAAAUUUGCCUUUUCAUCUCCAUUUGAUGAUGAGCUAGUGGAAGAAACGUCAUUGUCUUGUCAAGCAAUGUAGGCUCUUUUACAUUUGCCCUUCUUCUCAAGUUUCUUUCUUUCAUUGUUGAGGCAAUCAACUUUGAUAUGUUCUUGCUUACCACAACCAAAACAAGUAUAAUUGUUAGAAUUAAAAUCAUUGAGUUUCUUACUAUUAUACCUAUUUGAAGACUGGUUCUUGUUCAUGUUCUUUUUCAAGAACUUGCUGAAUUUUCUGGUAAACAAGUUAAGAGUUUCCCCAUCACUGCCCUCACUUUAUUCUUGACCUCCUUUAUGACCAACAACUUUCAAAGCAAUGCUCCUCACAUGCUUCUCUUCAUGCUCUUGAUCAUUCAACAUGUUCAUCUCGUGUUCCCUAAGCUUACCGAACAGGGAGGUUGUUGCCAAGUCAAAUCUUUCGAUUCAAAGAUAGUAGUGACUUUAGGUUGCCAAGUUUUGUCCAAGCAUUUGAGGAUCUUGAUGUUAAGUUCCUUCCUUUCAAAUAUUUUGCUAAGGCUGAUGAGAUGGUUUACAAUUGAGUGAAUCUCUUUUGUACAUUAGCAAUGGUCUCCCCUUUGAACAUUCUAAACAUCUCAUACUCCUAAAUUAGAGCAUGCUUUCUUGCUCUUUUGAUGUCAGUGGUUCCUUUAUGUGUAACCUCAAGAGUGUCCCAAAUCUCUUUUGUUGAGGCACAUUGUGACACCCUGAAAAACUCAUCAGAAUUUAGAGCAGAUGUGAUGAUGUUUCUAGCAAUAAAAUCAAAUUGAGCUCUUUUACUUUCAAUCUCAGUCCAUUGGGACAAAAGUUUUUCUAUGAAAACAUCAUCUUUUUCAAACAUUGGAAUAAAAGGGCCAUUUACAAUGGCAUCCCAAAUUCCUCUAUCAAUAGAUUCAACAAAGAUCUUCAUUCCAACCUUCCAAAACUGAUAAUUUAGUCCACAAAGAAAAGGUGGCCUGUUUAUUACAGCAUCCUCCCGAAAGGAUAGUUUUUCAGCCAUAAAAAAAAUUAGGAUAAAAAACUUGAAUGACUUUCAAGAACCUAGCUCCUGAUGCCAAUUGUUAGAAAUGUAGGCCUUAAACAAGAGGGGGCAAAUUGUUCAUGAAACAAUUUUUGCAAAUAUUGAAGGUAGAGUGAAAGACAAUGAAGAAUCAAUCAAUUCAAAAUCAGUUCAGCCAAUUAGAAAAUUGUUUUUAAUUUGAUUGUUGAAAAUCAACCGGUUGUUUUUGCGAAAUAAUCAGUUGUUUAUAUCACCAAAGUUGAAAAUCAAAGCAAAAACAGAUUUAAAGAGUGUAAGGAUAGAGAGAUUAACACAAAAUAUUUAUACUGGUUCACUCUUUACCAAAAGCUACAUCUAGUCCUCAUAAACCACUAAGAAUUCACUAAGUAAUCAAACCUUGAUUACAAACAACACACCAAAAUGGUGAUCUUGAACCCUUCAAGAACACACACCACCUUUGACAACACCACACAAUUUUCAGAACAACCUUUGAAACUACACAACACCAGUUCACACAGAAUUACAAUGAUCAAGAAAGAAAGGAAUGGAGUACACCUAAGUAAAAUCAAAGAUUAAAGCACAGUGAAUAUAGCACAGUCCUAUUCUACUCUUAAGAAUGAUCCAAGGUUUUUUUAAAUCUUGGAAAAUUGAUUUGAAUGAUUUCUCUUAGUUGAAUUAUAACCAGGAGCGUAAAACAACUUAUUUAAACUCCAAUCAGAUGGUCAAAACAUUUAAUACAAGAGCCAAAAUCAGUUUAAAUCCUUUAAAGCAUAUUAAAGCCACUUAACAAAAUUCGGUUAAUGUUUUCAGAAAAUCCAUCGGUUGAAAACACGAAUCAAUCAAUUGAAUUGGUUUGACAGCAAAGUCAAACGCAGUCAAGCUUUUUCAAAUCCUUUUCAAAAUACACCAAGUGUAAAACAACUGGUUGAAUCGAAAUUUCAACAGGUUGAUUUUUCACUUCCUUUAGAAAACAUAUCUUUUUCAAAAGGAUUGAAAUCAAACAACCUUGGAUCAUCACAAAGAGUGAAUUAACAAAUUCAAAUACUCUAGACACACAUACAACCAACAAUAAGGGUCUUCAUGCAUUCCACUUGGAUUUGAAGACAUCAAAGCACAUUGUUCAACAUAAAUUGUAAAGCAAAAUUAACUCAGAAAAAUUUAAGCACAAAUAAAUCAUGUUUUGAAUACCACAUUAUGUGAGUUGAUUUGCUAUUACACAUGUUUUUAUAAGUUUCACUUGAAUGAUGAUUUUUUAUUAGCAAUAAUAGGUUGAAUUGUCUUUUAUGUCCUUGGUCAUCUACUUAUAAAGUUGGGUUGUAUCAUAUAGUGACUAACUAUUUUUAGUCUCUAAAAUUAGUUUUUAUUUAAUGAUUUUCUUGUAGUGUUGUCUAUUUUACAUUCUUUUUUUUUAUUUUUUAUGUUUAAAUAUAGUUUUAAUCUCUUCAAUUAAAUUUUUGAUUUUCUUUAUGUUGGUCUUCUAAAUUAAACCCCAAACCCCAAACCCUAAACGUAAAUAAUUUAUAAAAUAUUAUUUGUGAAGAUUUUUAACCACAAUAAGUAACAACAAUGAAGUAAAGAUUAAAACAUGAAAAACAAAAGUAAUAAAAAAUUUAAUAUUAGUCUUAUUAAGAAGUUUUUUUUAAGACAUAACAAUGACAUAAAUAUAUAAAUAUGACAACAAAAAAAGACUAAAUUAGUUUUAACUAAUAUUUAUAAUCCAAUAUCUCUUUUAAAUUCAACAUGCAUUAGUACCAAUUUAAGUAAAACUUUUCUUGUUGUCAUGAUACAUAGAAUUGGUCUAGAAAGAGAAACAUCCAUGUUAGAAAGAAGCCAACGCAACUAAGUUAUCACAAUAGUGGUUAAAGUCAUGACACGAUAUUCAACUUCAAUAGAGGGACCAAAAAUAAUAUCUUAUUUCUUGUUCUUCCGAUAGAUAAUAGAAUCUUCUAGAAAAAUACAAAAACAUGUAAUAGUCUUAUGAUCAGUAAGGUCACCAAUCCAAUCAACAUCAGAAUAAGCACACAACUUCAAGGAAGAUGAUGAGGGAAAGAGAAGGCUCUCAAGUUGAGUACCACAAAGGUAUCUAAGAAUGCAAAGAACAAUUAUCCAAUGCAUUUUGGUAGGAGAAAUAAGAAAUUGAUUCACAACAUAAACAACAUAAGCAAUAAAAAGAUGAGAAAUGGGGGGGAUAUAAUAGCUUAUCAACAAUAGUAUGAUACAUAGUGAGAUAUGAAGAGACAUCAUUAGAAGAAGUAUAUUUCACAUUAAGCUCAAUAGGGGUGUUAGUUGUGUGAGUAUUAGAAAUUAGAGCAUGUGUUAAAGUGAAAAAAUAGUUAGAUUGAGAGAGAAGAUAACAUUUAGGAGAAUAUACGACUUUAUUCUCCAAGAAAUAACGAAAAUAACCCAAAUCCUUUCAUUUUAAACUAUAUUUCCAACUACAAUGAUAAAAACCCAUUCAAACUCAAAACAUUUGGCUAAGAAGAUUGGAAGUAGAAAAAGGAGCUCAGAAAACUCUCGUCUCAAGGAGAAAUAAUUGUUGUCUGCUCUUCCAUUUUUCUCUAGUUUUAUAACCAUUGUAUAGAGUAGUAUAGGCUUUAUUUUGGACUUGUAUUUGGGUCAUUUUCUUGGACCAUGUUUUGGGCCAAUUUUCAUGGGUCAUAUAUUGGGCCAAUUAUAGUUGGGUGUAAAUCGAAAAAGAAAGAGUCUAGCUAGAGUUACAAUUGGGCCUCCUUGGACCCAAUGCAACUCUAAGCCAUCUAGAAUGCAUAAAUAAAUUACUAGAAUGAAAAUAGAAAACAUGAAGUGACAAGGAAGGCAUGAAAGUCCACAUGUCAUCCCCUCAAUGGAGAGGAUUCCCACCAAUGCCAAAAGGCCAUUUGUAUUCAUAAGAAUGGAGAGGAUUCUCUCCAAUUAGAGAAGAACACUUAUCAACUUCUAAUUUGAGAGGAUUUGCUCCAAUUAGAGAGAGUUAUUUGUCCUUCUAUGAGUGGAGGGUUUUUGGGGUUGAAGCUUGCACCUUGGCUGCCUGUAACAUUAUAAAUACAAGUGCUAGCCCAUUGUAAAUGAGCUUUGAAUAGAAUAUUGAAUUGUUGUCCAAAUCUGUGCAUAUCUUGUCUUCUUUGUUCACUCUUUGCUAGCAUUAGUUUUGUGUCUAGCUUAGAACUUCUUAGGAGUUUAGGGUUUAGGGUUCAUGGUUUUUUUUUCACUUAUUUUAGUCAUCCAAUCCCACCAAAUUUCACACCCCAAAAAUACAAAACAAAAAACUCAUAGCAAUGCAAGCUAGGAUUGUAUCACAAUUUCAACUCUACAAUUUGAUUUACAUCAUCCCCGAUGAUUAUCAUGUCAUUAACAUAUAAAGAGAGAAUAAUACAAUCAUGAGAAGUAGUAUUCAAAAUGAAAGCAAAGUGCAAUCACUAGAACAAAAUCCAAAAGAUACAAUAAUUAUGGAGAACUUUUCAAACCAAGUUUGGGAGCUUGUUUGAGACCAUAAAAACUCUUUCUUAACUUACACACCUCCCUUGGAUUAUGAGAAACACCUAGAGGAGGUAUCAUGAAUACCUCCUUUCUUAUAUCAUCAUUUAAGAAAUCAUUUUUAAUAUCUAUCUAAAAAAUAUCCUAUUGAAAAAUAAAGGCAACAAUAAUAAGAGUACGAGUGGUAGUCAUCUUAGCAAUCGAUACAAAAGUUUUUGCAUAAUCUAGAACAUAUUCCUAAGAGAAUCCUUAACGACUAAACAAGUUUUGUAAUGGUCAACAAACCCAUCCAAAUUUGUUUUAAUUUUAUAGACCCACCAAGAGCCAAUGCCUUUUUUUUUCUUGGAGGAGGAGAUAUCAAAUCCCAAGUAGAAGUCUUAUAUAAAGUAGAAAGUUCCUCUUGCAUAGCCUGUUGUCAUAGUGGAUCAAGGAAAACCUCUUGAUGAGAAGAAGACUCAAACAAACUAUGAAUUCUGGUUAAGAAGGAAUUAAAGGAAGAAGAAUAAAUAGAUUAAACCAAAUUUGGUGAUUGGAUGGACUUAUGAACACGUUGAGGAUACCAAGGAUGUGAGGGAUCAAAAUCACAAAAGGUGCUUAGGAAGUCAUGGGGAGAUCUUGAGUUGUUGUAGUACCAUUAUAAUCCUUGCAAUUCUCAAUUCCAAGAUUAUUUACAUCAUCAUCAUUUAUGAAAAAGGGAUCAAUACAAAUGAGAUCUGACCUUGUAGAGUUAUGAGAGUUAGAAGGAAAUGAAUAUAAUGGAAUGUACUUAUGGAAAAUAACAUGAUGAGAAACAUAGAGUUUGUGAUUGGUAGGAUCAUGACAAUGAUAAUUCUUUUGACAAUCCCUAUAACUAUGAAAAACACAUAAUACAAAAUGAGAGGACAAUUUACUAUGUUUAACUUUGUGGAUGAAGAAAAAAAGUAGAACCAAAACCUUUCAAGGAAGAGUAAUCGGAAACACAACCACAUAACUUUCAAAAGGGAGACACACCUGAGAUAGUAGAAAAUGAAAUUCGGUUUAUAACAUGGACAAAAAUAAGAGCAACCUCAUUCAAAAUUUCAUUGGAACUGAAGCAUACAAUAAAAGAAAAUGAGCAGAUUCAAGAAUGUAGCAAUGUUUUCUUUCAGCAACUCCAUUCUGUUGAGAAGUAUCAAUACAAGAAGUUUGAUGAAGAGUUCCAUCGAUGGUAAGUAAUUCACAAAAUUUAUUAAAAGUGUACUCACCACCCAAAUCACAUUAAAAACAUUUAAUAACAACAUUAUGUUAGUUUUAAGCUUAGUGUGAAACAUAAGAUAUACAUUAAAAAAAACUCAGAAAAAUGUUUCAUAAGAUAAGCCCGACAAUAAUAAAUAUGAUCAUCAAUAAAAGAGACAUAAAAGUAGGAUAGGCAUUGAUAGGAAAGAAGGAUAAACCCUAUGCAUCAUAAUGAACCAAGCCAAAAGAUGUAUGACAUGUAAAAACACUUGAUAAAAGGUAUAGUAGUAAAUUUGACAAGUUUACAAUAAUAAAAAAUAUCAAUGGUUUGUAACUUGCGUAAAAUUCUAAUGAAGACUUAGUAAGUUAAUCUAGAGAAAGAAACAUGUCCAAUACAUAAAGAUGGUAAAUCAAUAAUCGAAGUUGUAAUAACGAAUUCUUUAGCUCAUCUACUAUAUAAAAUCCCUUAUCUACAAUUUAUCUCAAUCAACCUUCCAAAUUAAAGAUAAUUAGUAGAAGAAAAAAAAUGAAUAACCAAAAGUCACAUAAUUAAUUAAAUGACAGAGACAAAAUUGAAAAUGAGAUUUGGAAUAUAAUAAACAUUUGAAAGCGACAAAGUAAUAGAAAAUCCACAUUUGCCUGUCAAACCAGGUGAUUCUACUAGUAGGUGAUUACCAAUGAUAUGGGCUUUAAUGCCAUAUUAGAUUUUAACCUAAAACCAAACCAAAUGACAUUAAGUGAAGUUGUCUAUUCAUGUAUAAACUACACUCUCAUACUUGAUGCAGACCAUGUAAAACUUCUCAACACGCGUCUCAAAAGAUGUUUGUAGAACCAAAGCGAGCCUAAUAAUAGUACCAAAUGAAUAUAUAUACUUAGUACCAUGAUAAUAAUGAAACAAAAUAUGAUGAUACAUGAAAAGAAAUUGAUUUCAUAUACUAAUCUUAAUAGAAAGACUCAAAACAUAACAAAUAUAUAAAUAUGAAAAUAAUAUAAAAGUUACCCUACACUUAAUUAUUUAAUAUAUAUAUAUAUAUUAUUAUUAUGCUAACAACAAGUAAAUAAAAUUAGGGUAAAUAGGCGUAUUAAGAUAUGGAGGAUUGUGAUGCUAUUCUGAAUCCUAACUCAAAAUUUACAUAUCAUGAAAGAAAGAAGAAAAAAAGAAAAAAGUGGGAGAGAAGUAAAGCAAAAGAAAAUUUGAAAACAACUCAAAAUUUAAAAUCCCAAACAAGAAGAUCAUGUCCAAAAUUUAAAUUUAGACAGUUUAGAAAUCGCAGUAAAUUGGAAAUCCAAAAUACCUUACGCGUCUAUGAUGAAGAAGGAUAAAAAUAACAUUUUGUAAGUUAUAUAACUACAAUUUUUUUUUAAUGUCAUGAAUAAAAAAGGGAGUCGGAUUUGAGGAAAAAAAUUAAACUUUUUUAUUAAGUUUAAAAUAUAAGUAAUUCAAAUUCACCAGUCAUAUAGUAAAACAGUUCUUCCAUGACAUUGUGCAUGCUCCUCCUUAAAUAUAUAUAUCAUUGCUGAUAAUAUAUAUAUAUAUAUAUAUAUAUAUAUAUAUAUAUAUAUAUAANNNNNNNNNNNNNNNNNNNNNNNNNNNNNNNNNNNNNNNNNNNNNNNNNNNNNNNNNNNNNNNNNNNNNNNNNNNNNNNNNNNNNNNNNNNNNNNNNNNNAAAUGGAAAAAAUAAUUUACUUUGUUUCUAUCACAUGGUUUUAUUCCUCUAUUUCUAUAUGUUAUAAAUGAUAAGUACAAUGGAACAAGUAUUUUCAUAAAUAUAUUUAUUUUGAAUAAAAUAUAAAAAUAUAAAAAAAUUGAAUAAAUUAUUUAAAAGUUAAAACAAAUUUAUAUGUAAACUAAGUUUUAGGCAUUCUUUAUAUAACCUUUUUAACUUUUAAUUUCUAAUUUAUAAAUAAUUUGAUUUCAUUUUUAUCUUUUUAUUUUUCUUUUAUAAAAAUACUUAUAAAAAAUUGUCCAAAUAUAAAUAAUAUUAUUUACAAAAACUAUUUUUUCCAAAAUAGUUCUAUAAUAAUUUCACAUUAUUAUUCUUUUUUUUAUUAUGAUGAGAUCUAUCACUUUGAUUCUUGAUUCUUCCAAUAACAUACUUUUAAUGAUAACAAUUUGUGUACAGGUGCUAGGAGAGUAAUUCUUAUUGACUAUUUAUAAGUUAACUUAACAACUUCCUUGAUUAAUUAAUACUAGGAAAACUCAUAUCCACAUUUUUAUUUCACUAAAAUAAUAUAAUUUUGUAAAAAAUAUAUUAAAAAUAUUAAAAGUAUAAAAUUUAGAAUGUAUAUAAUUUUGUAAAAAUAAUAUUAAAAUAAUAUAUAUGGUAGUUAUCUAUACCAUUGAGGAUAGAUUUUUUAACCACCUUUAGUAUCAUAUUUUUAAUUAAUAAUUUUAUCCUAUGAUAAAUUUAUUCUUUUAGUAAAAGAUGAUAUUUUUUUUAAUGGUCUAACUUUCCCACUUAAAAUAACAUAAACAUACAUUUUCUUUUAAUUUUAAAUCAUUCUAUUGGAAAUAUAUAUUUUUUUAAAUUGUUUUAUUUGAAUCAAGAAAAUAUGAAUUGUUUCUACAAGUUUUUAAGUAAAAAAGUUAUUUAGUUAUUUUUUUAGUAGAAAUAAAUUAUUUAUUAAAAAAAUUAUUUAUUAAAAAGUAAAAAUAUCAAAUUAAAAAUGACGUCAAAGAUCAUUAUCAAAAUAUGUACUUUUUUUUAUAUAAUUGUAUAGAUUAUUUUCGUAGCAAUAAGUUAUCCAAUUACUUAUUUUAUUAAAUAAAAAAUUAUAUUUUAUAUUAAAGAAUUAUUAUUUUUAAUUAAAAUAUGACAACAAAAAUAAUUAUCAAAAGGUGUAUUCGCUAUAUAAUAGUGUAGACGAUGAUGAUCAUAAUAAUAACAUUAAGUAUAAAUAAAUUUAAAAGUUUUAAAGAUUUUAUCUUUAUUAUAUUAAUAAAAAAAGGUGACAAGUGAUUUUUUUAUUUCAAGGAAGGUGUGCUUUUUUUUCUUUCUUUAUUACAACAUGAUGAUGACAUUUGCGAUAUUAAUUCACAGGAUUGUAUUUUACAAUAACUGGACCAAACCAAAAUCUUGAACAUUACGGUGCAUAUCAAUCCGUAUUAAUUACGUUGGGACACUAUGUUAUACCAUACUUUAUACUUAGAUAUGUUAUUGUCACCGUAUUGUUUAUUGCUAUUUUGACAUACAAGUGGAGAAGAAGACACUCAUCAGAAUACGAAAAUAUUGAAAGUUAUUUAGAGCAAAAUAACUUGAUGCCUAUUCGAUACACAUACAAAGAAAUUAAGAAGAUGGCCAUAGGUUUCAGCGAAAAGUUGGGUGAAGGAGGUUAUGGCUCUGUAUUUAAGGGAAAGUUGCGUAGUGGACCUUGUGUUGCCAUAAAAGUGUUACGAAAAUCAAAAGGUAAUGGACAAGACUUUAUCAAUGAAGUUGCAACAAUUGGAAGAAUACAUCAUCAAAAUGUAGUACAGUUAAUUGGAUAUUGUGUUGAGGGCUCAAAACAUGCCCUUGUUUAUCAGUUCAUGUCCAAUGGAUCUCUUGACAAAUUUAUAUUUUCCAGAGAAGGAAAUUUGCAUUUAACCUAUGACACAAUAUAUAAUAUAGCAAUUGGAGUAGCACGUGGGAUUUCAUAUCUACACCAUGGGUGUGAGAUGCAGAUUUUGCAUUUUGACAUCAAACCCCACAACAUCUUGCUUGAUGAAAAAUUUACCCCAAAAGUUUCUGACUUUGGAUUGGCAAAACUAUAUCCAAUAGAUAAAAGUGUUGUAACUAUGACAGCAGCAAGAGGGACAAUUGGAUACAUGGCUCCAGAAUUGUUUUAUACAAAUAUAGGAAGAAUAUCAGAUAAGUCUGAUGUUUAUAGUUUUGGAAUGCUUCUAAUGGAGAUAGCAAGCAAGAGGAAAAACUUAAACCCCCAUGCAGAGCGUUCAAGUCAACUUUACUUUUCCUUUUGGAUUUAUGAUCAACUUGACAAAGAGAAAGAUAUAGAUAUGGAAGAUGUCAUAGAGGAAGAGAAGAAAAUUGCAAAAAAAAUGAUGAUAGUUUCACUCUGGUGCAUACAAUUAAAACCAAAUGAUCGUCCUUCCAUUAAUAAGGUAGUCGAAAUGCUUGAAGGAGACAUUGAGAACCUUAAAAUUCCUCCAAAGCCUUCUCUGUAUCCACAUGAAACAUUGGAAAAAAUUUGCUCUGGCCAAACAACAUUGUCUGAGUUUAUUAGUUCUUCAAGCAAUUCCAUGGAAAUUGCCACUAAUGCUCCCCUAGAUGAAAGUAUUUGAUAAUGUAUAUUAGUUGUUUAUUUGCAUCCAACUUAUUGACUUGAACAUUGUUCAUGUAUAAUAUUUACAUUCUCUUAGUUAUUUUCUAUAUAAUGUUGUAUACUUAAAAGUUUAAAGUAAUGGUUUACCAAAUUUAAACAUUUGUUAAAAAAAUUCAGUUAUGUUCAUUAUACUAAAGUAGUUGUAGCCUCCUAAGUUUUUUUUUUAACUGUUAUUUAAAACAUGAUCAAAUAUAAUAACAAGUGAAUUUAGUUAAAAUAGGUAUAUUUUCUAGUAAGUGCAUGUACUAAAUUCUACAAUAAUUGAGAUUGUGUUGUAAGCUAGAUAAUAGUAAAGGAUUGUAUGUGAAAGUAAUCAAAGAAUUCAUCAAAUCAAUUAUAAUUUGUUACUUUAAUUUGUUUUGUUUUAAUUUGUUUCUAAACAUGUAUUUUAAGAAAAGUUUUGAUGAGUAUGAAAUAAAAUAGUCUUUUUAAUAUCCCAAAUGACCUUAAGCCCUUAACUUAUAUUUUGGGAGUUUUUUUAACUAAAAUUUCUCUAAUAAAUAAUACCAUGUGUACAAUGUUACCAACUUUCAUCAUAUGACAAAAAUUCAUUGUCUAAUCUCGUAAUGGUGGAACACUAUUAGUAACUUUAUAAUUAAGUUGUGUCACGCAUCAUUGACUUUUUUUAAGCAAUAAUCUUAAUACUUUUAUACAUUACAAAAAAAUUAUGUUUAAUGUUUUUUUUGUUUUAUUAGCAUUUUAAACCCGUUAAACUUAUUAUUCACAAUCCUAAAAGUUGUCGACAAAACAUUAGUGAUAAACAAUUUACUACAAUCAUUAUUAACACAAAAUUACUUGUACAGUUAUAAAAUCUCUUAAUAUCAAACAUUAUACAUGCAAUUUCAUUAACGUUAUAAUAUAUUAUUUACGAUUUUCUAAGUCUUGAGGCUGCAUUUGGUAAUAUCAAGAUAACAAACGAAUAUGAAUCUUCUUUCCACCUUUCAUUUCACGAAAAUCCUACAAGAUAAGUUAACCCAAUGUUUCUUCUAAUGCCAUAAUCUAACAAAUAAUCUAACAAAUUUUACAUAAGAAAAUUGGAUUUAGAGUUUUGUUAACAUGUUGAAGAACUUCAAUAUAAGACGAAUUGGGUUGGAAGAAAUAAUUGAAAUAAUUCCUCAUGACAUACAUGCUUCUAAUAUGACAAAAUGAUAUAUAUUUAACAAACGAAGUGUUCUCGAACGAGUUUGGGACCUAGAGAACAAUUGCUCAUAUUCUUAUGCUCGGUCGACCUAGUACUCUUGAGACUCCUCAAUGCGUUCGCGCUUCCUGAUGUGCUCCCUUCCUCUCGGUCGUCCUGCUCCACAGGCGGGGAUGGUACCUGUAGAAGGCACUUCAACGCUCAAGUCAGUUAGGGUGUCGGUAUUUGGUUAUCAGAGUAUUGUAGAUAAUGACGUACCUUUCUUUUGAAAUGCGUACUAUUUAUAUUACCUUAAUGGGCCUUCACUGUUGGGUCGGGUUAAGGGAUUUGGUUUGCGUUUAGGGUUGUGUUAAGCUACCAUUAACCAUGGAUUAGUUUUGCUAACCUGAUCAACCUUUUACUCGAACGUUAUGGGUCGGUCGGCCACGCGUAGUGACGUGGCCAUCUAUUUAUUAUCUUGGCGGCGGCGUAGGUCGAUUGCUGGCCGACUCAAUGUGUCGUCCGGUCGUGCCAGUACAGUUGCCCCCCAUGCUCGUGUUCUAGUACAACCAAAGAGUCUGAAAAUGGGGCUCGGGCGGUGGUGUAAUGGUAGAUGAAGUGACAGGAAAUGGCGCCUGAGCGGGUGAUGUGACGUGCAUUUAUGAGGGGGUUUUUGGGCGUCAAACGAUGUGGGUCGUUAGAUCAAGCAGAUCUGACGGUUGAGAUUUUGUGACGUUUGGGUUUCCGAGACGUUCUUGGGCUAUAAAUAUGGGUUGGUAGUAGUGGCCUCUUACACAUUUUAAUAUUGAUUGAGUUUCGACACCCGAGUGCAUCCGAGUGAUCUUUGCUGCUAUCGUCGUCCGUUCCAAGGUUAGUCAUGUCUACCCACUCCCAUCCCACUUCUUCUUCUUCUCCCGCUCGGUCUCCUCUUCCUGAGCCCCAUUCUUGUUCGUCGUCAUCGUCGUCCUCUUCUUCUUUUACUUCUUCGUCCAACAAAGUUAUUUAGGCCGGGGCAGUUGAGACCGCUGCCCCGCGAGUGGAGAAGGUUAGGAGAGAUGACGCUGGUAAUGCGUCGGAUCGACCAGUCUCAUGCGAGUGGCCGCGUCCUCAUGUGGGGCCUGCCUGGGUUGAUCCUAAGGUAUGCGAGGUUGCGUCUGUAUUUCAUACGAACGCCUCAGUAACUGAGUUUUUGAACAAGGUCCCAGUUUUGAAGGCUUCCGUCGAGGAGUCUUUGUUGGCAUUCGGUCCUUGCUCCUUGGUGGACCAUGUUUAUAAGGAGUGGUCAUCCACCGAACCUCCCUUCUUUUUCAUGUACAAUUGUCUUUUUUCGGACCUUCAUGUGUCCCUUCCUUUUGAUAUGUUCACAGCCGAUGAUGGAAGAGGCCCAAGCACAAGCCCACAUGCAAGCCCACCAAAGGGUAGAUUUGGGCCAACCCUAGAGUUAUGGCCAAAAGGAUCCAAGAAGACGUUCUUUUACAUGUUUAAAUGUCAUAAACUCUAGUGUAGAGUAGACUUUACUUUCUUGUCAAAAUUAGAUUAUGAAUUUUAUUUGUAAUUUUUCCUUAGAUGAAAUUUGGCACCUAAAAACCAACCUUAGUUAAAUUAGGAUUUCUAAAACACCUAAUUUUAAUCAAGGCCGGUUAUGUUUAACCAAGGCACAUUUUCCACAUAUUCCAUAUUUAACAUGUGCUAAACGUUUUCCAUCACAUGUUAAAUAUGCUUCAUGUGCUCCAUGUGCUAAGUGUAAAAUAGGCGCCAAUUUCAAUUUCUUUUGCAUUUGAAUUUCCCUCCAAUUCUCUUGUUCAAAUCCAGCCCUCACUUGCUAUAUAAUGAGGAGCUUGGGUCAUGUAAAUUCAAUAUUAAUAUACUUAGUGAAUUGCUGUCAAAUUGUGCCAAUUUCACUUCUUGCCCAAAACAUCCUAGGUUAGGCUUUUAAUCUUCACAAAUUUCCCUUUUCCAAGUAGAGUUGGCCUCACCACUCUCAAUCCCUACCUCUCAUGCACCUUCAAGGUCACCACCACUCUUAGGAGGACCUUGCUUCAUCUUCAAUCCAUGAUGCUUUCGCCAUUCACCAACAAAAUCCGAAAACUAUGAAGGCACAUCUUCAUCAGCCAGUGUCCUUCGGGCACUUAAUGUGGCUCCGACUCAGUUGCACCCUAAUACAUGGACGUCCAUGCAGACUUUUCGCAUGAUGUGUCUGACGUUUGGGGUGCGUCCUUUUCCUUCAUGUUUUUUUCAUUUCUAUGCUUCCCAUCCUGCUGAAUUGGUCGGUUGGCAUUCUUUGGACAGUCAAGCUGGCAGCGUGUUGUUCAAAGCCUUCACGGCCUCUUAUAAGAACUUUAAAGAAAAGUUCUUCAAGGUGUACGUGGAGCCGACGGGCACGCAUUACUUUUCUGAUGAAGUCGGCCAGACAAGGUUUUCGUUGUUCUGGACGAGGAAACCCACAAAGAUCAAGGAUUGGCCGAGGCCGGUCAACCCAAAUGAGUAUGAGCGGGAAGUUUUUACGUUGUUCGACAGUCUCCCCAAGAAGCUCCCUACUCGACCGCUUAUGUCUUGUACACGGUGACCAAUCGCGCGAUGGCCUUCGAGGAUAUGUGGUCUUAACGCUUCGGUCGUUUAUUGCUUUUUCUUUGGCUAACGUUUUUUCUUUUUCUUAUUUCAGAAAUUGCCAAGAGGGAAAUUCUGCAGGCAGUCGGCAUGUUGAGCUCCUUUAGGAACAAGCUGAACAAGAAGAGGGGGGCAGCCGGUGCCAGGGCCCUUACCACUGAUACUGCCCGUGCGGGCCCCUCGAAGAACUCAAAGAAACGGGCUAGAGAGGGAGGGAAUACUGCCGUUAGGGCUCCGGGGCAGAUGUUGAUCCCUCCUCAGAGCCAAACGGUGACUCGUGUUGGGUCGUCGCCAACCGAUGACUUCAACCGCCCUAUCCCGACCUCUGGCCUUGCUGGGGGGUGACAGGUGCUUCACCCGAGCGAUGAAUUUUGACUUGCCCCCUGACCUCGAUGAGCUAAUCGGGUCGGUCCCGGAUGAUGAUGUUCUCGACGGUGGUGUCGAGAUAAUCUGUCGCGGGUUGAUCUUGACCCGCCGAGGCGCCGAGGCUCGAAGGCAACGUAUUGAAGAUUUGUCGCGCCUCGAGCAUGAUCUUCAGAAGGCAUCCAACAAUCUUCAACAAGUUGUUGAUGCAAACACAACCUAUGAGAAGAAGUUGCGGAGUUGGAGCUCGGUGCGACCCGACUGGCCGAGGUGGAGAAGGCUGAUGCCGAUAAAGCGAUGGAGAUCACACUGCUUCGAAAGGCGUUACAGGCGGUCGAGCGUAAGGGGGGUUUCUGGAGGAGGAGGUCGCUUCAGAGCGUCGGGGGAAGGAGGCGGUCGAGGCUGAAGUUUUGAAGACCAUGAAGGACACCAUGGUCUUAAUAAAUCAGAGUUUUGACCUGGCCGUUCGUCAGGCCGAGGUGCUGUACGGGGGGCCUCCACCUUCUGGUCAAUUUGACCAAGAUGUGGAGAUCGUCGAUGGCCUUUUGGUACUUGCGGGCGACGUCCAGAAUGCUCAGAGCGCCGACGAGCCCGUCCCGAUUGAGGAUAUUGAAGACUAGGGCUUAGGCUUUAGGUUUUUAAGCUUGUUCGUUUUUUUCCCUUGGGACCGGGGUGUGGCCUCCACCUUUUGAAUGAAUGGAAUCGGUCGUCUUUAUUUAAUUUUAUUUGCACGUCUUUUCUUUUGGUCGGUGUAAAUGUGAGUUAAGACGAUUAACAUUAAUGAACCUGGUUGGCGUGUGAUGACAUUCCUAUGAGCUUUUCUUUGUUUUUGUUGAUGAUGGUUGCGGAAGCUUAGUGGAGGAGAGUGGAACAAGGCCCUCCUAAGAGGUAUGGGUGCCUUGAAGGUGCAUGAGGAGUAGUGAGGGUUGGAGUGGUUCAACCAUCUCCAUUUGAGGGUGAAGUUUGAAGACUAUAAACCUAAUUCUAGAGAGAAUUUGGCAAGGGACUAAUUUGAAUGGCACUUGGGCAGCAUUUCAUUACUCAAAAUAGUCUUAGAAUUACAUGAGGUAGGCUCCUCCUUAAAUAGCCUAGGAGGACCAUAAAUGCACAUGUAAAUGAAAAGGAAAUGCUAGCCAAAUUACAUGUAAAUGUGAGCACAUGGGAGCACAUGGAAAAUGUGAGCACAUGGGAGCCUAAAUGAGCACAUGGGGAGGGGUGUGUCUAGUUUGUAUGCUCACCCCCUCCAUGGGCUUUCUAGACCGGCCUUGGUAAAUUUAGAGGUUUUCUUAGAAACUCUAAGUUUACCUAGGUUGGUGUUUUAGGUGCCAAAAUUAAUUCUAAGAAAACAUACAAAUAAAGUUCCUAUGCUAAUUUUGACAAGAAAUUAAAGUCCACUCUACACUAGAGUUUAUGGCAUUUGAACAUGUAAAAGAACGUCUUCUUGGAUCCUCUUGGCCAUAACUCUAGGGUUGGCCCAAAUCUACCCUUUGGUGGGCUUGCAUGUGGGUUUGUGCUUGGGCCUCUUCCAUCAGCGUGUGUUAAUAACGAAUUGAAUCAGGACGACGGUCGACCUCUGAAGUAUAACUAAAUUGUGAACUUUUGUUUUGCGCAAGUUAAUUAUUCGCUUGGGGUAGGCCGAUAUGCCUUUACUGGUAUCGGGAGGGUAUGCCGGUUAAGGAUACGUCCUGACCGAGCCAUGGAUGAAGUGUUGGAAAGGUAUAUCGCUUUAGGUUUUACCCUGGCCGACACUUGUGUUUGGGUUUUGGGAGGUUAUGCCGGUUAAGGCUUUGUUCUGGUCGAACCGCGUAUGGGGUGUUGGGAGGGUAUGCCGUGUGAGGCUUCGUCCUAGCCAACACCCACGUUUGGGUCUCAAGAGGGUAUGCCGGUUAAGGCUUCAUCCUGGCCGAGCUGUGUGUAUGAUUUGUAGCGUGCACAUUGCUUGAAGAAAACGCCUCGUUAAAACCUCUCUGACCGAUGGUGGUGCCGGGCGAGGAAAGAGUGCGUAAAUUUUAUUCAUGUUUAGCUAAAGUAAAAUUUGAGGUUCGUGGCAUUCCACGUCCUUGAUACAAUUUUGCCUAAUAGCCAUUCUAGGUGGUAUGCUCCUCCUUCUCCUACCUCUCGGAUUCGAAACGGUCCUUCCUAGUUUGACGAGAACUUGUUGUCCGUCUUCCUGGCAUUGCUUUGCAUCCUCCAGACAAGAUCACCUUUUUGGAAGCUUCCUGGCCGAACCUUCAUGUUGUAUCUUCUCGCCACCCGGAGCUUGCACGUUGUUUCGCGGAUUUUGCUCUUGUCGCGAAGCUCGUUAAGGAGGUCGAGUCCGACCGCUAGACUUUCCUUGUUGAGGGACAAGUCAAAUAUUUGUCAUCUGAUGGACGGUUCACCCACUUCCAUCGGUAUCAUCGCCUCUGUGCCGUAUGUGAGGCUAUAUGGGAUUUCUUGUGUGGUGGUUUAUGGGGUGCACCAAUAUGCCCAUAGGACUUCUAUUAGCUCUUUAGUCCAUCUUCCUUUUGCAGUUCUGAGCCUCUUUUUUAAUUAGUUGAGAAGGACCUUGUUGGCCGCUUCUGCUUGACCGUUCAUUUGUGGGUGCUCGACCGAGCUUGUGACAGAUUUGAUGCUGAGGUCGUUGUAGAAGGUUUGGAGGCCUUGGUCAAUAAACUGUCGGAAAUUAUCGGACACAAUUGUGUUCGACACUACGAACCGGCACACUAUAUUUUUCCAUACGAAAUUUUGGACGUUCUUGGCGGAUAUGGUGGCUAGGGGCUCGGCCUCUAUCCAAUUUGUGAAGUAAGCCACAACAACUAGCAGGUGUUUCGUUUAGCCUUUGUCGGGCGAGAAUGAGCCAAUGAUGUCUAUUCCCCAUAUGGCAAACGACCAGGGCGAUGUCAUGCUAUGUAGUUCCUCUGGUUUCAAGUGCUGGAGCGGGCCGAACUCUUGAUACUUCUGGCACCUCUUGACGUGUUCUACGCAAUCUCCAUGAACGGUCGGCCAAUAGUAUCCUGCUUGGAUGACUUUGGCCGUCAUAGUUCGAGCCCCGGAAUGGCUGCCGAACGCUCCAUUGUGAAUCUCUUGCAAUACGUACUGGGAUUGUUCUUUGGUGAGGCAUUUUAGGAGUGGGGUCGAGUAUCCCCUUCGAUACAAAUAUUGGCCGACCAUGGUGUAUCGGGCGCAUUGUCGCCUGAUAUUCUUUUCCUUGCUCGGUUGACAUGUUCCAUGUUCUAGGUACUGGAUGAUUGGGCUCAUCCAGGUACUGGCCUCGGUGAUUGCCAGGCAUUCGGCGUCACCUACACUUGGUUGUUGUAGGUGUAUUUGGACGACUGAGCCAUGAUGGCUCUCCUUUUUAGACGAGGUGAGGCAGGAGAGUGUGUCUGCUCGUUUUUUGUCCUGCUGUGGUAUAUGCUCGAUGAUGACUUUGUCAAACUUGGCAAUAGAGUUGUUGACCGUGUGGUAAUAACACUGGAGGAGGGGUUCUUUUACCUCGAAUUCACCCUUUAUCUAACCGGCAACCAGCUGCGAGUCGCUCUUGCAUACAACUUCCCGUGCUCCUAGGACGUGUGCAGCCUGGUUAUUCGUUGCCUUGAAAGCGAACUGGAGCGCUUGUUCAAUCAGGAGGUCCCCUGGACCAUCCAGGACGACCCCUGCACCACAAGCAGUUUUAUUGGACGAACCGUCUACAAAGAGUACCCACCCGGUCGGUGUGUCGGGUUGUGGUGUUAGCUCUGCUGAGAAGUCCGCCAAACAUUGAGAUUUGGUGGCACCUCUUGGCUCAUACCGAAUGUCGAAUUUCGAUAGCUCGACCGACCAUCCUAUCAUUCGUCCAGCAAGGUCGAGUUUAGACAGUAUUUUAUAUAUAGGAUAGUUGGUUCUUAAAGUAAUGGCGUGAUUUUGCAAGUAUGGCCGCAUCCUCCUGGUGGUCAAUUCCAGUGCCAGGGCGAAUUUUUCGAUCAUGUAGUACCUUCUUUCGGCUACGUGGAGCGUGCGGCUGACAAAGUACACUAGGUGUUCUUCAUUGUUGAUUUCUUGGACCAAGGCGGAGCUGACUGCCUCCUCUAAGAUGGCCAAGUAUACUACGAUCGACAGAUCGAGUCUUGGCUUCUGAAUGACGGUCGGUGAUGACAAGAAUUCUUUCAACUGGCCAAAGAUGCCUUCGCAUGUCUUGUUCCAGUUAAACUUUGACGUUUUCCGAAGCAUUUGUGCCAUUGGUCUUAUUCGUUCGGCUAAACGAGGAACGAAUCUUGAUAAGACUGUUAGACGACCGAGCAGCUGUUUAACUUCUUUCAGGUUCUUUGGGCUUCUCAUCUCAGUUAUGGCCUUGCACUUGUCAGGGUUGGCCUCGAUUCCUCUGUGUGUCAACAUGAAACCGAGGAACUUGCCGCCCUCGACGCCGAACGCGCAUUUUUCGGGGUUGAGGCGCAUGUUGACCCUCCUUAAGGCGCCAAAGACUUCUUACAAAUCUUUGACAUGCUGACCACACGAGUCAUAUUUCACCACAAUGUCGUCCACGUAGACUUCGACGCUUCUGCCUAUCAUUUUCUUGAAAAUCUUGUCCAUCAACCUCUGGUAGGUAGCUUCUGCAUUUUUUAGGCCGAACGACAUUACCUCAUAAAAGUAGUUUGCACCGUUGGUUGUGAAGGUCGUUUUCUCCUUGUCUUUGGGGUGCAUGCUUAUCUGGUUGUAGCCAGAAUAAUCAUCCAAGAAGCUCAAUAUUUUGUGCUCGGCCGCCCCAUCAACGAGUUGGUCAAUGUUAGGCAGAGUGUAUGAGUCUUUGGGGCACGCCUUAUUUAGAUCUUUAUAGUCGACGCACAUUCGCCAUUUGUUGUUUAACUUCGUGACCAUCACUACGUUGGCCAACCAAGUUGAUUAUCGAGCUUCGCGGAUGAACCUAGCUUUGAGGAGCUUUUCAGCCUCGGCCACCAAGUUCACCUGAUGGAAAGCGCGCAAGUUUUUUUUCCGUGCACUAUUCGAAUUUCCACCUCCGGCAAACCCGUUGACGAUGGUGUUAAUGACCUCGCGACCUCUUCUGCGGUCAUCUUUGGGAGGAUCAUCCCUCCUCCCUCUUCAUUCUCGGCGACGGUCGUCUUCCCUUGGUCUCGGAGGAGUGCAGUCUCUUUUCCUUAACGUUUCUUCCCUACAAGGGGAAAGUCUGGUUGUGCGACUGCCUCGCAUGAAGCGGCGUAGGUGCCCUGCUUGGAUCAGCUCUUCUAUUUUGUCCUUCAGUUCUUGGCAUUCCUCGGUCGAAUGACCGGUGUUCUUGUGAUACCGACACUUCUUGCUACGGCCGACGUUAUCAGGGCUCAAAGCCCUUCUCGGUGGCAAGAUCAGCUCCGUGCUAAGGGCCUCUUGUAAUAUUCUUCCUCUGUCGACAUUGAGUGGUGUGUACCGUGAAGGGUCUCCCUUGUUGUUCCUUCUCGUCUCUUUUCUCGCUGCUUGUUUCGGCUCAAGCCUGGUUCCUGAACUCACGCUUCCAACUGCAUGAACUUGGCCGCUCGGCGCCUAAGCUCGUCCAAGCUUGCCGCAGUUUGCAUACACAAAUUGUCCGCAAAGGGUCCCGACCGAAGGGCGGUCAACAUAUGGUGCAUUGCCACCUCAUGGCUGAGGUUUCGAAUGCUCAUAGCAGUUUUUCCAAACCGAUCAAUGAACGUUCUCAGAGAGGUCAGAUGGUGGGGGCGGCUUGUUGCAAACUGAAUGUCGAACUUGGCCAUCAGUGUUUCGAAACAAUCCACUAAAUUUGGGGGGAGCUUGGUAAACUAGCUUAAGGUUGUUCCCUUCAGCGAGGUUGGGAAAACUCAGCACAAGGUUGCGUUGUCAGUGUUGUACAAACUCAUGUGAGUGGCGUACGCAUUCAUGUGCUCGUCAAGGUCAGUCGUCCCAUCGUACCGGUCCCUGUUGAAUCCCUUCCACUUGUCUGGGAAGGGGGUGUCCAUGACAAAAUCGGUGAAGGGAUGACGCCGGUCAGGGUCAGUGCUGCCUGUUGUGUUCACCGUUUUGUUGGGGUGGGAUUCGCCAUCCAUUUCUCCGGUGAGGUUGUUGUUCUUCGACUCCCUCUCGACCUGGGGGCCGACAGCUGUUGCGAAGGACCUGCCAACCUGGUUGGUUUGGACAAGAGAUGGUCCUCCAUCCACUAAUUUCUUCAUUCUUGAUUUCCCAUUCAUUCUUCUUGGUAGCCUCCUCAUUGGCAUUCUUCAUCUCCGCCAGCUCCCUCUGGAGCGCCAACAUCAUUGCCGCUUGGUCUGCUUCAUACAUUCUCUCGCUUGCCAUACUGCGGGUCGAUACCAUCUGCUGUUGUUUCUUCACGCUGCUUUCUCGGCCCCACGGUGGGCUCCAAUUGUUCUCGAACGGGUUUGGGGACCUAGAGAACGAUUGCUCCUAUUCAUAUGCUCGGUCGGCCUAGUACUCUCGAGACUCCUCAAUACGUUCGCACUUCCUGAUGUGCUCCCUUCCUCUCGAUCGUCCUGCUCCAUAGGCGGGGAUGGUACCUGCAGAAGGCACUCCAACACUCAAGUCAGUUAGGGUGUCGGUAUUCGGUUGUCAGAGUACUGUAGAUAAUGACGUACCUUUCUCUUGAAAUGCAUGCUAUUUAUAUUACCUUAAUGGGCCUUCACUGUUGGGCCGGGUUAAGGGAGUUGGUUUGCGUUUAGGGUUGUGUUAAGCUACUCUUAACCAUGGAUUAGCUUUGCUAACCUGGUCAACCUUUGACUCGAACGUUAUGGGUCGGUCGGCCACGCGUAGUGACAUGGCCGUAUUUAUUAUCUUGGCGGCGACGUAGGUCGAUUGCUGGUCGACUCAAUGAGUCGUCCGGUCGUGCCAGUACAUGAAGUAUUUAAGAAAGGCAUGUAAGAAUAAUAGUUGAGUAAAGUAUAUUUCAUCUAAAAUAUUUGACAAUAGUUGCACCAAAACUCAAAUCAAUUAAAGGGAAAUAAAAUCAUUUAGGGUCUUAACAAACCCUUUGGGCAAAACUACUUAUCAUAAGACUAAUAAGAAUCUUAGCACAAAGAUUAACAAAACUACAAACUUAUGUUUCUUUCUUAUGAUGUUCUUUUACUCAAAUAAGAACAAAAAGAUUGUUUUAGCAUUUAGUAUUGUUCAUGGCAUGACAAAUUUAAUGUAAGAGAUAUAAACUUGGUUAUAUUCUUUUCUUCUACUCCAUUAGAAACCUUUUAGUUAUAAAUUAUUGGACUAUGUUUUACAAUUUAUAUGAAAGAUUUACCCUUUCAUUAUCUCUAACAAACUAAUCCUAAAAAUUAUAAUUCAAUUGGAACGAAAUUUGGAAUUAGAGUUCAAAAUGAAAAGAAUGCAAUCAUAAUAAUUUUCUUUGUAAAUAAGAACAUUACAAUGCGAUAAAUAAUUGCACUCUUCAAAAUAAAUGAAAAAAAAGCCUAAAAUCUUCAAAAUAAAUGAAAAACAAGCCUAAACGAAACGUUGUAUUGAGUCUUCUUUUUAUAUUUGUUGUUCAAUAUAAUAUUCUUUGUCAAGUAAGGGUUCUUUAAUUUCAUUGUUUUGUUUUGAUUGAUAUUGUUUGACCUGAAUAAGGUGUUCUUGAUUUGACCUUAUAUAUGACAUGAUUUUAAGAAGUGAAAAUUUAAAUUAUUUGUAGUUGGAGGUUUGACCUUGAGAAUUUUAAAAAAAUGGUAUUUGAACUAGAUUAAUUGGUCUCAUAUAUUGGAGCUCAUUUAACCUUAUUAGUCACUAUAAAGAUAGUUUAAAUCUAUGCACGUGAAUCAAAUAGUUAGUCUUUAUAUAUAUAUAUAUAUAUAUAUAUAUAUAUAUAUAUAUAUAUAUAUGUAUGUAUAUAUAUAUGUAUAUAUGUAUAUAUAUAUAUAUGUAUGUAUAAAAUAUUUUUUUUUGUAACUUCACCAUUUGUGUCAUACAAAUUACUGCUUAAUAUUUAUUUCUGCUAUCUUUUUCAUGUUUCUUUCUUAAUGAAAAUGAAAACAUAUCCCCAUUGUCUUCGUAUGUUGGACAACCUUUUGUAACAUCCACAAAUCUUUAAUCCCCACAACAAAUUUCCUUUGCAGCAAAAUAAUGAAAAAGAAUAAGUUCCCUAAGCCUUUUAAUCUACUUAACACAAGUCAAAUUGGCUAAGUCAUUUUUAGCCUUGCACCAAAAUUGUCUCUAGAGAAAAUAUACUCACAUGAGGGUUGUGUUGAGCAAUUUUUUUCUUGUUGAAUGUCUUUCUCCAUACUUGCACUUGGGAGAAAAUCUUCUCAUCACGUGGGGUUGUGUUCAACAAAUUUAAGGUGGUGGCAAUGUAAUUUUUAGCAAUCCGCUCAGCAAUUUGAAAUUCGUUCAACAAUUGACCCUUAUUAAUUGAGUAUGAAUAACCUUUAUUUGUCUUCUUUGUAAGAUUUAUCAUGUAGUAAUGCAUAAAUCAAACUAUUGUAAGUCAAGGGAUCAAUUAUAAUAGUUUGCUUUCUAGGUAAUUAUGAUUAAGGAAUUAACUUGGUUUGGUCUUAGGAAGUAGUAAACUUGAAUCACAUUGUGUUUAUAAAUAAAUAAGUACAUAAAGGUUACAACGUUUAUUCAAUCUAAACACUUUUAUCAAUCUAAGAACAUCUCAUUUUUACAUCAAGUUUUAAUCUCACAAACUUUAUCUUUAGUUUAACUCACCAUCAUUUGUACAAUUUUAGAUGAUUAUUUUCACACUUUAUAAUGAAAGACACAUUUGUUGUAAUUAUAGUCCUUGAGGAUACGACAAUCCCUUUAUCAGUUGUGCUACACUCGAUCCACUAACCGAGAAAUAACCCAUCAAUGCCUACCUUUUCAAAACUCAUGAAAGAGUUGCUGAAAAAGGAGACAUUUAAUGAGGAGGAAAGUAUGAAAUUAGAAACAAGUUGGAGUGCAGUAAUUUAAAAAUAUUUUACCUCUCAAGUUGAAGGAUCAUGUCCAAUUAAUGAGGAGGAAACUAUGAAAUUAGAAAAAAAUUGGAGUGCAAUAAUUUAAAAAUAUUUUACCUCCCAAGUUGAAGGAUCAUACCCAUCAUCAUAAGGAAGUUAUCAAUGGGAAAGACAUUCUUGAUCUAGAGACUAGCAUUAAUUUAAUGUCCUUAUCCAUACUCUCAAAGAUAGGAAAGGUAAAAAUAAAAUCCAAGCAAACAACCUUUCAAUUGACAAACAAAUCAGUUAAAAUUCCCUCCAAGAUAGUGGUGACCAUGUUGGUUAAGGUUUUUUUUCGUGCAGAUUUUGUUAUUAUGAUGUAGAAGAAGACUUAUAGGUACCCAUUAUUUUUUAGAAGAUCCUUUAUGACAACUACAAGAGCCUUAAUUAAUGUUUAAUAGUGAACUCAGUUAAGGGUACAUGAUGAAGAGAUUACUUUAUGGGUCUUCAAAGCUAAGAAAAAUCCAAAAAAAAAAUGACGUGUUCCACAUUAAGGUACUUAGUAAGACUCUUUUUCAUGCGUCAAGCCAAUGAUGUAAAAGACGAAUUGGCUAGGAGACAACCCAAUGGUAAGUUUUUUCUCUUUUUCUUUUAUUUGUUAUGUUUUUCUUAUUUCAUUUAUCCCUUUUAUUAAAAAAAAAAUCUUAGAAUUUAAAAUUAAAUAAAUUGUAUCUUUGAUUACACUUUUCAGAUUGCUUGUCCAGUAGGCUUCGAGAUCAUGGUCCCCUUAGGGAGGACAAUGGGAUAGGAAGGACAGGGGUAAUACUUACCCACUACCCAUCCCAUCUAAAUUUUUUUGCCUCAUUACUCACCCCGCUACUUGCCCGUAUCCACGAAAAAGUAUUAGCUAUUUUUUUUAUACAUGUGGGUAUUCAUUGAUACCCAUGUAUUUUUUAAAAUAUUUAUAAAAUUAAAAUAUAAAGUUGUAUAAAAUAAUUUUAAAUUAUAAUUCAAAUGUUUUGAAACAAAUUGUAAAUAAAUCCCAUAACAAGAAUAUUAUUGUAAAUAAAUUUGGUCUUUCUAAAAAAUAAAUUUAAAUAAAUUGCACCAUAAAAUAUGUUUUGAAAAAAUAAUCUUUUUAAAGACAACUUCAAUUUCCUUAUUCUAAAUAAAAGAGUAUAUAUAUGAAAUUAAAUUUCAAAUAAUUAUUUAUCCAAUAAAUUUAUUUUGAUCACUUGAUUAAUUUAAAAAUAUCCAAAUAAAACUCACUAUCAAUGAUUAGCCAAAAAUCAUAUAUCAUAUGAGUUGGAUACCAUGAUACCCAUACCUUCAUCAACAAGUAGACAAUUAAAAUACUCACACCUAUUAGCCACAGUAUCCAUCAAAGUACAUUCAUUUAGUAUCGUUUUUUUUUUCACGCAUAUUAAUUAUUGUCAUCCCUAACUCCAUUGACGAAGUUAUUGGAGUUGUUACUAUUAUGGAGACCUCAUUCAAGGAAGUGAUGGAUGCACAAGACGAUGUAUGUGAGACAUCCAAGGAAGAGGAGUCGAAGACUCGAGACAAGGAUUAAAGCUUGGUUAAGGGCCAAAUUUCUUUUUCCUUUUUUAUCUUUUAUUUCCCUUUAUUUAUGUGCUUUAUUUUCUUCAUUUUUAUUUAUUUGAUUUCCUUGUACUUUUGCUACUGAUGAUUUCCUUUCUAGUUGCUUUUAUUUGUAUUUUUUGUUAUUUUUGUUAUUUUUUUUAUUGAAAUCUAAUGCAUGGAAUGAUUAAAAAUUUCAUUUUCUCUUUAAUGAAAAAUUAUCUAUUUUGGGUAAAAGCAAAAAUUCUUGUGUUUUAAUGGGUGUUAAAUUGUUUACUAUUGGUUUUAUUUAUUAAGGACUAGCAAAUAUGACUUGAAAAGUUGAAUCCAACAAGCUCAACCAUGUGAGUUAAGUGAUAUGAUUGAAUUUGUUGAGUGUUCAUGUUUCUUCUCCUUUAUGCAAACAAUUGGUCUUAUUUAAUUUUUUAAUUUAUUUGAUACAUUGUGUGUUAGGAUAUGAAGACCUUCCUUCUUUUUAUGAGCCAUUAGCAAAAAAAAAGUCAUCUUGAAAAUUCUUUACACUUAUCACCCCUUAGUCAAACUAUGAAAUUAUUGGAGACAUAAAAUCAUAUUUUCCUUUUCAUUUUUCUCUUUUCUUCCUUUUGAAUUAUCAAAUUACUUUUUGUUUUUACCUAUUCGUGUUUCAUUCUAUUCUUUGAUAGAUGUUCUUGUUCAUUGCAAACUUAAUUCGGUAACUGUACCAAGUUAGAAAUAAUAAUGUAUCUCAAGAGACGGAUAUCGAAUUCACAAGGAACAAUUCUCUCAAAAUUUUAAUGUAUAACAUUCACUAAAUAUUGAAAUAUAUGUACAAAAGUUCAAUUCAAAAUAUGUUGACAUUGUUUACAUAAAGUUUGCAUGUAAAUUAAAUAAAACAAAUUAAAAGAUUUUUAAGAAUUAAAUUAAUAGAAUUGAGAUUGAAGUUAAAAAUAAGUUAUUUUCUUGCUAUUAUAAUUGUUUGAUUGUUGAGCUUUGUUCCUACUGUCCCUUUUCAAGAACUUUCCAAAUUUCCUUGUGACACAAAAAAAAAUGUAUAUUGUGACGAUUAUUUUCGUAUAAAUUGACGUUUAUAACUGCCACAAUAUACACUUGUGGCGGUUUUACGCUACCCGUCGCAACACCCGUCACUUUAAACAUAAUGUAAAUAGUGACUAUUUUUAUAUGUAAAUAGUGUCAGUUAUAACUGUCGCAAUUUAUAUUCAUUGAAGAAUAUUCUGGCACCAUAAUAUACGUAAGUAGUGAUGUUUUUAACUGACGUAAUUUUAAUUAUGAAUAAAUAAAAUUUAACCACCAUUUUUUUAUAAUCUGUUUUAUAAUUUGUUUUAUACAAUUAUAAAAUUUAACCACCACUUUUUUAUAAUCUGUUUUAUACAAUUAUAAAAUUUAACGACCACUUUAUCAUAAUAAAAUAAAAUAAUGUAUAAAGUUAUAAUUAUCCAUUAAUUUCAUUGAAAAUUAAAGCACACAUAAUAAUGUUCAAAAGUUUAUAUGUAAUUGAAAAUUAAAACACAUAAAAUGUUCAAAAAUUCCUAAUCAAGUUUAAAAUUAAAACACACAUCCUUAAUCAGUUUUGCUUCCAGCACUUGAUCCUAUUACUUGAUUAGGUGAUGGAACACCACUUCCAUAAUUUGAUGCCUGAAAUAAAUAAUUUUAAGUUAAUGAAUUUGUAUGUUUAUAAUUAUAAAAUAAAAGACACCAAUAAAUAUUUAAAUACCUCAUUGGUGGAUGCAUGAGCCAAAUUAGUUGCCAUUGCAGUAAAAUGUUCUGGAACAUCUUUUCUUGAAGCAAUAUAUACAAGAAAAGUGUUCAUUUGAUUUUUCACAGUUGCAAGCUCAUUUUCCAUUUGAGUUAGCUUGUCCUCCACAUUUGACAAAGUUGAACUAGAAGAAGCAUGCUUAGCCUUGUUAUGUAUCCUUUGAAAGCAAAGCUGGGACAAGCUCCAUAUGAUAGCCCUCUAACUAGACCCGGAUGCUCCUUACCAAUAUUGUUAGAAUAUAUGGCCUUAAACGAGAGGGGGGUGAAUUGUUUAAGAGAGGUUUUUGAAAUCUUUUUAAAGUUUAACAAAAUUCUUUGUAUGAAUCCAGAACAGAAAUCAGGUUAGCCAAGAACAAAAUCAAUAAAACAGCAAAGCAACAGAAAAACAAUCGGUUAUUUAUGCGAAACAAUCGGUUGUUUAUACCAGUAAAACUUAAAACAUAAUUUAAUUGAGUUUAAGGGUAAGAGAAAUAUACACCAACAGUUUAUACUGGUUCACUCUUAAACCAAGAGCUACAUUCAGUCCCCAGAAAACCACUGUGUAAUCCACUAAGUAAUCAAAUCAGAUUACAACACACAAUCCACCAAAGCAGUGACCUUGAACCCUUCAAGAAACACACUCACUUUGGCAAAUCACACACCAAGAGUAUUGAUCUUGACCACCUCAAGAACACACAACACUCCUUGGCAACACAACACCAGAAAUACAGAAGGUUGAGAAGAGAUUACACUUGUUUACAAAAUAAUCUGAAAUCAAAUACAAAUGCAAUCCUAUUCCACUCUCUUAGAAAACCCAAAGCUUUGAUGUGAAUGUUCAAAUCUUGAAUCAACUCUUUCACAACUGAAAAACUCAAAUUUGUUUCUCUUACUUGUUUGAAAACAUAAACAAACUAUUUAUAUUUUCCAAAGAUUGGUCAAAGCAUUUAAUGAAGGAGCGUAUUCAGUUGGAAAUCAUUUAAAGCACAUUCAACCACCAAAACAAAAUUCCGUUAGGAUUUUCAAAGAAACAAUCGGUUGAAACCACGAAACAACCGAUUGUUUGGUUUGGCAGUUAAGUCAACCAAACUUAAACAAUUUUCAACCUUUUCAAAAAACUCCUAAGAGUAAAACAACCGGUUAAUUUGACAAAACAACAAGUUGUUUUUCACUUAGUUGGAAAAACACUUUAUUUCAAAAAGGAUUUAAAACACAUUAGCUUUAGAUUCAACAAAGGAGCGGAUUACAAAUAAAACUACCCAGAUCCCUCCCAAAACACAGCAGCAACAUAGCCUUGCAUCAAACAAAUAGGAUUUGGAUUCUUCAAAGCACAAUUUGAAUUCUUCAAAGCACUUGAUCACUCUUGAUCAACAAAUAUGACACCAAUUGGAUCUUCUGGAGAUAUAUUUGAACCAAAUGUGGCGGUUUUUUAGUGUAAUGUUUUAGAGAAGUGUGGCAAUUGAGAAGAAAAAAAGUUCUAUGGUUGCAAAGUGAACUCACUGAAGCAAACCAGCUUGUGAUUAGGAUCUAUAGGAAAUAACUAUAGAAAAUGGGGAAUAAAAAUGUAAGUUUACCUAGAAAGUGUUAAACAAUAAGUGAAAAGUUUACCUGAAAAAUAAUGUUAUUCCACUAUAAAUUACCAAGUGACCAAAAAUCUGAAUAACAAUAAAGUAAUGCCAAUAUGUAUGUUAUUCUAGAAAAAUACUUAUUUUUUCUCCUUCCUUAUUCGGAUCAAGAAGAGGUUUAUGUUCAGAAGCAAGAAGAGCAGGUGCACUAUUCCAAAGCUUUCUCCAUAAAUUUCCAUGUUCAGACAUUCUCCUUGAAAGCUUCCCUUGUGCAGGCCAACUAUCUUUUGACUUGUUAAUGUCAAGAGCACUGGAUGAUGAUGAUUUACUUUCCUCAUGGUCAUCAUACUCUUCCCAAUCUCCAUGUGAAUGUCACCGAAUAAAAUCUUCAAAGAUAACAUCUGGAUUUGCCGCCUUCAAAGAUCAUGUAUCCUUAUAUUGAAGAAUUUUUUUGCAUAAAAAACUUCAUUAUAUACACAUACACACAUACAAUUCCAUUUGGAUCAGAGUAAACUAAACUAGCGAUACCAAGCAUAUUAAGAGUAAAUUCUAUGGGAUUGAGUUAGAUCCAAACCCAGAUUCUAAGAGUAUGAUAUUGUGAACAUAACCUCAUGAGUGAAAAAUUAGAUUAAUGAAAACAUCAUUUCGUUAUAUUGAUGAGGCAGGUACAUCAAAUUAGAAAGCAUUGUGCACAUGAUUGUCUAGUAAAUGUAUGAUUUUUAAAUUAUUUUUUAACAUCACAUGCCUAGAAAUUAGAAUUAAUUGUAUUCUUUUAGAAAACAGAGGAACUCAAGACAUGAUCAAUACCUACCCAGUGUUAUUACAAACAUAUAUGUUAUUACCUAUCCAUUAUCAACAAAACUACAUGUAAUUAUUACCUGAAGUUAAGAUAUCCUUUUCCAGCUGAGCAGAGAAAUUAUGAAAAUAAAAAGGAAUUGCUAAGUAAUGAUGUAAAAUAUGAAAUAGAAGUAGGUUGAAAGUUUCACUAUCACUACAGUCACUUGAGUCUUGAUCAAUCUUUUGUGCUGCGAUUUUUAAAGCAAUGCUUUUCACAUGCUUUUCUUCAUUCCCUUAGUCAUUCGAUUGAUUCAUCUCAAGCUCAUGCUCCUUGAGCUUUCUAAACAAGGAUGAAGUGAUCAAUGUAGUUAGAUCCUUUGAUUCAGAAAUGGUAAUGACCUUUAACUGCUAAGAUUUGUCCAAGCAUUUUAGGAUCUAGAUGUUCAAAGACUUUGCCAAUACCAUUGAGAUGAUUUAUUAUGUGAGUAAAUCUCUUUCGCACAUUAGAGAUGAUUUCCCCUUUCAGCAUCCUAAACAACUCGUACUCUUGGAUCAAGGCAUGCUUCCUUUCCCUCUUUACGUUUGUUGUACCUUCAUGAGUCACCUCAAGGAUGUCCCACAUCUCCUUUGCUAAUCCACACUGAGAAACCCUGAAAAAUUCAUGUGAGUUCAAAGUAUAGGUUAUGAUGUUUUUGGAAAUACAAUCAUAUUGAGCCUUUUUUUUCUUCACUCUCAGUUCAUUGGGACCAAGAUUUUUCAAUAAAAACAUCAUUUUUUUCAAGCUUAGGAAUAAAAGAACCAUUGAUGAUAGCACCCCUUAUUCACCUAUCAAUUGACUCAACAAAAAUUUUCAUUCUUACCUUCCAGAAAUGAUAGUUCAGCGGACAAAACAAAGGUGGUUUGUUUAUAGAAGCACCCUUCGAAAAGGGUAUUUUUUCAGCCAUUUUUCAAAAAGAUUUAGGAUCGAAACUUGAGUAACUUUCAAGAACUCGACUUUUGAUGUCAAUUGUUAGAAUGUAUGACCUAAAUAAGAGGAGGUGAAUUGUUUUCACAAGAUUUCCCCGGCUCGGACGGGGCCGGGCCGGGAGGGCAUCCAGGAUGGUGGGUAACCGAAUGUUUAGAACCCGCACGGGGGGUCGCCCCGGGGGUUCGCCGCAUGCAAUUGUUUUAUCGAAAGUACUGAUUGUUUAAUGCAGCAUAAUAGAACAAAUUAUAUAGCAGUUUAUCAGAGAAUAAAAGAGAGAUUUAUAGUAGUUCACUCUUAACCAAGAGUUACAUCCAAUCCUCAGUUAACCACUGAGAAUUCACUAUGAAAUCCAAACCAGAUUACAAAACCACACCAAAAAUGUUGAUCUUGAAUUCCUAAAGAACACACAACACUCUUAGCCAAAACCAUAAUUUCCAUAACCACUUUCAAAAAUUGUUUUACACAGAAUUACAGAUUCAAAGAAAGAAAUAGAAUACACCUGGGCUUUUCAAAGCAGUAGAAAUUGAAUAGAAAACCCAUAUUCCUACUUCACAUACAAGCAAUGAUCCAAGACUCUUAGAAUGAGUAAAAGCUCUUUGAUCUUUUCUUGAAAACAUUUUUAUCAAAACUCCUUAUUUUCCAAAUGAUAAAAAACCAACCUUUAUAUAGACUUUAAAAAGAGGUUAAAACUGUUAGAUCAUUAAUUGAAACAGUUUAAAAGCAUUUAAAAACAGUUUGAAAAACUGUAACAAAUUUUUUUUAAAAACACUUUAUUGAUUUUCAAAACAAACUAUUUGAUUUCUUUUUCUAGUAAAGACAACACAUAAAACAGUCAGUUCAAUUAUCGAAAUAACCGACUAUUUUGGAUUUACAUAAAAGACAAAAGGAAACAAAUCAUUUUUAAAUCCUUUUAAAAAAACACUAAGUGCAAUUCAAUCGGUUCUCAUGAUAAAUCAUCCAGAUGAACAACUUUUGUAGUCACCAUACUUUGAACCAAAGCUUUUCCAACUGAUUUAAAUCAUGAAACAACUAACUAAAGUUAACACAAAUUUUAGAAAACAAAACUUUCAAAAGAAAUUUAGAAUCAAAUGAACUUGGAUCAUAACUAGGUGUGAAUUAAUAUUCAAAAUCUACUAAACAACACAUACACAACAACAAAUCCUUCAAGUCUUUAAAGCAGAUUUGGAAACAUCAAAGUACCUUGUUCAACAAUAAUGAAUAGAGAUGUCACUUAGCCUAAGUGCAAUUAAGUUAAAUAAGGGCAUAAGGAUGAAAGAAAGGGAGAAAAAAGAAACCCUAGGAAGUAGUUGAUAAGUGUCUAAUUUCAGUAAUAUUUCAUAUUAAAAUAUAGGCACUUAUGAGGAUUUAUUGCUAAUUUACAUAUAAAAUAAUCCUUAAUUUAUGAAUACCUUUUUACAUUUUUUAUGAGCAUUAUUUGAAUAAGAGCAUUUUAUUCUCAAAUUUGGUGUUAAUUGCAGAUUUUUAGGGAAGAUUGAAGAUUUGGAGUAAAGGAGAAUAAUUUGAGCUAAAAAGAGAAAGUUGGAAGGUCCCAGAAUGGAAAAAGAUGCAAACAAAGAUUGAGCAUUUUUUUAUGUUUUAUCACUUGGCCCAUUAGCACGAUACAUGAAGCCACUUAACCCUAGAAAAUUAGGAUAAAUAGGGGGUUAGAAGUUCAACCCUAGUGUGUCAGAUUGAGAGGAAAACACCAUAGAGUGAAUUGAAACCCAAUUGGGAGAAUGGAAGGUGCUAGAAGUAUGCGUGGCUAAUUCUACCCUUUUGGAUUGGGAGUAAUAUGCUCAAACUUUUAUGUAUUGAGGUGAUAUCUUAUAUAUAAUAUUCAGUUCUUGAUUGAUUAUUGGUAUUGUUGUUUUACUUUUAACUUUCCGUGACAAAUUAAGAAUCUUAAAUAUGACCGAGAGGUAUUUUUAGGGUUCAUACCUAAACAUCAAUACUUAACAUAUUUGAGUGCUAGAGAUAGACUUGAAAUGUUAAUUGCCAUUAAUGUCUAAUUGUGAUUUCUAAGUUGUUUUUAUAAGUAUGCGAGAGUUUUAUAUGCGAGAGAUCGAUAGAAAUGAAUUUUCUACGACCAUCAAUUUCAAUCAAAGAACUCAAUAUUAACAUGCUAAUCAAAAUACAUGAGAGUGGGAGAGAUGAAAUCUAAUCCAUAUUUUUCCAAUUGAAGCAACUAAUUCUUUGUUUGUUUUCUUAUUGAUCAGUGCCACCACAAUCACUUCAAAACUAUUUUUAUUAUUCUAUUGUUAUAUUUAGCGAAUUUUGUACUCGAUAAUUCACUAUUCCUUGUGGGAUCGAUAUUCGUCCUUAGGGACAAUUAUUAUUUCUGACAAAUGCGAUGCACUUGCCGUAAAAUGUCAUCAGUAGUCGUCAGGGAGAAACAUUUUGGAUUUCUAUCUUUUGCUUUGGUGCAGGUAAUGGCCACCAUAGGUGGCUAAUUCCUUUUUUUUAGAUUGAAUGUAAUCUUUUUAAACUCUAAUGAAUCCCGAUAAUAUUUAUAUAUGAUAUUUUUUUCUUAUUUGAUAUUGGUAUUUUCAUUUUAUGCUUAAAGCUUGAAUUUUCAUUCAUGAACUUGAUUAUUGUUUUUUGUGCUUAAAAUUUGAAUUUUUAUUCAUGAACUUGAUGAUUGGAUCAUGUGCUUAGUGCUUGAAUUUUUAUUCAUGAACUUCAUUCUUGUAUUUUGUGCUUAAAACUUGAGUUUUUAUUCAUGAACUUGAUUCUUGAAUUUAACUGAAAAGUACUUCUAAGAAUCUGACUUAAAUGAGAAUAUUUGAUAUGUUUUGAUACUAGACAUGGAAUAUAUCAAUUGCUAUAUAACAUAUUUUCUCAAUGAUGAGAAUGUUUUCUAACUACUUAAGUCAUCAAUAUUUAGGAGAUAAUCUUAAUAAUUUCAUAAUUGAGACAUCAAUAUGAAUGACUCUUAUAUGUUGCAUCAUCAAUUAAUUCAAAAUAUUGGAUGUUUCUAUUUAUCCAUGAUUCAGAAGAGUGAGAAAGAUUAACUUCAAUCUUGAUUUUAUCAAUUGAGUUCUUCUAAGUAUGUACUCUGUUUUCAUUUAAUUUUCACGCAAAUUUAUUUUUAUAAUGUCAAUAUCUUUUCAAUUAAACUUUUGCACAUAUCUUGAUAUUUAGUGAACGUUAUAGAAAUAGGUAAGUUCUAACCACAGAGACAAGAAAGCCUACAUAGAAAAACCAUCAUCAAUCAGUUAUUUUUUUUUUUUCUACAAACAGGUUAAAAAAUCUUCUCCUAAAAUUAUAUUAAUAUCUGCUAAAUAACCUUUGGUAAAUAUUUUUUUUUUCUUAUAGUGGAAUGAGAUGACAAUACUUGAAAAAAUACUCUACCUCUAGUUUAAGAAUUUCCUUUAUUUCAUUAUUGUUUCUAACACUACAAAAAUACCUUUAUAGACUAGAUGUUAUAGAUUUCGUCAUAUUUCAUAAAAUAAUAGACUAUAAUUUUCUACAAGUUAAACAUUAUUUUUUGCCGGUAAAUCAUUCCUGAAUUACUUCCAANNNNNNNNNNNNNNNNNNNNNNNNNNNNNNNNNNNNNNNNNNNNNNNNNNNNNNNNNNNNNNNNNNNNNNNNNNNNNNNNNNNNNNNNNNNNNNNNNNNNNNNNNNNNNNNNNNNNNNNNNNNNNNNNNNNNNNNNNNNNNNNNNNNNNNNNNNNNNNNNNNNNNNNNNNNNNNNNNNNNNNNNNNNNNNNNNNNNNNNNNNNNNNNNNNNNNNNNNNNNNNNNNNNCAUCUCCAUCAACCAGGUUAUGGAUCCAAUCCGGGUAUAGAACUUGGAAAUUUUGUGGAGAAGACAUGUCCACAUUCUUUCUCCCACCAACCAUUUCUAACAACAGCAUUCCAUUCCAUAACUGUAAAUAUCAGACUUGUAAGACACGUUCCCAAAGUUUCUGGAGAAGACUUCAGGUGCAAUGUAUCCCAAAGUUCCUCUAGCAGCUGUCAUGGACACCAAACUGGGAUUCUUGGAACACAAUUUGGCUAAGCCAAAAUCAGAGAUUUUUGGAGUGAAGUUGUGAUCAAGUAACACGUUGUGAGGAUUUAUGUCAAAGUGAAUAAUGGGCUGAUUGCAACCUUGAUGAAGAUACUCAAUCCCUUUAGCUAUACCAAGAGCAACGUGUUGAAGCUUCUCCCAUCCGAGGAAAUGGUCCUUGUCUUCUGGUGGAAAUAUGAAGCUUUGUAAGGAACCGUUUGGAAAGAAAUUGUAGGCAAGUGCACGAUGGGGUCCAUCUGCACAGAAGCCAAGCAAACGCACGACGUUGAUGUGAUGGAUUUUGCCCAUAAUUCCGACUUCGUUGAUGAACUCAUUCCCCUCUCCCUCCGUAUUGUUGAGGAUCUUCACAGCCACCGGAAUCUCACUCGAAAGUUUUCCUCUGAACACAGCCCCAUGAGCUCCUUCUCCUAGCUUUUCUUUGAAGCCAUUGGUGAUUCUUUUCAGGUCAGCGUAGGUGAAUCUUGCAGGCUUUUCUGCCCUGUAGUCCUCUAAAAACUUGUCCACUCUUGCUUGGUCUUCUUGCUUUUUCCUAAAAUAGAGGAUGCUCAUAAAGACAGCAAUGACCACCAUCCCCAAAAGGAUCG